CACCAUUCUCCUGCAUUUCAAUAACUCCAAUAAUUUUAGAUUUCGCUUUGCUUGUUAAUUCAUAAUAUGUAAAUUAACCUUUAAAGUAAUGACACUUGUACCUAAUAUGAUAGGAACUUCUGCAUUAGGUUUAGGAAAAGGAUACUUGGUUCCAUUCUUGGGAUAGACAAUUAUAGCUCCAUGAACAGUGGCUCGGGUCCAAUCACUAUGAGCAUGCCACCAUAGAGUCCCUUCCUCAGAGGAAAGGAUGAUCUUCUGGCUAAACUUUGAUCCUGGGGGAAUUGGACAUUGUGUGAUAUACUCAGGACCAUCUGUCCAUGGAUAUCUAGGCAUCUUCACCCCAUGCCUGCAAAAUAAUAACUAUAUGUUAACACUAGUACUAAUUUUUAGAUUCACUAAAGAUGGCAUGUAGCAAUGAACUGAAGCAAAUAACCCUAAAGCAUUGUUUUAAAUUUGACUUUGCAAAUCAAUAUAUUGCAGUCUCCUCUUAGAAAUAAAAGAAUGUAUGCCAUGCAGGCAUGUUGCCGCUAUCUUUCUCCGAGACAUGCACAUGACCUACCAAUGAAUGGUGACGUUUUGUUUUCCCCUGUUAUAAACGUCGACAAUGAUCGUCUCUCCUUUCUUAGCAUAUAUAGUUGGUCCCGGAAAUUGUCCAUUUACUGUUAAGAUGUUCUUGGUGCUACAAAGCCUUGUAUAUGAAGCUUCCCUCACCUGCAAUCAAUUAAAAGUUAACCAUGCAUCCUCAUACCAGAAAGAAAAAUUACAUGUACAAAUUGUUGCAUCGAUCCAUUCAUACAAGUGUAUAACCAAUCAGAAAUUGAUAGCAUGCAUGAACGACUCAAUGACACAAGGGUACCCGAAGACCUAUGGCUGCCAUACAGUGGAAAAUGAGAGCCAUACUGGUCCCUAAAUAUUAUCACAAGGUGGCAUUAAGGCCAGAAUCAUGCAUAUAUAGUAUUUACCACAAAAGUAUGCCGACGGGUUGAAGCUUUGCAAUGGAGGCCACCACCAAAAAGAAGAAAUGCUAAAAUUUGCAAGAGGAAAACCUUCAUCAUCAGCCACAUCUUCUUCGGAAUAAAAGUCUCUUCUCUUGUACUAAACACAACUACUUCAAUUUUCUUACUAUUUCUAAUAGCAGGACUUAUCUUCUCUUUGACAUGAAUGGAAUGAAUUCUUAAGGGUAUUUAUAGAGGCUGGAGAGAACCAAAACUAGAACCGGUGAAAUCUGGACAGCAACUUUGAUGGCUGCUGUCAUCUUCAGCAUGAAUGCAUACACCAGAUUAGGUAUAGACGCGUUCAUUCUGUGGGCACCUAACAACUGGUUUCCCUCCUUUGUAAUUUCCUCGAACUUUUCCCGUAUUUCUUUCAUAUAUGAUUCUUAAUAUAGUCCAGAUGAUUUCCUUGAGAUACAAUACUUGCUCGCCACGUGUCAAUAUAAGAGGAAGUGAUUUGAAUGUGAAUUGGUUUUAAAUGUUCUUCCGGGACCACUUCAAUGAGCAGGACCACUAGAAUUAUGAUAUUUGAUCACUUACCAAAAUUUAAAUAAACCAAAUGCCUGAAGAAUGCUAGCUAACAAUUGUGAAAUUUGCUUAGAUUCUCUUGAAUUUUCUCAUUCAAAGUACAAGUUUGACUUUGAGAAUUGACCAUGAAAUUAAUUAAACGUGUUAUUUUAGAAUAAAUUUAAAAUAUUUUUCACAUGUUUUUUAUAGACUAAUUCGAGAAAUAUUGAUAAAAUAUAUGUAGAACACUUUGAAAACUUUGACUCAUAAAUAAUUAUGUAGUACCUUUAAUUACCAAGAUUAGCUAAGAAAACUAUUUUCCAUCAAUAACUAUUAAAAAUUAUUUUCAUAAAUAUUAGUUAACAAACCCUUAUUAUUUGUUUUACUUGUUUUCGUGUUACUUAAGACAAUUAAUAGUGAACCCAUGAUUUUGCUACUAUUUCCCAAAACCUAGUUUGAUGUUGAUGUCUUUCAUACUAUAUUUAAUUGGUAGAUCAAUUGGGUGUACUUAGAUAUCAUUAACAUCAUUAUCUCGUUUAGCACACGCAGGAAGAGGUCUAGAUAAUCACCUCUUGUUCAUAGUCUGCUAGCCUAAGGUAUAUCCAACCAUCAGAAAGUUGGGUAAAAUGUUCGACUCAAUGCUAAACAUUGAAGAUGUUUCUAAAAGGAAAUUUCCUUCUAGUUGACACUGAUUGAUGUCUUAAGGACCAUUGUAUGGUGCUAACCAUGCCAUCAAGGAGAGAAUUGCAUGCAAGCCAGCUAAGCUUGAUACCACAGUAGGUCCAAAAUGGCAGGUAGCUAAAACAGCUUUUCUAGCUAGCAGCUGGUUAGGUGGCCAUUACCAAAAAGUUGGGCACAUAUAAGAUGCCUUCAUCGUAGCCAUGUUCUGUUUUGUAAAUUGGUAAGCGUUACACCUUGUCUUGGUCGGCAGUGUAGAUGAAAAGCGAUUCUAUAUAUGUUAAUUUGGGACCCAUUAUAAAUCCAAUUCAUAACAUUAUUGAUCCAUAUUACGUGUUGUGACCUCUAGGGAUGGCAAUGGGGCGGGUCUUUUCGGGUACCCGCCCCACCUCGCCCCUGAUGGGACGGGGUUUAAUUUUAAUAAACGGGCUAGGGACGGGUUUGAAAAUUUUUUUAAAAACUUGGGGCGGGUUCGAGUAUUGCCCCACCCCGUCCCGCUCCGAUUAUAUAUAAAUUUAAAUUAAAUUUAAAUUUUAAAAUUAAUUUAAUUUAAUUUUUAUUUUACUAUUUUUAAUAUAUAGAUAAUAAUAAAAUAUUUUUAAUAAAAUAAGUUAUAAAAAAUAUAAUAAUUUAAUUAUUUAUAAAAUAUAUUUAUUUUAAUAUAGUUAAAAAUUUUAAAAGUAAUUUUUUUUAAAAAGGAAAAAUUAAAAUUUUAAAAAAAAGUUAAACGGGCACCCGCCCCGCCCGCCCCACCCCGUCCAGUUUAAUUUUUUAAAUGGGACGGGGAUAGGAAUUGUUUCGAAUAAACGGGGCGGGGUUGGGAUGGGGGCGACCCAUCCCGAACCCGCCCGUUGCCAUCCUGAUGACCUCGCCGAAUUUCACCACCUCCGCAUACACGGUUGACUAUUUAUUUCCUCAAAACGAGCUGAAUGCGAACUAACUAUUGCGUGACCGUUACUCCUAUAAGAAGCGUCUAAGCAAGAACCAUUAUUUGUAUAGACUCAGGCUCACAAAGAUCAACUUCAACUUAUUUUUUGAGAUUCAAAUUCAACUUAAUCACAUGCAUGCAUGCAUCCAUAAUCAAUUAUUGAAUUAAGCAGUCAGAGGUUGAAAACUUUAACAAGUCAGGCAGUGUUUGGUUUUUUUGUUUUUUGUUUUUUGUUUUUUGUUUUUUUUGUUUUUUUGUUUUUUUUAAUCUUAAAUCUAAAUAAAUAUUAAUUUAAUUUAAAUCUAAAUAGUAUUUAAUAAGGUUAAGCAUAAAACUUUUUAAAAAUCAGUUAUUUAACUUAUCAUUUUUUAAAACAAAUUCAUUUUAAUGAAAAAAAAAAACAAAAAAAAUUAUAUCAUGUUGCAAUCAAUGGAAAUCCUUAGAUUUGCAUGGUUCCCAUCAUUCAGUUAAUAACUCAUUCCAUUGAGAACGGAUGUAACGUUUGCUUUAACUACAUGGGUUUCCGUUUUGUCUUUGUCUGUUGGUGGUGACGCUGGUGGGGUUAGCCACCGAUGUUGAUCUUUUCAUACGAAUCAUGUCCAUAUCAUCUUAACGCUUCUUACUAAUUGAUCACAAUUAAUUCCUCAAUUGUUGAAAGAAAAGGUUAGGUGAAAGGAUAAGAAGAUUGUCCAUUUUGAGAAGGAGGGUUAAGCACGGCACUUGGGAGCAGCCUGACAGGUGAAAAUAGAAUAAGAGUUUAGUUUAAACACGAUAAGAGACAUUCAGACAAUUUCAACCAUGAAAUCUCCACCACUGAGCCAUCGAGUUAUGAAGUGGAAAAGGACUGAUGACUUUGAAAAUCUCCAUCAUCAGACCACCUUGUUUGCUCGCUUACUUUUUGAAACUAGACCAGUUUUACAAUUGAAGCUGAAAGCAUACACAUUUUGCAUGGAAAUUAUAAUGUUAAAAGGACAAAUUUUUCAAUGAAAAAUAAUGUUAUGAUGCGAGUAAUCAAUUGCUCUUUUGGUGUCUUGAGGUUACUUAUUUGUUUUUGGCACUAGUCUAGAUUGGGUGGUUUGUCGUCUGAAUGCUGAAUGUAGAAUUUUUCAAACAUUCUCAUUGUUUUGUGGUGUAUAAGAUAAUUGGACCUAAAUAAGAAAAAUUCAAAAUGAAAUAUAAAUCCUCUUUGUCUAGCUUUGUUUUUGGCUCAUUCACAGUUGUUUCCCAUUUUUUUGAAACUUGAGAAUUGAGAUUAUGAAAGACAAGAUGAUUGGCUAAUUUGGUAUUUCAUAAGUUUCAAUACAAAACACAAAAACAUAUUUUGUAAAAUGUUGAAAAUAGAAUACAAAUAUUGGUAAAUAAGGAUAUAUGGGUACUUAGAUUUUAUGGAUAUAUCAUAAAUAUAAAAAAAAUAUUGAUGAAUAUUUUGACAAAAAUAUACGUGAGGCUAAAAUUAUUCAAAAUUUAUGGAAAUAUUUGAAAAUUUUUCAAAAUAAUAAAUAGGUAAAAUACAUAUUUUAAUGUUAUUUUAUAAGUGUAAUUGACAUAGGUAUAAUUAAGAAGAAAGAUAUCCGUAAGCAAAGAUAUAUCAGUCUUAAUAUAUAAUUUAUUAAAUAUUAUAACUUCAUUAUUAUUAUUUUUAUAUUUUAGUAGUUUUUUUAAUAAAUUUAUAAUUUUAAUAUUUUAAAAUAAAGAAGUUCAAUAUUAAAAGGAUAAAAAUAAAAAUUUUAAAAUGAAAUGAUAGUAAUUUUUCAAAAUAGGAUUAAUGAGAUAAAUGAUGAUAUAUUUAAUAUUAUAACUAUAAUUUAUUUAAUUCAAAUGCAUUCAAUAAUGUAAAAUAAAUGAUGAUGCAUAUAUGAUUUUUUUAAUAUUUAUAUGUUUUAUAUUUAAUUAUCAUAUAAAUUAUAUAAAACAAGACUUAUUAAGAAAACUGUAACGUUGGUUUUUAUAUUUUUAUUAAUCAAUUAAAUUAAAUUUAAAAUAAAAUAAUUAGAAUUAUUAUUAUUUUUUUAAUAAUGAACUUUAAGACAUUUAAAUUGAAUAUAUAUUUACAAAAGAGGUGUUGGCCUAGUGGUAGCUAGGUUUUAACUUCAACCCUUUUGGUCGGCUGGACUAUGAGUGGGGCUGUAAAUAUCGUGAGUUUUAAACCAUGAUUGGGACUCAUAGUAUGUUUUUUCUCAACAAAAAGCAGUUUAAAAAUAAUAAUAAUAAAAAAAUAAAUAAUUACAAAUUUUUAAAAAUAAUAAUUUUCAAAACAAAUACACUCUAUAGUUUAUUUGUUGGUAUGUUAUGUAUAUGUUGGUUAGAAUGGUUUUAACCAUCUACAAAAACUAAUAUCUAAAAAAAGAGAAAAAGAAAACCAAAAGUAAAGUAAGAAAUAAUUCAAAUUUCCUUGUUUGGUUUAUUGUACCAUAUGAAAAAAAUAAAAAAAAUAAAAAUUAUUACAUAAAUAAAUUAUGUAAAGAUUUACAUAUUUUAAAAUUAUUUAUAAAUAGAAAAAAUGACAAAUAAAUUUUAGGGUGAAUCAUGUUUGUAUUAUGUAUAAAAUACUAAAAAAGAAAGCGACUUUUAUAAGGAGUGCAUUUCAAGGAAAAUAAUUUCCAUUUCAUGCAUAAAAAUAAUCAUGCAUAAAAAUAAUAAAUUUAUGCAUGUUUCCAAGAAUAUCCUCCAACCAAUUGAAAGUGGACUCCCCCAAAAAAAAAUUUUCUCUCCUUUUUUUUUUUUUUUUCAAAAAACAUCUUUCUCACUUGAAUGGCCCAAUUUCUUGGCCACCUACCUUUUUUCUUUUUUUCCAUACCCACUCCCAGCCGCCCCCUUCCCAUCUUCUCACCGAAUUAAAUUAAGUUUUUUUAUUACAAUUAAAUGAAUUAAGUUUUUUUCUUUUUUGAUACUUUGACUUUAAUUAAUUUUAUAAAAUAAUUCUCCUUUUUUUUUUUUCCUAUUUUUGAAAAUCUACUUAAUUAAAAUAGCAAACUUUAUUUUUUAAAAGUACAAUUCAUUUAUUCAUUAUUAUUAUUAUUUUUAUUUUAACAUCAUUUGUAAUUAAUGCAUUAAAAUAAAUUAGUUUUAAAUAUAAAAAUAUACUCACCUAUAAUAAUUAAUAAUCUAAUAAAUAAAUAAAUACUAAUAUUUUAAAUAAUAUUAAUUUCAAAAAUAUAUAUAGAUAUAUAUAUAUAUAUAUAUAUAUAAUAUUUUAUUUUGUUUGGUUUUCAUAAUAUUUAUAAUUUUCAUAUUAUAGGUCUUUUUUUAUAUUUUUUAUUUUAAAAUUUAUUAUAGAAUAUUAGACCUAAAUUUUUAAAAAAUAACAAUAAAAAAUCACUAUCCACAUAUGUUGAAACCAAAUUUUUUGUUUUCUUCAAAAUUAAAACAGAAAAAUAAUAUAAAAAAAUAUUAACUUACUUUUAAUUUCAUUCAAUAAAAAAUUAGUGAUGAUCAUUCUAUAAGAGUAUUUAAUUUUAAAAGAAAUAUUUGAAGGUAGAUAAAAUUAAAAUUUAAAAUUGUUGGCAUUAAAUUUUUGAAUAUAAAUUCACAAUUCCCAUCAUAAUACAUUGAUAUUUAGAGAGAAAAAAAAAACCAACGUCUUAAAAAGUAUUUUUUUUAAAAAAAUAAAAAAUUUAAACCAUUAAAAUUGUUUUAUUUCAAUAAAUAAUGUCUUUAAAAAGUAUAUUUUAUGCAUUUGUUUGGCAUAUUAUUUAAUAAUUAUUGUCAAAGUCAUAACAAUGACAAAAUAAAACUAAAUAAGCUAGUACAUCGUGCUAUCUACAAUGAUACUUUUAGUUACUAACAUUGUUAUCUUUAGGUAAAAACAAUAUUACUAUUAGGUAAAAACAAUGUUAUUGUUUUCAAUGACAUAUUUGAUGUAAAGGUUGAAAUGGCGAUAGAUAAUAAAUAGUCUAGUACAUCCUUCUAUCUAUAGUGUUACUUUUAGUUACUAGCAUUGUUAUUUUUAGGUAAAAACAAUGUUACUAUAUUCAAUGACAUGUUUGAUGUAGAGGUUGAAGUGAUGAUGGGUAAUGUGACAACUACGUAUGUGGGCCCAAUUAAGUGUACUUGUUAUCUUGCCUUGUAUAGGUGGCAACCCGCCUUCACUUGAUUGGAUGAUAGACUUGAAAAUAUACACAAAGUUACUAUUUUAGUGCAUGAAAUGAGAGUUAUUUUUCCCUAAAAUAUACUUUCCAUGAAAGUGACUUUUUUGGGUUUUGAAUUCAUCCAUAUUUUAUACAAUGUACAUGUUUACAUAAUUCCCCCUAAAUUUUAAGACGUGUAAAAUUUGAUCAAGUUAAUUUAAACUUUUUUUAAUUUUCACUUUCUUCUCAUAUUUUUUCUCACAUUUCCUUUUAAACUUUUGGAAUAAAUUCCCUACUAUUUGUGGAGCAUAAUAUAAUUUUUUCUCCAUAUGAUACAUAUUUAUACAAUAUUUGGUUAAAUUGUUUUGAAUGUUUAUUGUUACCUUAACAAGAAACCAUUCUUGAAAAUAAAGAUUAUUUUUGCCUUAUUUUAACAAAUAUUAUAUUUCUAUUUUUUAAAUAUGAAAAUUAAUAUUUUGAUUUCAAAACAAUCAACCAUUUUCAAAAAAUAUUUAAGAAAAUAGUUUUUCAAUAUAUUAAUUGUGGCACUCUUGAAGAUCAAAGGCACCAUUAUUAUUUCAAUUGUCAAACCCAAAAGUCCAAUAGAAACAUAUUAAAGGAAAAUAUAAUAUAUUAGCAGAUUGGUUAAGUAGACAAAUAAUUAAUAAUGCUGAUAAUGCUAAUGAUUGAUUUUAUGUUACAGGAACAUGGCUCAAAGAAAACCCACUAAAACUAGAACCUUUCAAUUUGGAACCAUAUGUCUGAAUGAAGUGUUGAAUCCAAAUUUGAGGUUUAACUCUUUAUUUUCUCAAAACCCUUUUGAAGAACAUAAGGUUAUUGUAGAUAACUUUUGGUCUCCAAAACCACAAAGUUUUCCAAACCAAAAUUUAGAAUAUGCUUAUGGAAAAAUCGUGUCAACUUUAGCUCAACAUUUACAAAACCUUCAAAACCAACUGAUUGCUUUAGAAACCCAAAAAUUUCAAAACCGUAAAAUCCAAGAAAAUCAGGAAAAAUUGAUAAAUGAUUUGAAAACCAGUACGGUGUCAACUAAUCAAACUAGUUGUUCGAAUAGUCAACCUGAAAUGCUUAGUUUAAUUAAGAAAUCAACUCUUUUGUCUGAAUAAUAUGAAAAACUUGUUAAAAACUUAAUUAGAUCUGAUAACUACUCUUUAGUCGAAACCUUUUUUCUGCAAACCAAAUAUAACAAAGUGUUUAAAAAUUAAGAACUUUUGUAUUAACAUUUUAAAACCAAAAAUGUCGAGAUAAAAAUAGGACCCUCAAUUUUUCUUUGUGAUAUAUUUAGCCUAUGUGAAUAUGUCUAUUGUCAAUAAAGAAAAUUUUGAUUUAGUACCCUAGUUCAUGGAUCUGAGAAUUUUAAAAAAUGUUUUUAUGAACCAUGUAUCUCAAAUCCCUGAAAAUUUCCCAAAAAAAUUAAAAGAUAUUUUAACCCAUUUUUUCAAAACCGAAAAACAAAUAGACAUUUCUUUUGAAACCAUUCCACCUUUAUUUCAAACAGAUGGAUCAGUAGUGCCAGCCUAUCACCAUGUAUAUAUAAAACAAAAUAAAAAAUCACUGAUUCCUCAACAAAAACCAGAAUGGGAAAUGACCCGUCCAAAUGAAUUUCCAAAAUUUUUUACUUGUUUUAGAGCCUUUCAGAUUUAUGAUCUUAGACCAACCCAGAACAAAUUAUUUCAUCUCAUUGGUGAAAAAAAAACCAUGUUCAUACGGAGAAACAAACCUUUAGAACACAUUAUUGUUCUCAAACCUUUUAUUACUUUUGAAGAACAUGAUUUUAUAACCGAACUUAGUGAAAAAAAAAUACCAAAACCAUCUUCCUACCUCAGUGAUGACACAUUAUUUUGGGGAAACCUGGACGAUGAAAGUUAUUAUAAUAUGCAAAAUGCAAUGGAAGGAUGAUGUCAACAAUGAUGAUAUUGAAGUAGUAAAUGCGUCUCCAACUAUAAGAAUUUAAUGUAGCAGUAGAAGCUCAAAACCAAUAAAGAAACCCAAAAAUUUCAAAACCGUAAAAUCCAAGAAAAUCAGGAAAAACUGAUAAAUGAUUUGAAAACCAGUACGAUGUCAGCUAAUCAAACUAGUUGUUCGAAUAGUCAACCUGAAAUGCUUAGUUUAAGUAAGAAAUCAACUCUUCUGUCUGAAUAAUAUGAAAAACUUGUUAAAAACUUAAUUAGAGCUGAUAACUACUCUUUAGUCGAAACCUUUUUUUUGCAAACCCAAUAUAACAAAGUAUUUAAAAAUCAAGAACUUUGUAUAAAUAUUUUAAAACAAAAAAUGUUGAGAUAAAAAUAGGGUAUAUGCCAUAUCAUGACCUUGAAUUUUUCUUUAUGAUAUAUUUGACCUAUGUGAAUAUGUCUAUUGUAAAUAAAGGAAAUUUUGAUUUAAUACCCCAAUUCAUGGAUCAGGGAAUUUAAAAAAAAAAUUGUUUUAUGGACCAUGUAUCUCAAAUCCUUGAAAAUUUCCCAGAAAAAUUAAAAGAUAUUUUAACCUAUCUUUUCAAAACUGAAAAACAGAUAGACAUUUCUUUUGAAACCAUUCCACUUUUAUUUCAAAUCAAUGGAUCAGUAGUGCGAGCCUAUCACCAUGUAUAUAUAAAACAUAAUAAAUAACCACUGAUCCUCAACAAAAACCAGAAUGGGAAAUGACUCUUCCAAAUGAAUUUCAAGAAUUUUUUACUCGUUUUAGAAUCCUUCAGAUUUAUGAUCUUAGACCAACCCAGAACAAAUUAUUUCAUCUCAUUGGUGAAAAAAAAACCAUGUUCAUACGGAGAAACAAACCUUUAGAACACAUUAUUGUUCUCAAACCUUUUAUUACUUUUGAAGAACAUGAUUUUAUAACCGAACUUAGUGAAAAAAAAAUACCAAAACCAUCUUCCUACCUCAGUGAUGACACAUUAUUUUGGGGAAACCUGGACGAUGAAAGUUAUUAUAAUAUGCAAAAUGCAAUGGAAGGAUGAUGUCAACAAUGAUGAUAUUGAAGUAGUAAAUGCGUCUCCAACUAUAAGAAUUUAAUGUAGCAGUAGAAGCUCAAAACCAAUAAAGAAACCCAAAAAUUUCAAAACCGUAAAAUCCAAGAAAAUCAGGAAAAACUGAUAAAUGAUUUGAAAACCAGUACGAUGUCAGCUAAUUAAACUAGUUGUUCGAAUAGUCAACCUGAAAUGCUUAGUUUAAGUAAGAAAUCAACUCUUCUGUCUGAAUAAUAUGAAAAACUUGUUAAAAACUUAAUUAGAGCUGAUAACUACUCUUUAGUCGAAACCUUUUUUUUGCAAACCCAAUAUAACAAAGUAUUUAAAAAUCAAGAACUUUGUAUAAAUAUUUUAAAACAAAAAAUGUUGAGAUAAAAAUAGGGUAUAUGCCAUAUCAUGACCUUGAAUUUUUCUUUAUGAUAUAUUUGACCUAUGUGAACAUGUCUAUUGUAAAUAAAGGAAAUUUUGAUUUAAUACCCCAAUUCAUGGAUCAGGGAAUUUAAAAAAAAAAUUGUUUUAUGGACCAUGAAUCUCAAAUCCUUGAAAAUUUCCCAAAAAAAUUAAAAGAUAUUUUAACCUAUCUUUUCAAAACUGAAAAACAGAUAGACAUUUCUUUUGAAACCAUUCCACUUUUAUUUCAAAUCAAUGGAUCAGUAGUGCGAGCCUAUCACCAUGUAUAUAUAAAACAUAAUAAAUAACCACUGAUCCUCAACAAAAACCAGAAUGGGAAAUGACUCUUCCAAAUGAAUUUCAAGAAUUUUUUACUCGUUUUAGAAUCCUUCAGAUUUAUGAUCUUAGACCAACCCAGAACAAAUUAUUUCAUCUCAUUGGUGAAAAAAAAACCAUGUUCAUACGGAGAAACAAACCUUUAGAACACAUUAUUGUUCUCAAACCUUUUAUUACUUUUGAAGAACAUGAUUUUAUAACCGAACUUAGUGAAAAAAAAAAUACCAAAACCAUCUUCCUACCUCAGUGAUGACACAUUAUUUUGGGGAAACCUGGACGAUGAAAGUUAUUAUAAUAUGCAAAAUGCAAUGGAAGGAUGAUGUCAACAAUGAUGAUAUUGAAGUAGUAAAUGCGUCUCCAACUAUAAGAAUUUAAUGUAGCAGUAGAAGCUCAAAACAAAUAAAGAAACCCAAAAAUUUCAAAAUCGUAAAAUCCAAGAAAAUCAGGAAAAACUGAUAAAUGAUUUGAAAACCAGUACGAUGUCAGCUAAUCAAACUAGUUGUUCGAAUAGUCAACCUGAAAUGCUUAGUUUAAGUAAGAAAUCAACUCUUCUGUCUGAAUAAUAUGAAAAACUUGUUAAAAACUUAAUUAGAGCUGAUAACUACUCUUUAGUCGAAACCUUUUUUUUGCAAACCCAAUAUAACAAAGUAUUUAAAAAUCAAGAACUUUGUAUAAAUAUUUUAAAACAAAAAAUGUUGAGAUAAAAAUAGGGUAUAUGCCAUAUCAUGACCUUGAAUUUUUCUUUAUGAUAUAUUUGACCUAUGUGAACAUGUCUAUUGUAAAUAAAGGAAAUUUUGAUUUAAUACCCCAAUUCAUGGAUCAGGGAAUUUAAAAAAAAAAUUGUUUUAUGGACCAUGUAUCUCAAAUCCUUGAAAAUUUCCCAAAAAAAUUAAAAGAUAUUUUAACCUAUCUUUUCAAAACUGAAAAACAGAUAGACAUUUCUUUUGAAACCAUUCCACUUUUAUUUCAAAUCAAUGGAUCAGUAGUGCGAGCCUAUCACCAUGUAUAUAUAAAACAUAAUAAAUAACCACUGAUCCUCAACAAAAACCAGAAUGGGAAAUGACUCUUCCAAAUGAAUUUCAAGAAUUUUUUACUCGUUUUAGAAUCCUUCAGAUUUAUGAUCUUAGACCAACCCACAACAAAUUAUUUCAUCUCAUUGGUGAAACAAAAACCAUGUCCAUAUGGAGAAAUAAACCUUUAGAACACAUCAUGGUUCCAAAUCCUUUUAUUAUUUCUGAAGAACAAGAUUUUAUAACCGAACUUAGUGUGAAAAUACCAGAAUCAUCUUCCGACCACAACGAUGACGCAUUAUUUUGGGAAAACCUAGACGAUGAAAGUUAUUAUAAUAUGGAAAAUGCAAUGGAAGGAUGAUGUUUUCCAUGAUGACAUUGAAGUAGUAAAUGCGUCUCUAACUACAAGAAUUUAAUGUAGUAGUAGAAGCUCAAAACCAAUAAAGUCAUGUAUAAGCCACGUAUUCUGCUUGUGAUAGAAAAAAAAGAAAGAGACAAGGAAGAAGUGACCAGAUGGAUUGUAAAAGAAGAAACAGAAGUCAAAUCUCAUACCACCUAUCAACUGCCCUAACAACUUGAAUUAAAUUUCACUUGUCAUUUGUAAAUCUUCUGUCUAUAAAUAAGUCAUAUAGGAAGAAAGAAGUGUGUGAAAAAAAUAAAAGUAAGAGUGAAGUAAGUGUGAACAAUCAGAGUUGUGUCUUUAGCCUUAUAAAUUUCUAUGAUCAUCAAUAAGAAAGUAAGAUAUUUCUGUUAAAUUUCUAUUCUUAUUUUAUUUCUAUUUUAUUUUAUUUUGUGUCUUUUUUUCUUACCCUUAGGGGGUAAAAGGGGUAAAAAGAUAAAGUAGGGAAAUGAAAAUUAUUUGAAAGUUUAGUUUUAUUUUACUAGUUAAUAUCUAUAAUAUACAUAGAUCAUUUAUAUAUAAUGUUUCCAUCAAUAAAAAAAAUGAUCGGGUUAUUUAGAAAGUUUUGGGUAUAAAAUCAGGUUUUAAAACUAGAGUCUUUAUUCUUAAUCCUUAACCUGUAACCCAUUUUUGCCAAAAAAAUUGGCAUGUUAGGGAGACUUUGUCUGGUUGAAAGGGGCGUAUCACCUUGACAUGAAGUGAUGUUUUAAAAUUUUGAGUUUAUUCUUUAAACUUUUGAAAUAGCCGAUCUUUAAACUUUUGAAAUAGCCGAUCUUCAAACACUUAACUUUAAUGUUAUAAAUGCUUUCACACUAUAAACUGAAAGUUUUAAUUUAAAUAUACAUUAUAAUAAUAUGUAAUAAAUGGUUUCACACUGUAUUUGAAAGUUUUUAUUUUAAAAUAAUAUAUUAUUGUAAUAUAUAUUUAAAUUAAAACUUUCAGUUUAUAGUGUGAAAACAUUUAUAACAUGAAAGUUAAGUUUUUGAAGAUCGACUAUUUCAAAAGUUUAACUUUCAUGUUAUGAAAUCUUUCACACUAUAAACUGAAAGUUUUAAUUUAAAUAUAUAUUAUAAUAAUAUGUAAUAAAUGGUUUUACAAUGUAUUUGAAAGUUUUUAUUUUAAAAUAAUAAGUAUAAUAAAUGCAUUCACACUGGUUUUGGUUUUAAAACUUUCAUUUUGAACGAAAAUUUCAAGGUUCCUACCAUUACCUUGACUGUGAAUAGAAAACUAUGGAUGUUGAUGGGAAAAGUUGCUCUUGUUUGAUAUGGUCGUUUUCUAUAAAAGGUUUUUGAUUUUCUUCUUAAAAAUUAAUUAUAGUUCUUGGGUUUUCUAUUUUGAUUUUCUUCUUAAAAAUUAAUUAUAGUUCUUGGGUUUUCUAAACUUAUACUCUCUACAUCCUAUGUCUAAAUUUUCUCCUAUAUGUAAUUUUCUACGAAGUUGUUGAUUUAUAUCUUGUUUCUUUAUUUGGCUUCUUUCUCCUAUACUUACACAUUCUCUUUCUAACCAAUUUUUUACAAAUUCUAUUCUAGCACCUAUAUAAGGAGAGUUUUAUUAUUCGGAGGUUGAAAAUUUAUUCCAUAGUCUAAGUCCUACAUGUCCUUGUAUUUUUAAGAUAUAUUUAUUUAAAUAUUCAGGGGUUCUAAUAACUAUUGAUGUACUAAAAGUUAUUAUUUGUAAGAACAAAAUCAUAAAUUAUACCUUAAAAUAGUGACUAUUGUAGCUACUAACUUGUAAAGGAGUUUUUAUACUUGAAUUCAUUUUGUAAUAAUUUUUUUUUUAAAAUAUAGUUAUAAAAGUAAUUGAAAUAUAUCAUAAAUUACUAUAUAAUUUACCUUUAUAGUGUUUUAUUGUGUUUGAUAUUUUUGUUUAAAAUACAAGAGAAAGAUAAAGAAAAAAAGAAAAGAAUGUAGAAUUUUUAUUUUAUUGAUGUUGGUUCAAGUAUUACAUUUCAACAUUAUUCCAAUGUUUUCUCUUAAUUAUACUUUUAUUUUAGUCACGUUUCAAAUUUUUUACUUUGAUCCGUUAAUCUAGAAUUAAAUUUAUGCUAGCUAUGAAUAAACUAUAGGCCUCUAAUUUGUUGUCAUUCAACAUCAGGCUUGUUUAAGAGUGGCAAAAUUUGAUACGAUUCGUCAAUAAGACUUGAAUUUAACACGCUUUUCAUGGAUACUUUGUAAAGAUUUCUAAAUUACAAAUUCUUGUGACUAGGUUUGAAAAUAUUAGGACGCAUAAAAAUCAAAAUUUUUCUUCCUUUUAUUUUGAAUUAAGUGAUAUUGUAAAUUCUUCAUUUAAACUUAGAGAACUUAUUCCUAAUUCUAAGGUAGUUAGGAAAAUAUUAAGAUCUUUUCCAGAGAAAUUUAGACCUAAAGAAACUGCCAUAGGGGAAAGUAAGGACAUUGAUUCCAUGAGUUGAUGAACUUGUAGGCUCCAUUCAAAUUAAUUUGCUUUUAGAUUUCAGAUUGAUUGUCUUUUUUUUUUUUUCUAAAAAAAAAACUUAAAUUUUUUUUUUUAAUUGACUAAAAAAGUCAAAAUAUUUAAUUUUUUUUUAAUGAUAAAAGUAACAUAUUGAUUUUUCGUCUAAGUGGUACAACCUAGAUGGAUGGCAUUGGAGAUAUGUUUGAAGUGAGUUUGAAAUGUUGGGCUAUGUCUGUCUAGCCCAUGAACCCAUAUAUUUGACUAUUUUAUAUUUGGAUAUUCCCUAAGCCCAAAUAUGGAUAUAUAAAUAGCAUUAGGGCUUUGGUAUUAUGAGAGAAGGGCAUUUGAUUGAGAAAAGGAAAGAAGAUCAUGGUUUAUUUUCUAGGCACUAUUUUAGGGCUCAAGGGUGAAGUUAUAGAUUCCUUUCAUCAACCUUUUAGGGAAUUCCUAUGGUGUGUUUUCUUCUUAUUUCUUUUUGUUCAUGUUUCCUUGGGUGAUGGAUUCUCACCUCAAGUAUUUAGAUAUUUAUAUAAGUUCUCAAGGAGAAGAAACCUAAGGACUUAAUUAUUGUAUCCCCAUUUAUUGAAGUGGAAGAAAUUUUCUCCAUGGUUUUUUUACCUCCAUUUAAAGGGUUUUUCUAGGUUAUAUUUGGUGUCCUCUUUUUGGUUUAAUGUUCUUGAUUACCAUUCUUGAUUCUUGUUAGGUUGUUAUUAUUCUUGAGAAGGUGGCUAUUAUUGUUGAGUGAUUGUUAUUAUUGUGGAGGAAUCUUUUAAUAUUAAUAGGUUAAUACUCUAGAUCUCUCCCUUUAUCUUCCCAACAAGUGGUAUUAGAGCCUGGUUGUGGGAACUUUUAUUCUUUAAAGGGAUGAAAAUAGAAGGGAACUCAACCUCCAUGAUAAAACUUAACAAUUCAAAUUGGGUUAUAUGAAAGUCCAUAAUGGAAGAUUUUCUCACCAUCAAAGAUUUGUUGGAUACUCUUGAGGCUGAAGAAUCUAGGCCCGAAGAUAUUUCUUAUUUGGAAUGGAAUAAGAUAAAGAAAAAGAUAAUUGCCUCUAUUAGGCAAUGGAUCGACACAUCCUCACGUCAUCAUGUGGCAAAUGAAAUAAAUGCCUAUAAUCUCUGGAAGAAAUUGAAAUCAGUGUUUGAACAAAAAACUAUUGGGAAUAAAAUUUUCUUGUUAAAGAGUUAGUGAAUAUGAAGUUGAAGGAAGAAACACUAAUGAUAGAUCACUUGAAUGCUUUUCAGAGCAUUGUUAAUCAAUUGGAUGCUAUGAAAAUGGUUAUGGAUGAUGAGAUGCAAGCAUUUUUAUUAUUGUGUUCAUUACCAGACAAUUAGGAAACUUUUGUUGUGACUAUUAACAACUCUGUUUCGAAUGGUACAUUAUGUAUGGAGCUUGUGAAGGGAAAUUUGUUCAAUGAAAAAACAAGAAGAAAAGGCUUACGAGACAGAAAAUGCACAGACCCUCAUCAUAGAAAGUAAAGGAGGAAAUAGGAAUAGAUGAGAGAAAUGUUAUAUCAAAUUUGAGGGAAGGUCCCAAUCCAGAGAUAAAAUCAAAUGUUUCCUUUGUGGAAAAGAAGAGCAUAUGAAAAGAAAUUGUCGAAUUUGGAAAAGGGAACAUAAUAAGCAGAAUUAGGGAAAAGAAGAUGACAAGAAUACCAUAGCCUUUGUAUCAAACACUAAUGAAGUUUUAAUGCUCUCAGAUGAGUGUUUUCAUGUAGAUGAGUAAAGAGUUGAGUGGAUUAUAGACAUCGCAACCUCCUACGAUGCUAUUCCUCACUUGAAGUUGUUUUCUUGUUAUAGAGUUGGAGACUUUGGCACAGUCAAGAUGGGAAACUUUUGUCACUCCAAGAUUGUAGGGAUGGGUGAUGUUUUCUUUGAAACUAACAUAGGGUGCAAGUUGAAAUUGAAAUAUAUAAGGCAUGUUCUAGAUUUACACCUUAAUUUAAUAUCCGGUUUUGCCUUGGACAAGCAAGGUUAUGAAAACCACUUUGACAAAGGCAAAUGGAAGCUCACUAAGGGCUCAUUGGUUGUUGCAAAAGGAGAAUCAUGUUGCACUUUGUACAAAACCCAAGGAAAAGUUUGUAAUAAUGAGUUACAUGCUACAAAGGGUACUUCCUUGGAGUUGUGGCAUAAAAGGUUGGGGCAUAUGAGAGAGAAAAGAUUGCAAGUUUUGGCAAGGAAGUCCUUAAUUCCCUUGGCCAUAAAUGAAUCCUUGUCUUAUUGUGAUCAUUGUUUGGUUAGAAAACAACAUAGGGUUUCCUUUAGUAGCAGAUCUAAGAAGAAGCUAAAGAAAUCAGAGUUGGUAUACUCUGAUGUUUGUGGCCCCAUGGAUGUGGAAACUCUUGGAGGAAACAUUUACUUUGUCACUUUUAUUGAUGAUGCUACCAAGAAGGUAUGGAUUUAUUUUCUUAGAUAAAAAAAAUCAAGUCAUUCAGUAUUUUCUAUAGUUUCAUGUCAUGGUUGACAGAAAAACUAGAAGGAAAUUGAAGUGUCUCGGAUCAAUAAUGGAGGUGAGUACACCUCAAGGGAGUUUGAAACUUACAGCACUAAGAAUGGUAUUUGGCAUGAUAAAAUUGUUCAUAGCACUCCAUAACAUAAUGGUGUGGUUGAAAUGAUGAAUUGCACCAUCAUUGAGAGGAUUAAGUGUAUGCUAAAGACUACAAGGUUGUCUAAGGCAUUUUGGGGUGAAGCUACUCAGACUGCCUGGUAUUUGAUAAAUAGAUCUCCAUUAGGUCCAUUAAACUUUGAGGUUCCAGAGAAGGAAUGGACAGAAAAAUAUGUUUCUUAUUCCCACUUGAGGGUCUUUGGAUGUAAAUGUUUUGUGCAUGUUCCCAAAGAACAGAGAUCCAAACUUGAUGAUAAGGCAGUUCCACAUGUCUUUAUUGGGUAUGGUGAUGAAAAGUUUGGAUUCAGAUUGUGGGAUCUAACCAAGAAGAAAUUGGUGAGAAGUAAAGAUGUGGUCUUCCAAGAUGAUCAAACCUUGGGAGAUUUUAACAAAGCUAAUUAAUCUAAAGGUACAAGUGAUGACUUCAUUGAGUUGAUACCUAUUCUUCUAUCAUUAGAGUUAGAAUUUAUAGGAUUAGUUCAUCCAAAAAUAAAAUUGGGCCUUAGUGGGAGCCCAACAUCCAUGAUAUUUUCCUUCAUAAUAACCCAAGUGAAAUGCAUGUUAGGUAUUUAUUGAAUUUGAUCUGAUUCAUGAAGUGUGCGAGAUUAUUUGCUAUGGUACACUAACCUUUUUCCUUUGAGGCACUUUUCUUGUUGCAGAGGUAUGCUCUUAUCUCUACCUUGUCUAUUUAUUUAUUCCUCAUUAUCAUGCAUGAUUUGUUUUAGUCCAUGACUCUUGCUCCUUGGUAUCCAACAAUUAACUGGUCAAUUGUCAUACUUGCUUUAACUUGAUUAGUAGAAACCUGAUUUUAGGGCUUAGAGGAGUGCAAUGACUUAUCACCGUACCUUCUUGAUAGGUAACUUGACCCCUGUAUCCUAACUCGAUUUUCACAAACUUGUUUUUCCCUUAUAAGAGUCACAAUUAGGUUUUCUUUCUUAUUUUGUUUUCAUUUAUUAAAAAUAAUAAAAAAUAACUGGUGACUCCAAGCUUUUUCCUAAAAAUCAAAAUUUUCACAAAUAAAAAGCAAGUCAUGGUAUCGAGUGGAAAUGCAUGUGAAAAAUGUGAGUCCACAAGAUCUUAUACUGGGGCAUAUUUCCUGACUUUGAGCUUAUAUUCAUAUCAUAUUCAAUUGGGGCUUCAUUAGGGACAUGCUUCUAUUCUUGAGACUAUCAAACCUCUUGUCAUUUUGGUCAUCCUUUUGAGAUUUUAUUUGGAGUAUUUCCUUUCAGACAUGGACAAAUUUAAAUUUUGAGUUCUUAGUGCAUUAUCAUUAAGUUGGAGACAUCAUGAUAUAGUUUCUUUAGGAGCAUUUUUAUCCAAUCAAAUAAGUGAGGAUGUUUAUGCUUUCAGUGUAGUUGAUGAGUUUAGUUUCUUCUCAUAAACAAAUUUUCUUGAGCGAUAUGUUGAUAUCUCGUUAGGGAGUUUAGGUUGAUGUCAUCUUGUGGCAUUCCUUUUAUUUCAAUUUCAUUUGUUGCAUUCUUAUCUUUGAGUAUCCUUUUGGGCAUACCCUUUUCUUUUCAAUGAGUUGAUCGUUUAUAUUUUUAGUCACCCUUUAGUAGUUCAACUUGCAGUCACAAAUCAUGAUUUCCUUUAGGCAUUUAUAACCCACAACUCGAAGCUAUUCAUUUUAUUUCAAUUCAGAGUUUAUUAUAUUCCAAUUUUCAUUUACAUCAUUCCUUCAUUCUAGUUUCGUUUGUAGCAUUCCUUUCUGAUUACUACUCAAAACAUGCUAUUUUGUAGCUUGUAAUUAGCUCUUUUAAACACCAUUGAGUAGUAAUUAUUACCUUUUAACCCAAUUAGCAUGUUAGGAGCCCUUGCAAUCGUUUCUAACAAUUGUGUUAAGUUUUGGUGCUUUUUGAUAGCUUUAUGCUCACCAAAGCAAUUUAAGAAUGAGGGAGAGCUAUUUAUAGUUCAGGGCAAAGCUUUUGAAAGCUUAAAUUUAUGAAGAAAUCAAGCUAUGGAGCCUCAUAAUCCUUUGCCUUAGUGGUUCAAAGUAUACAAGGAAGAAACAAUGGAGAAGAGGAAAACAGGGGAUGAAAACAGGGGACACAGCUGCAGUCUUUCAUUGCACUUUUGGAGCACUUCCCGAAGUCCAUUUUUUACAUUCUAUAUACCAUUUCAAAGCUCAGAAAGUCAAGAAUCCAACGGUUCAAACCAUGUAUGAUUUGGAGCUGAAAUGAGAAAGAUAUGGCCUUCGGAAGACAACUGCAUCAGGCUGAGCGAAAAUUUCGCACGAUGGAAAUCAAGGUGCGAAAUCCUCAGUCCACUGUGCGAAAAUUUCGCACACCUCAAACCAAAGUGCGAAAUUGGAACUCAGCGUGCGAAAAUUGGAUAUUUUUGCCGACUCUUUUUCUUCUGAUAUUUUUGUGUCUAAAUUUCCAUUUUCUCCUUGUAUUCAACCACUCAUGUAAUUCCUUAACUAGGAAGUAUCCAAGGAAGGGUAAAAUUACCUUCCUAUAUAAAUUCUCUUGUAAUCACUGAAAAUGGAUCUUUUCGGGGAGCUUUCUCCAGGAGACCAACUUAUGUAACUUUGUUAUAUAGAGAUCUCUUUUGUUUAUCUUCUCUCUUCUAUUUUCUAUUUUCUUGCAAACCAAACACCCUCUGAGGAUGUUUUCCCAGAGGAUGAGAGGCUAAACCAAAAGUUUCUUGGAGUAAAGGAAGCUAGGUGAAAGUCCAGAUUAAAAGGUGGAAAAUUUCCGUGCAUUAAAUUCAGGUAGUUGGAGUCCAUAAAUGGUUUCUAAAUUCAAAGUUUUGCUUUAAAUCCCUUAGGAUCACUUUGACUGGCCAAUACAUGGUAAGCUUAAGGUCUCUGUGGAUGCUUAUUGCUAGAUCCAUAUCAGUCCAUUAGUUAUCAUGUACGAGCCAUUGGAAAGUGAUUCAAGGUGAUAGCCCAUAGUGUCUUAAGCCAUUAAUGGACCUUGACUACCAUCUCUAGUGACUUUUUAUGGAUUAAAACUUCAUUGUCAAACCUAUACCGGUUCGGGAAAUAACUAUAGGUUAAAUCCCCAAUGCGAGGAGAAAAAUCCGGAAUUUUCCACUUUGCAUCUGGUACUUGAACCUAGCAACCUUUAGCUCCGGGAGACUUUCUUUUUUCCACUUUUUACUUAGUUCUAUGUGAGUUUAGUUUAAAUCACCACUUUCAAAACAAUUUUAGUUUCUUUUAAAUUUCAAGUUUGUGCUAAAGGAAAUCAUCAGAAUCAAUUUCUAAUUUAGAGUCUGUCACUGAUAGAGUGAAAACCCAUCCCUGAGUUCGACCCUAGAACUGCUAUACUAUAGUAGCUUUGCUACGCCAGUAUAAGGUCAUAGGUUUUAUAAAUAUUUUUUAUUAAAAGACCUGACUGGGAAUACAAGCGAAUCAAAUGGCGCCGUUGCCGGGGAUGGUGCCACAAUACAGUGAUACAACCUUUUAGAGGCUACUUGUGAUUUCCAUCACAAGUUUGGUGAAUUCCUUUUUCACUAAUUUCAUUUUCUUUCAUUUUCUUUUUGUUAAUUUUAAUUUCAUUUUCUUUCUAACCUUAAUAAUUUUUUUUUUCUCUAGAUUCCUUUUGUUUUUGUUGUUUUUGUCUUAUUUUAGGUAAGUAGUAACUUGUGCAUGCCCUAUUGGAUUAGGGACCAAGAGGGAAGAUUAGUAAGGAUUGAGAAUCCUCAAGACACAGAGUUGGAUAUCUGUGUAAAUAUCAUGGACCCUCCACCAGAGGAUCAGAAUUCUCAACAAGGUCAAGGGGGUAAUCCCAAUGCAUACCUAUCCAUGAGGGAUAGAAUGCAUCCCCCAAGGAUGAGUGCACCCUCAUGCAUCCUGCCCCCUCUUGAGCAGUUAGUUAUAAGACCCCAUAUUGUGCCCCUCCUACCAAAUUUCCAUGGAAUGGAGAGUGAGAAUCCAUAUGCUCACAUCAAGGAGUUUGAGGAGGUUUGCAAUACCUUUAGAGAGGGAGGAGCUUCAAUAGACUUGAUGAGACUCAAGCUAUUCCCUUUUACUUUGAAGGAUAAGGCAAAAAUAUGGCUUAAUUCUUUAAGGCCAAGGAGCAUAAGGAAUUGGGUUGAUCUUCAAGCUGAAUUUUUGAAGAAAUAUUUCCCCACCCAUAGGACUAAUGGGUUGAAGAGACAAAUCUCAAACUUUUCUGCAAAAGAAAAUGAGAAGUUCCAUGAGUGUUGGGAAAGGUAUAUGGAAUCCAUCAAUGCUUGUCCUCAUCAUGGUUUUGAUACAUGGCUCUUAGUGAGCUAUUUUUAUGAUGGAAUGUCUUCUUCCAUGAAGCAAAUUCUUGAGACCAUGUGUGGGGGAGAUUUUAUGAGUAAGAAUCCUGAUGAAGCCAUGGACUUUUUAAGUUAUGUGGCUGAGGUGUCAAGAGGAUGGGAUGAGCCCAACUCAAGAGAGAAAGGAAAGUUUCCCUCUCAACAAACCCAAAAUCCAAAGGCUGGAAUGUACAUGUUGAGUGAAGACGUGGACAUGAAAGCUAAAGUGGCAACAUUAGCUAGGAGGUUGGAAGAACUUGAGUUGAAAAAGAUGCAUGAAGUCCAAGCUAUUUCCGAGACUCAAGCCCGUGCCAUGCCAUGCACCAUUUGCCAAUCAUGUGAUCAUGUGGUAGAUGAGUGUCCAACCAUGCCAGCUGUGAGAGAGAUGUUAGGUGAUCAAGUGAAUGUUGUGGGGCAAUUUAGGCCCAACAACAGUGCAUCCUAUGGUAACACCUAUAAUUCAAGCUGGAGAAACCACCCAAAUUUCUCUUGGAAACCAAGACCACCUCCAUACCAACCACAAGGCCAAACACAAGCACCUCAACAACCAUCUUCAGUGGAGCAAGCCAUUGCAAACCUAAGUAAAGUCAUGAAUGACUUUGUGGGUGAACAAAGGGCAAUCAACUCCCAAUUGCACCAAAAGAUUGAGAAUGUUGAGAGUUCUCUAAAUAAGAGAAUGGAUGGGAUGCAAAAUGAUCUAUAUCAUAAGAUAGAUAAUAUUCAGUACUCCAUCUCUAGACUUACCAACCUCAACACAGUGAAUGAGAAAGGAAAAUUCCCCUCUCAACCAAGCCAAAAUCCUAAGGGUGUUCAUGAAGUUGAAACCCAAGAGGGGGAUUCUUCAAAGUUGAGGGAGGUCAAAGCUGUGAUAACCUUGAGGAGUGGAAAAGAGGUUGAUCAGCCCUUGCCUAACUUGGGGCCUGAUGAAGAACUCAGAUCAAAGGGACCCUUGAUUAAAGAGGGCAAAAACCAAGAAGAGCAGAGUGGGAAGAAAAGUGCAUCCAAAUCAAGCAUUGAAGAAGAACCAAGGAUAGUGAUUAAGGAGGAUAUGAUGAAGAAACAUAUGUCUCCCCCUUUUCCUCAAGCUUUACAUGGAAAGAAAGAAAUCAAGAAUUCAUCAGAAAUUCUUGAAGUGCUGAGGCAAGUGAAGGUGAAUAUGCCUUUACUUGAUAUGAUCAAGCAAGUCCCCACAUAUGCAAAGUUUCUAAAGGACUUGUGCACAGUCAAGAGAGGUUUACAGGUGACAAAGAAUGCAUUCCUCACUGAGCAAGUGAGUGCUAUCAUUCAGAGUAAGUCCCCAGUUAAGUAUAAAGAUCCGGGAUGUCCCACCAUAUCAGUCAACAUUGGAGGGACACAUGUGGAAAAAGCUUUACUAGACUUGGGAGCAAGUGUGAAUUUGCUCUCAUACUCUGUGUAUAAGCAACUGGGACUAGGAGGAUUAAAGCCCACAACCAUGACCCUCUCUUUAGCUGAUAGGUCUGUCAAAAUCCCAAGGGGAGUGAUAGAGGAUGUUCUAGUUCAAGUGGACAAAUUCUACUAUCCUGUGGAUUUUGUGGUGCUUGAUACUGAUUCCUCUGUCAAGGAAGAAAAUUAUGUACCAAUCAUCCUAGGGAGACCUUUCCUUGCUACCUCCAAUGCUAUUGUUAAUUGUAGGACUGGGGUGAUGCAGCUCACAUUUGGAAAUAUGACAUUGGAAUUAAACAUAUUCCACUUAUGUAAGAGGCAUCUUUACCCUGAAGAGGAGGAAGGAUUUGAGGAGGUGUGCUUGAUCAACACUUUGGUUGAAGAGCACUGUGACAAGAGUUUAGAGGAGAGCUUGAAUGAAAACCUGGAAGUCCUUGAAGAUGGGUUCCCUGAACCCUCUGAUGUGCUAGCCAUUAUGUCUCCUUGGAGGAGACGGGAAGAGAUCUUACCACUGUUCAACCAGGAAGACUCACAAGGAGUUGCUGUGGAGAACCCUCCAAAGCUUAUUUUAAAACCACUUCCUCUGGAGUUGAAAUAUGCAUACUUGGAGGAUGAUGAGAAAUGUCCAGUGGUAGUUUCCUCAACCCUCACUAGUGAUCAAGAGGAUAGUCUUUUAGGAGUCCUCAGAAAAUGUAAGAAAGCCAUUGGAUGGCAAAUUUCUGAUCUGAAAGGGAUUAGCCCUUUGGUGUGCACCCAUCAUAUUUAUAUGGAGGAUGAUGCAAAACCAGUGAGGCAACCCCAAAGGAGACUGAAUCCUCACAUGCAAGAGGUGGUGAGGAGUGAUGUUUUGAAGCUACUUCAAGCUGGGAUCAUAUAUCCCAUUUCAGACAGCUUGUGGGUGAGUCCCACCCAAGUAGUCCCAAAGAAAUCUGGAAUCACUGUGAUCCAGAAUGAGAGAGGGGAGGAAGUCUCUACACGUCCUACCUCAGGAUGGAGGGUGUGUAUAGACUAUAGAAGGUUGAAUUCAAUGACUAGGAAGGACCAUUUUCCAUUGCCUUUCAUGGACCAAGUCCUUGAGAGAGUCUUAGGACAUCCUUUCUAUUGUUUUCUAGAUGGUUAUUCAGGGUACUUCCAAAUAGAAAUUGAUUUGGAAGAUCAAGAAAAGACAACCUUCACUUGUCCCUUUGGUACUUUUGCUUAUAGGAGAAUGCCCUUUGGUCUAUGUAAUGCUCCUGCAACUUUCCAAAGAUGCAUGCUAAGCAUCUUCAGUGACAUGGUCGAACGCAUCAUGGAAGUUUUCAUGGAUGACAUCACUGUAUAUGGAAGUUCUUAUGAGGAGUGUUUGAUGCAUUUAGAAGCUGUUCUCCAUAGAUGUAUUGAGAAAGACCUAGUGCUAAAUUGGGAGAAGUGCCAUUUUAUGGUACAAAAAGGAAUUGUCUUAGGACAUAUCAUCUCCAAAAAUGGCAUUGAGGUAGAUAAGGCAAAGGUGGAACUUAUUGUUAAGUUGCCACCUCCCACAAAUGUUAAAGGAAUUAGGCAAUUCCUUGGACAUGCAGGAUUCUNNNNNNNNNNNNNNNNNNNNNNNNNNNNNNNNNNNNNNNNNNNNNNNNNNNNNNNNNNNNNNNNNNNNNNNNNNNNNNNNNNNNNNNNNNNNNNNNNNNNNNNNNNNNNNNNNNNNNNNNNNNNNNNNNNNNNNNNNNNNNNNNNNNNNNNNNNNNNNNNNNNNNNNNNNNNNNNNNNNNNNNNNNNNNNNNNNNNNNNNNNNNNNNNNNNNNNNNNNNNNNNNNNNNNNNNNNNNNNNNNNNNNNNNNNNNNNNNNNNNNNNNNNNNNNNNNNNNNNNNNNNNNNNNNNNNNNNNNNNNNNNNNNNNNNNNNNNNNNNNNNNNNNNNNNNNNNNNNNNNNNNNNNNNNNNNNNNNNNNNNNNNNNNNNNNNNNNNNNNNNNNNNNNNNNNNNNNNNNNNNNNNNNNNNNNNNNNNNNNNNNNNNNNNNNNNUUUGGUAGGGUCCUCUAUAGUAGUGUUCACUGACCAUCUGCUUUGAAGUACUUGCUAACCAAGCAGGAUGCCAAGGCAAGAUUGAUAAGAUGGAUUCUUUUGCUCCAAGAAUUCAAUCUCCAAAUCAGGGAUAAAAAGGGGGUAGAAAAUGUGGUAGCUGACCACUUGUCCAGACUAGUGAUAGCACAUGACUCACAUGGUCUACCUAUCAAUGAUGACUUCCCUGAGGAGUCUCUCAUGUCAGUAGAUUUAGCUCCAUGGUAUUCUCACAUUGCAAACUUUUUGGUUACUGGAGAGUACCAAGUGAGUGGAGUGCUCAAGACAAGAGGCAUUUCUUGGCUAAGAUCCAUGCUUAUUAUUGGGAGGAACCUUUUCUUUUCAAAUAUUGUGCAGAUCAAAUUAUAAGGAAAUGUGUUCCUGAGCAAGAGCAAUCGGGAAUUCUUUCCCAUUGCCAUGAUAAUGCAUGUGGAGGUCAUUUUGCCUCCCAGAAAACAGCUAUGAAAGUGAUCCAAUCAGGCUUCUCGUGGCCCUCUCUUUUCAAGGAUGCCCAUUCUAUGUGUAAGGCAUGUGAUCAGUGUCAAAGGCUUGGUAAGCUAACACGCCGAAAUAUGAUGCCCUUGAACCCCAUCUUAAUAGUGGAUAUCUUUGAUGUCUGGGGUAUAGACUUUAUGGGACCAUUUCCAAUGUCAUUUGGACAUUCCUACAUCUUGGUAGGAGUAGAUUAUGUCUCUAAGUGGGUAGAGGCAAUCCCAUGUAGGAGCAAUGAUCAUAAGGUGGUACUUAAAUUCCUCAAGGACAACAUCUUUGCAAGAUUUGGAGUGCCAAAGGCCAUUAUAAUGACGGGGGAACCCACUUUUGCAAUAAACCUUUUGAGACUCUUCUAGCCAAGUAUGGGGUUAAGCAUAAGGUAGCUACACCUUAUCACCCUCAAACAAGUGGCCAAGUUGAGUUGGCCAACCGUGAGAUCAAGAAUAUAUUGAUGAAGGUGGUCAAUGUGAAUAGGAAGGAUUGGUCUAUCAAGCUCCUGGAUUCCUUAUGGGCUCAUAGGACCGCUUACAAGACCAUUCUAGGAAUGUCUCCCUAUCGGCUUGUCUAUGGCAAAGCGUGUCAUCUUCCAGUAGAGAUUGAGUAUAAAGCAUGGUGGGCAAUCAAAAAGCUCAACAUGGAUUUGACAAGAGCCGGGUUAAAGAGAUGUUUGGAUUUGAAUGAAUUGGAGGAAAUGAGGAAUGAUGCAUACCUCAAUUCAAAAAUUGCCAAAGCAAGAUUGAAAAAAUGGCAUGAUUAGUUGGUAAAUCAGAAAAAUUUUACCAAAGGACAAAAAGUUUUGCUUUAUGACUCUAAACUUCAUCUCUUUCCAGGAAAAUUGAAAUCCAGGUGGACGGGUCCUUUCAUAAUUCAUGAAGUGCAUCCCAACGGAGUGGUGGAAAUAUUCAAUCCCACAGGCAAUCAAACCUUCAAAGUCAAUGGCCAUCGUCUCAAGCCAUUUAUAGAGCCUUAUAGUACAGACAAGGAGGAGAUCAACCUCCUUGAACCACCACAACUCUGAGGGAAAGCAGGGUAUCAUGGGCUAAAUAAGUCCAUGAAUUUUUUGUUAUAGUUUUAUAGUUAUAUCAUUAAUUUUAUUUCUUUUUAUUAUAAUUUUUCCUCAGUCUUAGUUUAUUUUGUCUUAAUUCAAGUCAAUUUUGAUGAUAAAAUUCAGAAAAAAAUCAUGAAAGGUGAGGAGAGCUCUUCAAAAGCAGAACAGGGGAGUAAAACCAAGGAAGCAGAGCACCUGAUUUCAAGGUGCCAAAAUUUCGCACACCUGAUUUCAAGGUGCGAAAAUUUCGCACACCCCAAAACCAAGGUGCGAAAUCUAUCUCAAGGUGCGAAAUCCGUUUUCAAGGUGCGAAUUUCCUAAAAUCCAAUUUCGCACACCACUGUGUAAGGUGCGAAAAUUUUCGCACUGUGCGAAAUCCUCUCUUGGAACACGUGUGCCAAUUUCGCACACCUCAAGCUAAUUUUCGCACUGUGCGAAACAGUGUGCGAAAAUUUCGCACACCACUGUUCAAGGUGCAAAAAUUUCGCACACCCAAUUCAAAGGUGCGAAAUCUUCAAUUGAAGGGGUGCCAUUUUCGCACACCCAAUUCCAAGGUGCGAAAUUUGCAGACCAAGGUGCGAAAAUUUCUCACGGUAAAAUUUUAAGUUCUAAAAAUUUAAAAUGGACUUUUAAAUUAAAAUUUUACCCCCGAAAUUGUGCCUAACGUCCAAAAACGACUUUUCGGUUGCCUUGGAAAAUUUUAAAACAUCAGAAACCCCUUAAACCUCAUUCCUAUAUAAACCCUUGAGGUCCAGAAGCCCAAAGGACACCCCGCGCACCAGCUGUGAAAUCUCUGGAAUCUCGAACAGUCAUCUACCUCCAUUUCGGCCAUGGCGAAGACCAGAGGAGGCCAUUCCGCCUCCCCAUCCUCACCGACACCUCGACCACAUCGAGCCGCCAUGGGAGCCGCAGCUUCGCCACUUGUUCAGGCCCCGGCCAUUCCCCCAUCUGAGGGGGAAGCUCCUUCUCAGCGUCGAUACCCCACCAGGAGGCCACCCACGGACCCUGUGCCACCAGUCGAUCAGGCCACGGGCCCUGUUUCUCGGCCACCAGCGAAGAGAACCAAGUUCUCGGGUCCUGGAGAGCCAUCCCACGCACCUCAGCCAGAGCCACCUACAGAGGACUCCCGGAUUCCUGCGGAUAUUCCUCUCGAGACCGUUAUCAGGCGUCCCAUGAUAGCUGGACCACCGAUAGAGGGCAACUUGGAUUGCAGAGAUCGAUCCUUCCACUCUGAGAUCUACUUUGAUAUAGAGGCCCUCAGACAGCAGCCAGAGCUCCGAGAUUCAUUCCGACUGCUGCAGAGGUAUCACAUGGAGGGUCUUCUCACUCCUAGGCAAUUUUAUUAUCCUAGAGUAGUUUUAGAUUUUUAUCAAUCUAUGACUACUCGGGGUCUCCGCAAUCCUAAUCUCAUCACAUUGCUCGUCACAUUGCUGAGGCCCUCCAUAUACCUUAUGAGCCCGUGUUUCAGGCAGAUUUCAGGGAGUGGUCCUCAUUCUCUCAGAGUGACAUGGUCCGCAUUUUGUCCAGGGGGACUUCUACAGCCUCGGUAUUGACCAGGAGAGAGCUUCCAUCUGGGAUGCUCCUCAUUGAUGUGCUCUUGCGUGCCAACCUAUUCCCCCUUCAGCAUAAAGUUCAGAGGAGAGGAGCUAUACUUGAGGCAUUAUUUAGGAUUUCUGAGGGCUAUUUCUUCGGCCCUCAUCAUUUGAUUAUGACUUCUCUUCUUCAUUUUGAAGAAAAAGUCCAUCAGAAGAAGCUUCAGAGGGCAGAUGGCAUUCCAUUACUAUUUCUGAGGCUCCUCUGCCAGAUUUUAGAGCAUCUGGGCUAUCCUAAACAGCCCCGUCUUGAGAGGCGCCGCCAUUGCAGAGAGGAUUUCUCUCUCGACAAAUGGCAUCACUUGGUAGCCUACUUUGCACCCGAGGGAGCACCAGCUGUGCCUGCACCUCCAGAGCUACCCCGAGAUGACCAGCUACCUCAGGCCCAGCAGGAUGAGAUUCUCACAAAGACCACACCUCCGACCCCUGCAGCACCCACCUCAGUGCACAUGCCCGAGGCUAUACAUUCUACCUCCCCUAUCACUCAGAGUGCUCCACCAGUCGUACUAGCUACCCCAGCACCUCCUCCUUCAUCUGAGCCCACUGUCACCGUUUCUCUUGCGGAAUUCAGAGGCUUAGUGCGUUCAUUGCAGACACUGAGCACUGCUCAGGAUUCUAUUAUCCACCAGAUGGCCACUAUUCGUGCACACCAGGAUCAGAUCAUUGCUACUCAGACCUAGCAUACCACGAUCCUUCAUCAGAUUCAGCAGCAUCUGAGUAUGCAGACUCCUCUUAGGCAUGAUAGGUCUGCACCAUCCGAGCCUCUAGUGCCAGGUGAGGAGAGCUUGCCAGCUGAGCAGCCUAUACCAGAGGAGGAGAUCAGAGCAGAGCCAUCACAUGACCCCACUCAUAUAUGAUCUUUUUAUGUUUUACUUUAUAUAUUAGACUUGUAAAUCCCAUCUUUUGCAUGUGUUAUAAACUGAGAUUGGAAAUAGUACUUGAAAUCAUACAUUGUAUAUUUCUUUUCCAAGUAAUAUAUACAUAUAUAUAUCCUUUUUUAUUAUAUUCCCUUUUCUCAUUACUCUUUUGUCUUUGGAACAUGUGGUUUAAGGUAUUCCAUACCUCCUUUACACUCAGACUUUGUCUCACUCAGGAGGUACCACUUCCUCCCUUUAUUUUUAAUCGCUUUUGAAACAUUGAGGACAAUGUUCAACUUGGUUGGGGGGAGAGUUGAGAAAUGAAGUUUUGUUGUUAAUAUUAAGUCAUUUUGGUAUUUUAGUUGAUUUUUCCUUAAAAUUUAAAAUUGCUAAAAGUUUUUUGAAUCAUUCUCUUUGGUUGUUAAAGAUAAUUUCUCAAAAAUAAAAUAGGAUAAGUCGAGUUUUAACUUAAUUAUUUAAGUCUUAGAGUUUGUUUUAUGCUUUCAAAGUUGAUAAUCUAUUGAAGCCUCUUUGAUUUUGAACUUUCUUCUUCCAUUUCGAGCUUUACACACACUGUGCACAUUAGAUCCCGGAUAUAAGAUGUAAAACUUUCUCACUUUCUAAGCUUAGGAAAAUUUUGACUUGGUUGAUUACUUAACCUCUCUUUAAUAGUGUUGGGACACCUCAUAAAGACCAAUGAGUCUUUGAAAAAAAAAAAAAAAAAAAGAGAAUAAGCCUCUAUUCUUUCCUUGAAACCUAAGUAUGAUCCGAAGGGGUGGCGAAAGCCUUUAAAACCCGAUGCCCUAAACCUUGAUUGGUUGGGAGUCAUCGAUCCUCUGCUUGCUACAUAGGUGAAUUGGUUAAGUUUAGUGAGUAAAAAAGAAUUGUGAAUAAGAAGGUGCGUUCUUAACCUAUUAAGAGUUGAUUAAUUUUGCCAAUAUUCGAGAAAAGCUUAGGUUGGAGGGUGAGGAUAGUUGUAUAUACUAUAUCCGGAAGCUAAUUUCAUUAACACUUAGCUUAUUAUGGAAGAGUUUGAUUUGAAACCUUGAGAGUAGAGAUUCUUUUGAUACUUAAUUGCAUAAUCUCCACUCUUUGUACUUUUUGUUUAAGUUUAAGCUUUGACAACUCCUAUUGCAUUUUGAAUCUUCAUAUCUUUAGUUCACCAGGAGAGAUGUGUUUGGAUAUCAGUCAUGCCACUCAAUUAUUUUUUGGAAUGAAUUGCAUGACUUCUUUUAUGUAUAUUAUUACGUUUGCUUAGUUUUUCUCUCCUUAAUUGCUAAGGGACUAGCAAUAUGUCGGUUGGGGGGAGUGAUUACUACUCAAAACAUGCUAUUUUGUAGCUUGUAAUUAGCUCUUUUAAACACCAUUGAGUAGUAAUUAUUACCUUUUAACCCAAUUAGCAUGUUAGGAGCCCUUGCAAUCGUUUCUAACAAUUGUGUUAAGUUUUGGUGCUUUUUGAUAGCUUUAUGCUCACCAAAGCAAUUUAAGAAUGAGGGAGAGCUAUUUAUAGUUCAGGGCAAAGCUUUUGAAAGCUUAAAUUUAUGAAGAAAUCAAGCUAUGGAGCCUCAUAAUCCUUUGCCUUAGUGGUUCAAAGUACACAAGGAAGAAACAAUGGAGAAGAGGAAAACAAGGGAUGAAAACAGGGGACACAGCUGCAGUCUUUCAUUGCACUUUUGGAGCACUUCCCGAAGUCCAUUUUUUACAUUCUAUAUACCAUUUCAAAGCUCAGAAAGUCAAGAAUCCAACGGUUCAAACCAUGUAUGAUUUGGAGCUGAAAUGAGAAAGAUAUGGCCUUCGGAAGACAACUGCAUCAGGCUGAGCGAAAAUUUCGCACGAUGGAAAUCAAGGUGCGAAAUCCUCAGUCCACUGUGCGAAAAUUUCGCACACCUCAAACCAAAGUGCGAAAUUGGAACUCAGCGUGCGAAAAUUGGAUAUUUUUGCCGACUCUUUUUCUUCUGAUAUUUUUGUGUCUAAAUUUCCAUUUUCUCCUUGUAUUCAACCACUCAUGUAAUUCCUUAACUAGGAAGUAUCCAAGGAAGGGUAAAAUUACCUUCCUAUAUAAAUUCUCUUGUAAUCACUGAAAAUGGAUCUUUUCGGGGAGCUUUCUCCAGGAGACCAACUUAUGUAACUUUGUUAUACAGAGAUCUCUUUUGUUUAUCUUCUCUCUUCUAUUUUCUAUUUUCUUGCAAACCAAACACCCUCUGAGGAUGUUUUCCCAGAGGAUGAGAGGCUAAACCAAAAGUUUCUUGGAGUAAAGGAAGCUAGGUGAAAAGUCCAGAUUAAAAGGUGGAAAAUUUCCGUGCAUUAAAUUCAGGUAGUUGGAGUCCAUAAAUGGUUUCUAAAUUCAAAGUUUUGCUUUAAAUCCCUUAGGAUCACUUUGACUGGCCAAUACAUGGUAAGCUUAAGGUCUCUGUGGAUGCUUAUUGCUAGAUCCAUAUCAGUCCAUUAGUUAUCAUGUACGAGCCAUUGGAAAGUGAUUCAAGGUGAUAGCCCAUAGUGUCUUAAGCCAUUAAUGGACCUUGACUACCAUCUCUAGUGACUUUUUAUGGAUUAAAACUUCAUUGUCAAACCUAUACCGGUUCGGGAAAUAACUAUAGGUUAAAUCCCCAAUGCGAGGAGAAAAAUCCGGAAUUUUCCACUUUNNNNNNNNNNNNNNNNNNNNNNNNNNNNNNNNNNNNNNNNNNNNNNNNNNNNNNNNNNNNNNNNNNNNNNNNNNNNNNNNNNNNNNNNNNNNNNNNNNNNUACCAAAAAGUGCUAUUUUGUAGACCUAAUUAUAAUGGUUUUAAGCACCUUUGAGUAGUAAUCAUAUUCAUUUAACCCAAUUAAUUCAUUAAGGUCCUUAGUAAUUGGUUUUAACCAUUUUGUGGCAAGUUUACAUGUUUUUAUCAGCUUAUGAAUCAAUUCAAGCAUGCCAAAUGAUGGAGGAGCUACUUGGACAAGUUAUGGCAAAGCUUUUGGAAGCUCAAAUUCAUGAAGAACCAAGCUUUGGAGCUCCAUAGCCCUUUGCCAAAGUCGUUCAAAGUAUGCAAGGAGAGAAGCAAAAAGAAGCAAAGAGAAGCAAAGAGGACAGCAGCUGCAGUCUUCUUUCGCACUUUUGGAGCACUUACCGAAGUCCAUUUUUUACAUACUAUAUACCAUUUCAAAGCUCUGGAAGUCAAGAAUCCAACGCUUCAAACCAUGCACGAUUUGGAGUUGAAAUGAGGAAGAUAUGGCCUUCGGAAGACAACUGCUCCAGGUUAUGCGAAAAUUUCGCAUAACACCUUCAAAAUUCGCAUAACCCAUGCGUGUUGCGAAUUUUCCUCUGCUUUUACUGACUCCACUUUAGAUAUUUUCCUUCGUAUUUUGUGAUGUAAUUUCCUUUCUUAUCCUUGUAACUAACCAAUCACAAGCUUUUGCUUUUGUAAAGACUGUAUAAGGGGUGGAAAUCACCUCUUGGAUAUAGAUAGAAUACGUAUUACGUUUUACACUUAGAAUAUACAGAGCUCUCUCGUUUCUCUUUUCUCUUUACUAUUUUCUUUUUCUCAGAAGCCAAACAGCCUCUGAGGGCUUUUCCUCAGAGUAUGAUUGGCUAAAACCUUUAGUUUCUCAAAGUAUGGAUGUUAUGUGAUGGCUUGGAUGCAAUCCCAUGGAAAUUUCUCGCACCCGGAAGGUAAGGUAGUCGUUUUUCAUUAAUGGUUCAUUAAUGUAAAGUUUGGUUUUUAUUUCCUUUGGACAACUUCCAAUGGCCAAUACUUGAUAAGCUUUUGGAUUUCUAUCCAUUAGUUAUCUCCUACGAGCUAUUGGAAGGUGAGGUUUUCAAUUCCAAGUUUUGUAUUAAUCCGUUAGAACCAAUUUCAAUGGCCAUUGAAAGGUGAGUUUAUCACUUGGAAUGACUUUGAGUUGCUAAUAUUUGGUAAGCUUUUGGAUUUAGACCAUUAGUUAUCUCUUACGAGCCAUUCAAAGGAAGUCUAAGGUGAAUAACCAUUGAUGAAAUUCACUACCAUUUGUUUUGCCAUUUUAAAGGAUUAAAACUUGAUUUGCUAAAUCCAUACCGGUUCGGGAAGCAAGCAUCACCAUAGUUGCAACCCCAACGCGAGGAGCCUAUCCUGAGAUUUCCAAUUUGCAUAAGAGCCAGAGCAUAGCUAUCCUAUCUUUGAGAAACUUGUUUUUACACCCUUUCAUUUUAGUCUUUAAUGUUAGCUUAGAUUAGUUUAAAUCUUUCUAAAACAUUUACAUCUUCUUUUAAAGCUAACAUCCAUAAGAAAAUCACCUAUUUUCCUAAUUUGAAUAUCACUUGUGUUUGCGAAAACCCUUCCCAGUGAACGAUCCUAGAACCACUAUGCUAUAGUAGCUUGGCUACUUUAGUAAUAGUAUUCAAGGUAUAAAUUUUGUUGAUACGCCUUUAAAGCUAAGCUACCAUGAGUCGAAUCAAUACCCUCUUGUAUUUAGUGAGUUGAUCGCCCUUAUCUUAGUUAACCUUAGUGGUUCAACUUGGAGUCAUGGAUCAUGAUCUCCCUUAAGCGUUCAAAGCCCACGGCUUGGAGCUAUUCAUUAUAUCUUAGUUCAAAGUUUAUUAUCAUUUUUGUCUCGUUCAUGGCAUUCUUUCAUUUUGAUUUUGUUUAUAGCAUCCUUAUCUUUGAGUAUCAUAUGGGGUAUACCCCUUUUUUUUUAAUGAGUUGAUCAUCCUUAUCUUUAGUCACCCUUUAGUGGUUCGACUUGGAGUCGUAGAUUGCAAUCUCCCUUAGGUGUCACUAUAAGAAAUUUUAUUUUUCCUGACUAAUAUACAUAGUUGAAAUAAACAUUUACUAACGGAUAAUCUCAACGCAUGGUAGUCAGGGAAAGGUGUGUAGGCAAAAGUUUAUUGAUGGGAAUUUUUCGCUACCAAUAAAAAAAAUUUAGCAACAAACUAUCCAAUGGAUUUGGACCGUUGCUAUUACCAACAGAUUAAGUUGGUGGGGAAAUGUAAAUAAUUAAAUAUUUUAGAUUGUCAUUUAAUCUCAAUUUCAUUAUAUUCAACAUAGAGCACCUUGUUACACUCUUUGCUAGUUUUCGAUAUUUACUUGGUUGUUGGCUUGCCACAACACUCUUUGCUUGUUUUGGAUAUUGACUUGGAUGCUCUUUUUUUUUUUUUUUUCUGGAAUUGAACUCAUGACACCAAGUUUGAAAGGAAGAAACUGUGCCAUCAAGCCAACUUUGUUAUUUGCAAGAUAAAGAAUAGAUAUAAGAUUCAUAAGUAAAAAUAUCCUAUACUUACACGUUUAUAUUAUAAAUAUUAUCUAUAUAUAAAUACAUAUUAUAAAUUAUAUAUGCAUGAAUUAAUAUAAGGUUUGUUACCUUUUAAGCAUAGAAUUCCUCUUUCUCUAAAUUAGUGUGCUAAAACACUUGAGGAGAAAGAGUGCAUGAAGUUAAUACCUUAUGCCUCUGCAAUGGGUAGUCUUAUGUAUUUGAUGCUAUGUACUAGCCUAGAUAUUUUCUUUGCAAUGGGUAUGGUGAGUAGAUAUCAGUCUAAUCCAGGUCCAAAACAUUGGACAACAGUCAAGCAUAUACUCAAGUACCUUAGGAGAAUGAGAGAUUAUGUGUUUGUGCUCCAAAGUGUUGAGAUAGUUUAAAGGGUGACAUGAAGGUUGAUAAGAUACCUUCUGUGAAGAACCUAGCGGAUCUCUUCACCAAGACAUUGUCAGGAAGAGUCUUUGAUGGUCACAAGGAUAACAUAAGUUUCAAAUGAGUAUCCGACAUGCUUUAUAGGCAUGAUGCGUUAAGGGCUAGUGGGAAAAUGUUAAGAUAGAGCCCUUAAAAGUAUGACAUGAUGUAAUAAAUUUGGAAUUCAUUAUUUAUUUAACGAUGUUCCAGAUUCACUUUUAUCGAUCCUUAUUCCAUGUAUUAUACUUUACGAUCAUUCUUGCCUACAUCCUUUACAUUGUACGUGACCUAGGUUCAUUAGGAGUUGCACAACAGAUCUAAGUCAUGGGUUCCUUACAAAGAGUUGACUUGUUCACAACUGGUUCAUAGGUCUAGGAAACCCAUUAGAGGUUAUAGGGCACCACCUCCUAAUUGGAGGGAUGACUAGUCUUGGUUAUCGAGAUGGUUUUCCCAUGGUGAGUGCACUGGUGUGUAUGGUUACAUAUUAGACAAGACCUAUGGUGAGUCAUGACUUAAGGCUAUCAAGUAGUCAUGACCUCACCAAGUUGCUUCAUUAUGUUGUUUCUCAACCUUGAGAGAAUAUUGAGUUUGUGCUAAAGUUAGCAAUGACUUUGAUCUAUGGAUGAGAUCGUAAGCUAAUCAUAUAUUCCCUAUGGAUUAGGUCAUUGCUGAUGGAAGCCUGUAGCAAUAGUGUGUUCAUGGAAACUAUAGCCAUAGUAGUUCCUUAAGUAAAACUUGACAUAGACUCUUUGAGAGUUAAGAUAUGUAAAUUGAACACACAAUAGGAGGAUCCGUAACUCAAGGAUGGUAGAGGUAAUCUUGAAAGGCCGAUAGCUUUCCCCUAGUUAGACUAUGGACACUAGCUCAUAGGAAGACUAAACACAAUGGAUAGCAAGUCAUAGACCCGAGCACUUGAUGUCUCGUUGUUAUUUACAUAGGAUACUGGAGUUCAGUUGAUUCUCUGUAGUGGGAUGUGGAAUCCACUUUAAAAUUGGAUUCUAAGGGAGUUAGUAUUCCUAUGGGUCCCAGUGGUCCCCGCUCUAAGAUCAUUUACCUUGUUGGCAUGGGUUAUGAGGGUUAGAUUAGCUCUAGGUCCACUUUUGUGCAUAAGGACGUUUUGGUAAUUAAGUAAGGUUCCACAUGGGUAAGUGAACAAGGUCUCUGGAUUGGGCUAAUUGUUUAAUUAGUAGGCCCUAUUUGGUUAAUUAAUCAUAUAGGACCCAUUUUGGGUUAUAUUUAGUUACCCAAGCACAUGUGGGCUCAAGUCACUUAAGCCCACUUAGGAACCCUAUAAAUACACUCUAAGGGUUAGGGUUUCCAUAAUUUUUUGUCUUCCACCAUCAAUAGAGAUAGAGAGCCAUAACCUUCACCCUCUUUUCCUCCCCACCGGAAGUGUGUGAAGAUCAAGGUUUGAGUCAUUAGGCGAAAGAUUGUAGGUUUAUGAGACUUCUAUGAUUUCAUUUUUCAUCUUCACCAUGUAGAUUUGAUUCAAGAACUAUUUUUAAAACAUUUUGCCAAACAUUCUUAUUUUAAAAAAAAUUAAAAACUGUUUUUGGUUCUUUAUUUUGAAAAAAAAAAUUUAAAAACAAUUUUUUAAAAACACUACAAAAUAGGCCCUAAGUUAUCCAAAGAUCAUUUUUUUUUUUAAUGAAAUAGGUUCAAUAAAAUAUUUCUAUUAAAUAAGAAAAAGGGACCCAAAAAUUUCUUUUAAUAAAAAUAGGUUUUAGACAUUUUUUUAGAUAUAAUAGUCCAAAAAUUUUGUUUUGAUAAAAGAAAUAGUUUAGAAUUUUAAAAUAAAUAAAUAAAUAACACGUUCAUAAUUUUUUUUUCAAAUAAAAUAAAAUACUCCAACAAUCUUAUUUGAAUGAAAUAACAAUUCAAAAAAUAUUAUUUUUAAUAAAAGAAAGUUUUCUUAAUAGAAAGUUCAAACAAAUGUUUUUAGAAGAAUCUAGAAAAAAAAUAAUAAAAAUUCAAAAAAUUGUUUUUAAUAACAAGUAGUCUAGAAAUUCAUUUGUUUAACAAAAUUUUCUAGAAAAAUUGAUUUUAAAAUAAAAUUGUCCAAAAGUUAAUUUUAAUACAGUCGUCUAAAAUUGAUUUUUAAAUAUAACUCUCUUUCCUUGAUAAGAAAGGGAUUAAAAAUAAUUUUUAUAAAUAGAGGUCUUAAAGAAUUUUUUAAAAUUAGAAUAGCAUGAGUAAACCUUUAAAUAGAACUGAAAAACCUUCUUUUUUAAUAAAUUGGUAAACAAAUCUCCUACUAAAUGAAAUCCAAAAUUAUUUCUUAAUAAAAUUGGAAUCCUUGGGAACAAAUUUGUGAAAUUCUUUCUCUAAAUAAAUUUGUAAUAAAGAAUAUUUUUCUAGGUAAAAUAAAAAAUAUAUAUAUCCAAUAAAAUUGGGUUGAAAUUCCUUCUUAUAAACUUGUAAAUAUCUUUCUUAAGUUUGUAGAUUUUUUUUAAAUAAAUAAAUAUUGAAUCAAAACACUUUUUAAAAUAAAUUAGUAAAAUCCACCCCUCUUCUUAAUAAGGUAAACAAAAAUCAUUUCUUGUAAAUCAAAUCAAAUCUUUUGUAAUAAAUUGAAGCCUUGUGAAUAAAUAAAUUCAAAUCACUAAUUUGAAAUUGUUGUUAAACUAAACGAAUUCUUUGAAAAUUCACGGAAAUUGUGUUAUGAUAUUUGAAAUAAUAAAAUCUUUCUAAUAAAUUAUUUUGUGCAUUUCUCAUGUAUCAUUUCUACAUAUCCUUAUAAUUUGCUUUUGCAUUAUUCCAUGUACUUGUAUUAUUCCUUUUUUUUUUUUUUAAGUAUUCAUGAUUAACUAAUUAAUUAUCAUAAUUCUCUUUUACAUGCUUACUAGAAACCUUUUUAAGGCUUAAAGGGGUGCUACCCUAUGGUACCUUCCCAAUAGGUAACCUGACCUUUAGAUUCGGAUUCGGUUUUUACCGACAUGUCUUUUCUUUAAAAAAUGAGUAACAAUAGGGCUUUAUUUCUUUUUCUUUUCUUUUCUUUUCUUUUCUUUUUAAAAAAAAAAGAAUGACGACUCCAACUUUUAAAUAUAAAAAAUCAGUUUUUUUAUAAUAAAAACAAGUUUUACCAUCAAGUGUGGACGCACAUGAAAAAUGAUAGUUCAUAAUUGUAUUUCUUAGACUUAAAAUAUAAUAAAAUUACUAAAUCAAUGAAUGUUAUGAGUUUUUACAUCUUUGAUCAUAAAAGAUUCAAAGUACAAUGGAACAAAUAGUUUUCAAAAGGAAAAUAAAAAUGUUUAAAAUGGAAAAUCUAACAAUAAAGACAAUGAAACAAGGUGAUAUGGUAGGAGUUAAAUAGAGAAAUCUUUUAUCCAUGAAUUUAUAGUUUAUUUAGUAGAAAAAAGUUCAAAAGAAAUAUUGCAUACAUUAAUGGAUUAAGUAGAUAAAAGGGAUUUAGGUAAUUUGAUAUUUAUGCUUUAGUUCGAUAACAUCAAAUAGAAAUUUGAUAUUAUUAGUUUCCAUAUUGAGUUUAGAAAUCUAUCAAAUGGAUGUUAAGAUUAUCUUUCUUUGAAUGGUUGUAUAAAUAAAGAGUAUAUGGGGUAACCUAAAGGACUUAUGACAAGAACACAAAGUUAGGGAUAGAUACAUUUAGCUAGGUUGGAUUAUAACCAAUCCAAGAAUCAGAUAGAAGUUGAUUGGUUUUAACUAAAGUAUAACAAAUUUAUUUAUUGACUCAAACUAAUCCAACUUAAUAUUAGUUCGAUUCAGUUUAGUUAACUCAAUUUAGACCAAAAUAUUGAGUCUAUAUGUUUUUUUUCUCCACAUUGACCACAUAACCAAAAUGAUCAAAUUGUUUUAGAUAAAUAUAUAUAUAUAUAUUUACAAAUAAUACAACUAAAAAUUUUAAAAAUAAUGUGUAGGAGCAAACCGAUGGGUUAUUUUCUUAUUGGGAAUAAGUCAAUGAGUAGUAUUAUUGACAUAUUGGGUGCUUGUGACUUGAAAUUAUAUUAUCAUCAUUAUUAAGUCCCACAGUACAAGGAUUUUAAAUUUUAGAUCAUGCUUAUGCCAUAAGCAACUUUUAAUUUGUAAUAAAGCCAUGCGAGUUAGGCUCUAGGCCUCCAACAUCAAACUGUAGCCUAGCUAAGUUAGCUUUGGAUGAGCAUGGUUUGACUCACAAAGUCUCAAGAUUCUCCAUAACACUCCAAAUCCAAGCAAUUAUAUUUGUCCCACUCCUCUAGUACUUGGGUUUGUUUGCCAAUCCACUUUUAGUAAGUGAUCUAGGUCGAACCUUUCAUAAGCCAAAUACUUAAACUAGCUUGAUCUCUAGUUUCACUACAUUACCAAAAUAAAGUAAUUCAAGUAGAAAGAACCAAUGGCACAAGCAUGACAAAAUUUUCUAUUGGGGACGUUUACAAAUAGUAUAUGGAGACCUUUUUCCAGUAUAAUUUGAGACAAAUGCUAAUGGGGUUGCCUAUGAACUAUUCUCCAAGGCUAGUUAGGCUUAUCUAUUAAACAAAGGAAAUUGAAGAUUUGGGGGUCAAAUAAAAGUAAUCAAGUUUAAAGUUGAUGGAAUUGUUUAUUAGCUCAAUAUAGAGGCUUAUCUCAAGCACUUUCUUAGGGCAAUGCUUCAAGUCGAUUAACUGCAUGCAUGCACUAAAGAGCUACUACAAGAGAGAAUGAUCUUUUGAACAUAUGUAAUUGAUUGUGUAUUAAUUAAGAAGGCUUCUAAAGUUGGAUAAGUUGUUUAGAACUUUUAAGAGGGAAUUUGUAAACUUCACAAAAUUGAUCUAAGAGACAUUUACCAAGUUCUAUCAUGAUAAUAAAGUAUUGAGGAGAAAAUGUACCACCAAACCAAGUUGUAUUUGCUAAGAAUACUCACUACAUUUCUAUUAAGAAAGAAACUAUCUAGUGGUAAAGGACAAGAUAGUUUUAGUUCGUGAAGUUUUCACUGCCCAAGCUAACAUCAAAAGCUAUAACAAGACAAAUCCUAAUAAGGUAAGAUAAAAGGUUGCACAAAAGGGACAUCUUGCUCCUUGUUGAAAAUCUCAUUCAAUUGCAAAUCUACCACAUCAAGAAUGCUUUCUCUUCUAUAAUUUUCUCAUAGCCAAUCCACAAUACUAUUAUUAUACUUGGUUUGCAUGCUUUUUUUUUCUUUUCUUUUCUUUUUGGCUUUCUAAGUUAUUUUUUUCUUUGGUUAUAGCAAUGGCAUCAUUAGUGUGUUAAAUUCCCUUAUAGGUAAUUCCUCAAACAUUUAAUGUCCUCAUUGGUUCAAUUAAGUCUUAUAGUAUGAAACGAAAAAUAAAAAUUCUUGUAUUCAAAAUCAAAUGGAAGCACAUUAAUUAAAAAAUGCAAACAUAAGAGAAACAUUGAAAUCCAAUUACAAAGAGUAGUAUCAAAUUUUCCAUAUCUACAAAAUUCAGGUGUUAAGAUUUCUAAAAAUGAAAUAUAUAUAUAUAUAUAUAUAUAUAUAUAUAUAUAUAUAGAUAAAUAGGGUUCAUUGGGAGAAGACCUACAUCUACAAAACAUCAAGGUGUGACGUUAAGAGAGGAAUUCAAUCCAUACCUGAUAUGAAGGCAUGGAUUUGAACACAUUGACUAGAUUUGAAGAAUGCAAUUCAUCCAUGGGAAUUUGUGUACCUAAAGAGGGUUGGUUUUUGGAGGUACUGGAAGAUGGUUGGAGUAUGGUAGUGGCUGUUGAAAGGGUCGAUGGUGGUGGGAAGCCAUAACUACUAGUGAAGAGGAAGUUAGGUGAAUUGGAGACUUGAUGAAGAAGAUAAUGUGAGUUUGAGAAAAUUUCCUCCAACUUUUCCCUUCUUUUUCUCUCUUAUUUUCCUCACUAAUUUGAAGGAAAGUAGAAGAGAAAAUAUUACAAUAUUUUCUUUAGUAUUUUCUUUUAUAUUUUUUCCAUCAUAUUUUUCAUGUCACCCAAACUAAGGAAAAUAACUUUCCAUAGUAUUUUUUUUUCCUUUCCCUUGCAUUUUCUGAAAACCAAACACAAUCUUUAUAAAUAAAAAUUAAGAACUAACACAAGAUUGUAUAUUCUUCCUCUUUAUUCUUGCAUUUCUACAUCUACUACUCUAUUUGACAUCAUAUUUUUACUCUCUUCUUCAAUCAGCAUUCCUCCCUUUAUAUAGAGUUAUCUUCACACCAAUUCAUAAGAUAAGAAAGGUGAAUGAACCUUGGGGCAAAUUUGGACAACUAGUGGCAACUAGUCAAGAUUUGAAGUCAACUUUUGCUUGAUUUUUUUGGCAUGGGCAGCAACUUGUGGACCCUCUUUAGCAUGAAAAUGACUAGAAUAUGUUAAGCUCUCUUAUUAGAUGGUUAAUGAUGUAUGAACCAUACGACAAUCAUAGGGUGGAGAAUAUAUGGUAAUUAUGCAAAUAAAUAAAUAAUGGUAUCCAAUUAUAUAAAAAGACAUCUUCCAACAUUUGAUAUAAAUCUAUAAAAAUUAAGAGGAAAAUACUAAAAAAAAAACACAUUAAACCUAAAAAUAUGGACUUAAUAUAAAAUGAAGCAAAAAGGUAGAAUUAAAACCAAAUAUUAAAUAUGAAUAUAGUUUAAGUAUUAAAAAUAUUAUUAUUUAGGUUUUAAUCAUUGGGCUUGCUAGAGGAGUAUAUAUAUAUAUAUAUUUAUCCUAUCUCUGCACAACAUUUGUAAAUUAAAUAUCUAUUUCUGUUAUUUAAAGGAUACAUUGAAAUGAUUGGAUGAAAGAUUUAUUCCAUAGCCUAAAAUGAUGGUAUUGGCAUUAUAUAUAUAUAUGUAUGUAUGUAUGUAUGUAUGUAUUUAUGUGUUUGCUCAAAUGAUAGGCCGAUUUUAAGCCAUAAUUAUAAUAACUGUAUUAUUGUAUUAUUAAAAUAAAAAGGUUGUUGUCCUUUAAUUUUGAUUUGAAAUAUAGGGGGUAUUUCUAACACUAAGAUGGUGUUUAUUUUUUUGAUUGAAUAGAAAAAAAUAAAAAUAUUUGAUUUUUUUUAUUCAACUAAAAGUAACAUGUUGAUAUCAACCAACCUUACUAAAGUGAACUUAUUAUUAAUAGGUUUAGUUUAGUUAUGUUAGUUGAUAUUGGCAAGUUAUUUUUAACUACAUAGAAAAAAAUAAAAUAUUUUAGUUUUUUCUAGUCAAUAAAAAAGCAAACACAUCUAAAAUUAGAUAAUAAAAUACUUUGACUGGAAAUAAAUUUCAUAUGGACCACUGUCAAAUACCAUGCACAAGGAGAAAUUCGGAUCCUCACUUGCUCUUUGAAUUUAAUGCAUUGAAUUUGAUGUUGCCUAAAACAAAUUAUAUUUCAUGUCCUGUAUUAUGAGUAGAGAACCAUUCCUUAUGUUAGAUUUUAGAUAAAGAAUGGAUAUUGGAGAUUGGAGUUGUAAGAAAUUAGGAGAUCCUAAUUUUAAAUAUGUAACAAAGUUCUAUAAUCGAUUCAAUCCAUGUUUUACAAAUUGUAUUUCUUUCUAAUAUUGGAGCAAACUUUUUCUUUGUUUCUUAUAAAUUUCAUUUGGGAAUGAUUUAAAAAUAAAUAAAUAAAAGCCCUUAUAAAUAUUAAAAAGUAACGCUUUCUUAUAAAAAUUAAUUAGGUGGAUAUAUGGUAAGGUCAAAUUCGGGAUAACUUCAUAUUUUUUUGCUUUAACUGAAAACUAAAAUCAAAAUUAAAGUAAUAAUUUUUAAGGGGAAAUAUUGAUAUUGUAAAAGUUUUAUUAAACAUGAAAGAACUUCUUAUAUAAACAAAAACGGAAUUAUAAAAUUCUUAUAAGAAAUAACAUUUUUAUGACUUCUACAUGAAACCUUUUUUUUAAUGUUAUAAGUUUUUUAAUAAAAUAAUUAAAUAGGUAUAAAAACUUUUAUUUAACUCUUUAAAGUCAAUCCAAAUAAAAUGUAUAUAUAUAUAUAUUUGAAAAUCACUUUUAAAAAUCCAAAAAAUAACUUAAAAAUAAUUUCUAAAUAUUUUUUUUAACUUACAUUUUAAAAAAAAUUGAAAAUGAUUUGUUUUUACUAGUUAUUUAAAUUAAGGAAGCAGGAAAGAGUUGGCACUAAUGUAAAAAAAAAGAAAAAAAGUGAGGGUUGGAAAGUAAUUAAAUCACUAAAAAUAGACUUGGAGUUCCUUCAGUGUGCAAUUAGACUGAAUUUGUCCCCAUGCAAUGGAAAUGGAAGAUUUUUUUUUUUUUUUUUCCUUUUCCAUUAUCUUGUUGUAGUCUUGUGAUAUUGUUACUAAAAUAGGAGGUUAAAAUAUAAAUUAUAUAUCAAUUAUUUUAAAUUUAGGAAAACAAUGUUUAUUUUAAUUUGAAAUAAAUAAGUAGAAAAAAACUGAUUUUAUCUCAAUUGUGAAAGACUUCAUUAAAAUUUUCUUAUUUGCAAAAUAUUUUAAGCUGUAAAAGUAAAAAUUAAACAAAUCAUUUCAUGACCUUUUUCACAACAUGAUAUUUUAUCAUGUUGAAUAAAAUUGGAAUGGUCAAAAGUUGUUAAAUCAAGACUUCCAUGGCAAAUUCCACCAUUGCAUAUCUCAAAGAUUAUUCUACAACAUUAUCUUUGUAGACUUUUAACAAUCUAAGAAAUUGAAAAAUUAUAUAAUAAUCCCAUACACAAUAUUCUACAACUUUACAAUAUUCUACAAUUUUUUUGAAUAAAAAAUAAAUGAUGAAAUCUACAACUUUACAAUAUUCUACAAUUUUUUUUAACAAAAAAAUAAAUAAUGAAAUCUUAAUGAAGCGAACAAUCAAUGAAAUCUUUGGCAUGUUAAUUCUUUGCAGCUUUAACAUGGUGGCAUGUCGGAUGGCGGAGGCAACAUUUGAGCUUCUAGGUGUUUACCAUUUUUCACUAUGAACGCAGUUUCCAUGCCCCAAGUUAGAUGGCGUUCUACAUGGCAGUGCAUGAACCACACUCCUACAACAAAGAAAAUAUACCAACAUUACACCUAAUUUAUUGAAAUAUUAAGAAAAAUUAUUUCCUUGGUAUGCAGGUUAGCAUUUUCAAGGGUUUUUGUUUAAUAGAGGACAUGAGUGCUUGCAACAUACCAGGGUUUGAUGCCUCGAAUCUGAUUGCAGCCCAACCAUUCGUAGGAACAGAGAUGGUACUCUGAAGGGGAGAAUCCACCAGAUUAUAGCGCAAAGGGUCCCUAUUUUUAUCGAAAUUCCCAAAUCCCCAUCCAACAAGGUAGAAACUGUAUCCAUGGAGAUGCAUAGGGUGGUGUGUCCCUGCAACCAAGUUUGUCCCUUGAAAAACAAUCUCCACCGUGGAGUUAUACUCGAGUACCCUUACUUCUGUUCCGUUUUCUGGCGUCUGAUACUCUAAUGGAAGAUAAUCAGCUGUAAAAUCAAACACCAAUGGUGGAACGCUAGGAAAUUUAUCUCCAUAUACACCACUGAUGUUAUAAUAGUAAGCUUGCAGUAUGUCAAUUGUAGGGGAUUGGAAGCUUAUGUUGUUUAUACUUGCGGAGAACCGCGUCCCAUUGGGCCCUGCACAUGAAUUAUUGGGGCAUAGGAACGAGUUUACAGAAACAGUGUAAAUCAGUUUAGUGCUCGGGCUCAACGGGACAUUGGAAGGAUGUUCCGCAUCUGCUAAGCUUCGGAGGCCGGCCAUGACCUGAACUGAUGCAUUUGUGUCAUUGUAUGUAGGAAAAUGAGGCAAGGAGGGAGGUGAAGAUGGAGUGUAGUAUCCCCUGUACUGCACAAUAGCUGUGGUGGUUGUGUUAUCAUAAAAAUUUUGAGCUACCGGGGCAAUGGAAUAAGUUUUAGCCGCCAUGUAAUAGUGAUCCGGGUGUUGGUUAGCUUCUAGUAAGACAUCGAAGGUUUGGCCAGGAUAUAUUGUGAUAUAAUCUUGUGUCAAUGGUUUCGUGUAGCUACCAUCUGUUCCAACCACUGUCAUUUUAUGCUUGGCAAUUGAGAAGAAGAGAGCCUCAUGCAAGGCAGCAUUGAUUAUGCGAAGUAGAUAAGUCUUUCCAUGAUCCACCGUUAGCUUGAAUGUGCCUGCAAUUAGAAAGGGAAAGUUAUAUACUUACGACUAGAGAAAAGAAAAGGAAAAAAUUUCCAUGAGGAUCCACCAAUUAUGAAGUGAUUGAUUGAUUAGGGAUGUAAGUUUGGCUCCAUAGUUCAAAAUUAUAUUUGAACUAGCCUUUUCUCAUGUGUUAAAUCAUGGCUCUACCAUCCUCAUAGCUAUAUUCCUCUUUCUUAGCAUUAAGUUUUAAAUAUGUUGAUGUUAAUAAGAAAAAGUAAUAUGGUUAACAUACAAGAAAAUGAGAUCAAUGUACAAUUUUAAAAUGGGAAGUUAAACUUUAUACCUGAUUUUGAGCAUGGAUAUAGAUCACCGGGUUGUCCAUUUAUCAAUAAAGAAUCAGAGGCAUUAGGGUCAGCUCCGGUUGCAAGCCCUUCAUCUCGAACCGCAUUCACAUCACUCUUCCACCAUUGUCCUGCAUUUCAACACAACUCCAAUAAUUUAGAUUUCUCUUUGUUAGUUAAUUCAUGAUAUGUAAAUUAACCUGUAAAAGGAACUACACUUAUACCUAAUAUGAUGGGAAUUUCUGCGUUAGGCUUGGGAAAAGGAUACUUGGUUCCAUUCUUUGGAUAAACGAUUAUUGCUCCAUGAACAGUGGCUCGGGUCCAGUCACUGUGAGCAUGCCACCAUAAAGUGCCUUCCUCAGAGGAAAGGAUGAUCUUCUGGCUAAACUUUGACCCUGGUUGAAUUGGGCAUUGUGUGAUAUACUCGGGACCAUCUGUCCAUGGAUAUCUAGGCAUGUUCACCCCAUGCCUGCAAAACAAUAACUAUACGUUAAAACUAGUACUAAUUUUUGGACUAACAAAAUAUGGCAUGUAGCAACAUAUUAUCAUAGUAACAAGAGGCAUCAACUGUAUUUCAAUGGAACUGAUGCAAAUAACCCUUAAAUAUUAUUUUAAAUUUAACUUUAUUUGCAAAGCAAUACAUUGGAGCCCCCUCUUAGAAAUAAAAGAAUGUAUGUCAUGCAGGCAUGCUGCCCAUUGCUAUCUUUCUCCGAGACACGCAUAGGACUUACCAGUGAAUGGUGAUAUUUUAUUUUCCCCUGUUAUAAACAUCAACAAUGAUCGUCUCUCCUUUCUUAGCAUAUAUAGUUGGUCCUGGAAAUUGUCCAUUUACUGUUAAGAUGUUCUUGGUGCUACAAAGCCUUGUAUAUGAAGCUUNNNNNNNNNNNNNNNNNNNNNNNNNNNNNNNNNNNNNNNNNNNNNNNNNNNNNNNNNNNNNNNNNNNNNNNNNNNNNNNNNNNNNNNNNNNNNNNNNNNNCAAAGCCUUGUAUAUGAAGCUUCCUUCACCUGCAACCAAUUAAAAGUUAACAUUGUAACCUCAUCCCAAAAGAAAUAUUACAUGUAUGAAUAGUUGCAUCGAUCCAUUCAUGCAAGAGUAUAACCAAUUAGAAAUUGAUAGCAUGCAUGAGCGACUCAACAAGACCAAGGUACCCGAAGACUCCAUGAGGAUCAUACGGUGGAAAAUGAGAGCCAUACUGCUCCCUAAAUAUUAUGAUCAGAAGUUGGCAUUAAGGCUAGAAUCAUAUAUAGUAUUUACCACAAAAGUAAGCCGACGAGUUGAAGCUUGGCAAUGGAUGCCACCACCAAAAAGUAGAAACGCUAAAAUUUGCAAGAGGAAAACCUUCAUGAUCAGCCACAUCUUCUUUGGAACAAAAGCCUCUUCUCUUGUCCUAAACACAACUCCUUCAAUUUUCUUACUAUUUCUAAUAAGCACGACUCAUUCAACAUUAUUCUUGAUCUGUUGAAUGAUGCUCAAAUUCAAGAAAUCUAAUUUUCUCAAGUAAAUUAGAUUUUUCAGCAUUAAGCACAUCAAUCUUAUUUUUAUUUGCAUCAAGAACUCUUAAUUAAUCUUUCAUGCUCAAUAAAAAGAUUGUCAAAGAAUUCAACCAUUUGUUUAUCAGUAAACUCAUCAUCAUUAAUAUCACUAUCACUAUGACAAUAAGAAUUAUUCUUAUAUUCUAUAGAUGCAACAAAACUUAACAUGUCAUUGGGAUCGUACCUUGCAUAUUCAGAAAUUGUAACAACACCGUCUUUAGAAUACAAGUAACUCCAUGUUGCUUAUAUAAACGUUUUAAUAUUUUUGGGGCUAGGACACUCUUAAGAGUAGUGUCCCAUGCCUCCAUACACUACAAGAAAAAGAGUCAUUAUUGACAUAUAUCCUCUUGACUUAAGAUAAUAUAUGUGAAGAUAGUCUAUUUAAAUGAACAAUUAUGACAUAUACAACUUUAUUUAAACCAAUAAUGACAUAUAUAAUAGUUAUUGUAUUUUUCCAUGACUUAUGAUGAUGCAACCAUGAUAAAUAAUUUAUAAGUCAAUCUAUAAUUAAUAUGUUCAUAUGUCAAGGUAUCCAAAUGAUAUCAAUAUAUAUAUAUAUAUUCAUGUCAAGGUAUUUAUAGAGGCUGGAGGUGAAAGCUGAACAGCUGGUUUCUCUCCAACUUUUGCUGUAUUUCUUUAAUAUAUAAUUCAUAAUCUAUUCAAGAUGAUUUUCCUGGGGUACAACCAUUCCUCGCCGCGUAUCAAUAUAAGAGAAGUAAUUUGAAUGUGUACUGGUUUUGAACGUUCUUCCAGGACCACUUCAAAGAGCAGGUUGUGUAUGAUAUCUGAUCACUUACCAAAAUUUAAAUAAACCAAAUGCCUGAAGACGAGUUUCUUAGAAUCUCUUGAAUUUUCUAAUUCAAAAUACAAGUUUGACUUUGAGAAUUGACCAAGAAAUUAAUCAAACACACUAUUUUAGAAUAAAUUUAAAAUAUAUGUAGAAUACUUUUAAAACUUUGACCUCGCAUAUAUACGAUACCUUUAUCAAGAUUAGUCAAGAUUUUCUCUUUGUAUUUGGUAGGAAGGGAAAAGUCAGCGCUGCUUUCAGAAGGAAUGUAGGAUUCCAUUAUAGGAAAGAAACAAUCAUUCAAUUAUAGGAACCGGAUCGGAAAUUCCUUGUCCGGUUGGAGGGUCAAUCCAGACAUUCAAAUCAUUAGGUCAGCGAUGAAAUCAUUCAACAUGCUCACCAUCAAAUAAUUAUUGGUUUCCUUUGCAUAUUUCCUCCAUACCGGCUUUAAUCUUGAUAAGACAUAUUGCACAGAUAAAUUGCAAGCACCAACAUAUAAAUUAGUUUAAACAUUCAGACAUUUUCAAACAUCAAAUCUCCACUUUUUAAAAAAUAAUAAUAAAUAAUAAAUAAUAAAUAAUUAUAGAUUUAAAAAUAACUUUUUCCAGAACAAAUAAAAAAUAAUUCAAACUUCCUUCGUUUAUUGUACCAUAUACAAAGAAAAAUCAUUAUAUAAAUAAAAUAUGCAAAGAUGUAUAUAUUUUUAAAUUAUUUAUAAACAGAAAAAAUGAUGAAUAAAAUUUAAGAUGUGAAAAUUUGAUCAAGUUAAUUUAAACUUCUUUUAUUUUUUUUCACUUUUUUUCUCCUAUUUUUUCACACCAUUUUUUUUUUCUCACAUUUCCUUUUAAACUUUUGGAAUAAAUUCCCUACUAUUUGUGGAGCUUUAAUAUAAUUUUUUUCUCCAUAUUAUACAUAUUUAUGCAAUAGUUGGUUAAACUAUUUUGAAUGUCUAUUUUUACCUUAACAAGAAACAUUUCUUGAAAAUGAAGAUUAUUUUCUCCUUAUUUUCAAAUUUGUGUUUCUCCACUUUUUAAAAAAAAAUAAUAAAAAAAAAUUGUAGAUUUAAAAUAACUUUUUUCAGAACAAAUACAAUAUAUAGCCGGCUUAUACAAACUAUUAUCUAAAAAAAGGAAAAGUAAAAUAAGAAAUAAUUCAAACUUCUUUGUUUGGUUUAUUGUACCAUAUACAAAGAGUUUUAAAUAAUAAAUUUGAAGCUCAUCCCAAACACUUUAAAGAGUUUUAGAAAUCGAUACUAAAUUCAAUCUUAUAUUAAAACUCCUAAAUAAUCAAUUGUAAAGUUGUUUUCAAAUGAAACCCAUCUUAUCUUGAUUUCCCCUCACUAAGAUACUUAAAAAGUGGAAUAAUAGAUAAGAGUGAACUUAAAACUCAAUUAAGAAAAUAGGUCAAUAAGGAAGAUCAAUUAUAGUACAAAGUUAAAUCUUAGGAGAUAUUACAUCUUUAUAAAAAAAAAAUUGAAUUAGUACGAGUUCAUUUAAUUCAAUAAUUAAAUUCAUUUUGUUCAAAAAAUUAUGCACUUUCAAUUUAAAGAUAGAAUUAAAUAAUAUACUUUACAUACUUAAAUUAUAAACAAACAUUUUACUCUGACUCAUUGAUAAUAACAUUGUGCCCAAAUAGUAGAACUUACAUUAGGUGGUUAGUCUCACUUUGUGCCUUUUACCAAUGGACAAAAUGAUUUAUAAUCAAUGAUAUACCAAAGGCUAAUAACACCCUUAUUAGCUAGACUUACAUUAUAUCACUAUCCUCACCAAAGGUAACGCAGGUCAACAACUUUUCUCUUAAACCAAUAUAAUAAAUUAAAUGAUAAAAUUCAUUUGCAUAACAAUAAACAAAUCAUAUGAUAUUCCCAAUUUAUUUUAUAAACUAAGGAACAAAUCAUAACAUUUUUAGUAAAAUAUUAUUUGAUCCACUUUAAGGAACUUAAACAUUUUGAUAGUUUAAAAAUAGAUGAAAAAAAAUAAGAAAUUAUAAAAUGGUUUACUAUACUAUUAACCAUUACCUUGAAGAAAUCAUUCAAAAUUCUGAAAGACUUAAUCUACACCUAAUAUAAAUAUAAAUAAAAAAUAAUUAUUAAAGAUUAAUUAUCUAAAUUAAUGUCUUCCUAAUUCUUUUGUAAAAAUUACUUUAAUUCCAAACCCUUUUCUAAAGUUCUAUUUUUUUUAAUUGAAUUUUUUAUUAACCAUAUUAUUAUUAUUAUCAUUUUCACUUCCCAUAAUUACAUUAAUGGGUAUUCUUGAAUUAUUAAUGUUAAUAUUCCUUCUUCUUUUUUUCAUGGUAGGAAGUAGGUAAUUAUUUAUUAAUUUACUACUAUUUUUACUUAUCUCCUACCCACAACCCAAAUCUUAUUAUUACUUUAUUAUUUCUUUGCCACAACCACUUUCCUCAUUUCCUCAAUUCUUCUUCCUAUUAAUCUAAUGAAGCAAAUAAAAAAGUUUCUUCUUUCUAACCCUUCGAACCAAACUUCUCUACAGACCUUUCUCUUGUUUCUUUUUCCUCAAUAUUUUAUAAUUUCAAAUUUUAAUAAUGUGGAGAAAUCAAUGGAAUUUAGGGGUGAAUUAUACUUUUAUCGCUAAAAAUAACUUUUAUUGAUGGAAUUUUAGAUGUUGUCAAUGUUGCCAAUUUUUUUAAAAAAAAUUUCUGACGAGUUUGAAAAUUUCAUCACUAAAAGACAUAAUGGGAAAAUUUUGGCGUCGUCAUUUUUUUGGCACAAACACUUUUGUGAUAGAAAAAACCUAUUUUCUCACAAAAGUAUUUGUCACUAAUUACAAUUUUUGGUGACUAAAAGUUAUAACUUUAUAUAUAUAUAUAUAUAUAUAUGCUUGCAAAAUGGUUUCAUUAAGUGGUUGUAUUAUUUCUUGAAAAAUUUGGUAAUUUUAUCGUUAUUGAAUUGUGAUAUUAAUAAGUAAUAUUGAUAAAUAACUAGAUGAUUUAUAUUGUGAAAUAACAUAUGUAUUUUUUUAGACUUAAGAUUUAUACUAUAAUAUUUUAUUUCUAUUAAUAAUAAAAAAAUAAUUACAGAUCCAUAAAAUGAAAUACUACAAUACAGAUUUAUUUAAAUUUAAAUGUUUUGUAAUGUAAUAAUAGUAUUGUUAUGAAAUAAUAAAAAGGUAAAUUAUUUGAGCAGUUAAUAUUUAUAUUGUAAUAUGUUACUUAUAUUUUUUUAUAUAAAUAAUAACAACAAAUAAUUCAAGACAUGUAAGAUUAUUUCAUAUAAUAUAAAUUUAUUUAAAUUUCAAUAUUAUUAUAUGAUGUUACCCAAAUAUAAAUAAUACUAAAUGAUUUUUAUUAUACUCGGUAAAACUUAUCUAUAAAACUCUAAAAUAGUAUUGAAUUUAAGUUAGUUAUGAAGAAGUUAUAGUCCACUAAUUUGUUCUCAUUCAAAAUCAUACCUUGUCAACUUAAGAAGUAAACUUAUACUAACUUUAAUUACAUAUUUUAAAAUAAUAGAGUUUUUUUUUUAAUUAUUACUUGGUUUUUAAAUAAUUGUUCAAAAUGGAGUUUAUCAAAUGUAAAUAUUAUUUAAAAAAUUUGGUACAUCCUUUACAAAAUUUGGUACAUCCUUCACAAAAUUUGGUGCAUCCAAUCCUUGAGCUAUCGAGACCCCUAUUUAAUUACCCAUGGUCCGUUUAUUCCUUUAGGGAUCUUUGUGAAGUGAUUAGAGGUCAAUCCUUAGCUACUUCGAAACAAACUUUGGAAUCCUAGGUACAUCCUUACGAAAAUUUGUUACAUUCAAUCCUUGAGCUAAUGGGACACCUAUCUCUUUUCUCAUGGUCCAUUUAUUCAUUUGGAGACCCUCGGAAAGUGAUUGAAGGUCAUUCCCCACCUUAAAACUAACUUCAACUCCCAUAGUACAUCCUUUACAAAAUUUGGUACAUCCUUUAUAAAAUUUGGUACAUCAUUCACAAAAUUUGGUACAUCCUUAAAACAAUUUGGUACAUCUAAUCCUUGAGCUAUCAGGAUCCCUAUCUUAUUACUCAUGGUUCGUUUAUUCCUUUAGAGAUCUUUGGGAAAUGAUUGGAGGUUGUUCCCUAGUCCGAAACAAACUUUGGAACCCUAGGUACACCCUUAAGAAAAUUUGAUAUAUCUAAUCCUUGGGAUAACGAGACACUUAUCUCCCUUCUCAUGGUCCAUUUAUUCCUUUGGAGACCCCCAAGAAGUGAUUUAAGGUCGUUCCCACCUCAGAAUAGACUUUGGCACCCUUGGUACAUCAUUUACAAAAUUUGGUACAUUCUUCACAAAAUUUGGCACACUCUUCAUAAAAUUUGGUACAUCCUUAAAAAAUUUUGGUACAUCUAAUUCUUGAGAAACUAAGACCUCUAUCUUAUUACCCAUGGUCUGCUUAUUCCUUUAAGAAUCUUUGGGAAGUGAUUAGAGGUCAUUCUCUACUCUGGAAUGAACUUUGGAACCCUAGGUACAUCCUUAAGAAAAUUUGGUACAUUCAAUCCUCGAGCUAUUGGGACACCUACCUCCAUUCUCAUGGUCCAUUUGUUCAUUUAGGAACACUUAGGAAGUAAUUGGAGGUCGUUCCCUACUCUGGAAUGAAUUGUGGAACCUUAGGUACACCUUUAACAAAUUUUUGUAUUUUUAUGGUUAUGUAAUGGUUUGAUGUUGUUGAUCAAAAUGAGGUGGUUGAGUCACAAUUUAUAAUCAUCAAGGGAAAAGAAAUUGUGUUUAUUCAUGACCAGAUGAAAAUGAAUAACAAAUGGAAUUAUUGUCACUUUUAAUGGUAUUAUAUUAUGAAUCAUUUGAAUAGUUUUCUUAAACAAUUUGUCAAUUCCAAAUGGAUUAUAGCUGAAUUGAAAAAUGAAGGAAUAUAGUUGUAGAAAAGAAGGGUUGAAUUUUUGUGGGCAUUAUGGAAGAAAGAAGUCAAACCUUAUAUGAAAAACAGAUUGUUAACACUAGGCAUAAUAGUGGACGACCUUUUCAUGUAGGGGCUAACCCUUUUUAGCUUAUAACCCUUAGUCAUAAUAUUAGUUUUGCUUGAAGUGGUUAGUAACAAAAAUAAGGGUCGACCCUUUAGUUCAUAGGCAAUCCCAUCGUGUUUUUAAUAUUGGUUUUGUUUUAUGUUGGCGGUAGGCAAAACAAAGUUUGGCCCAUUGUUUAAUAGGUAAGCCUUUGAAUAUGGACAUUAUAACCUUAGAACAUGGACAGUGAGGAAAAUAGUGGUCAGCCCAUGUAUUCAGAGGUAGAGCCUGAACUUAUAUUACAUAUCAAAUAAGUACCUAACAAAUAAAUAAAUAAAAGUAAAUGCAUUGUGUGAUGUUUGGUAUAGACAAUACAUUUCAAUAUUUAACACAUUAAUGUCACACCAUAAAGUGUUAAUGAAACGAACUUGGAUUGUUCAUAAUCUGAAUGAGACAUUAAUAUAUGAUGACUAUAUAUGUGAUCGUGACAAUUGUUAUAAGUAAUUAGUUUUGACAGGGUUAUUUACAAAUAUAUAUUUAAACAACUAAAUACCUAAUGAGGUCUAAGUGUGAGAAUAAAAUAAUUUAUGCUUGUUUUGUAAAUGUUGAAAGUAUUUUUGUGAUGAAUAUGUAUUAUUGGAAAUAUUUACGAACAUGCCUAGCUUAUUGAUAUGUGUGUAUGUGUGUGUGUGUGUGUGUGUGUGUGUGUGUAUUAAAAAAGUAAAAUCAAUGAUGUUCAUCCUUUCCUCGUAAGAAUAUACGUUGGGUUCCGAAGUCCAUUUUAGGGUAGGGAAUAACCUCCAAUCAAUUCUCAAGGGUCUUUAAAGGAAUAAACCAACCAUGGCUAAUAAGAUAGGGGUCCCGAUAGCUCAAGGAUUGGAUGUACCAAAUUUUGUGAAAAAUGUUACAAAUUUUGUAAAUGAAAUACCAAAUUUUAUAAAGAAUGAACCAAGGGUGCCAAAGUCCGUUUUGAGGUGAGGAACGACCUCCAAUCACUUCUGAAGGGUCUCCAAAGGAAUAAAUGGACCAUGUGAAGGGAGAUAGGUGUCUCAUUAGCCCAAGGAUGGGAUGUAUCAAAUUUUCUUAAGGAUGUACCUAGGAUUCCAAAGUCCGUUUUGGAGUAGGGAAUGACCUCCUAUCACUUCCCAAAGAUCCCUAAAGGAAGAAAUAGACCAUGGGUAAUAAAAUAGGGGUCCCAAUAGCUUAAGGAUUGGAUGUACCAAAUUUUUUAAAGCAUGUUCCAAGGGUGCCAAAAUCCAUUCCAAGGUUGAGAACGACCUCCAAUCACUUUCUAAGAGUCUCCAAAUGAAUAAAUGGACCAUAGGAAAGGAGAUAGGUGUCCCGUUAGCUCAAGGAUUAGAUGUAACAAAUUUUCUUAAGGAUGUACCUAGGGUUCUAAAGUUUGUUUUGAAGUAAGGAGCAACCUCCAAUCACUUCCCAAAGAUCCUUAAAGGAAUAAACAAACCAUGGAUAAUAAGAUAGGGGUCUCGAUAGUUCAAGAAUUGGAUGUACCAAUUUUUUUUUAAGGAUGAACCAAAUUCUGUGAACGAUGUACCAAAUUUUGUAAAUGAUGAACCAAAGUUGCCAAAGUCUAUUAUGAUUAGGGGGUCAUUCAGUCACUUUUCGAGGGUCGGCCUCUAAAGGAAUAAAUAGACCAUGGGAAGUGAUAUAGGUGUCCCUUUAGCUUAAAGAUUGGAUGUACCAAAUUUUCUUAAGGAUGUACCUGUGGUUCAAAAGUCCAUUUCAGAGUAAGGAUCAACCUCUAAUCACUUCCCAGAGAUCCCUAAAGGAAAAAAUAGAUCAUGGGUAAUAAGAUAGCGGUCCUUAUAGUUCAAGGCUUGGAUGUACCAAAUUUUUUUAAGGAUGUACCAAAUUUUGUGAAGGAUGUACAAAAUUUUGUAAAGGAUGUACAAAAUUUUGUAAAGGAUGUAUCAAGGGUGCCAAAGUCCAUUUUGAGGUUGGGAACGACCUCUAAUCACUUCCUGAGGGUCUCCAAAGGUAUAAACAACCUCCAUCUAUACUAAGGUAGGAAACGACAUAUAAUGACUUCCCAGGAGUUCCUAAAUGAACAAAUGAACCAUGGGAAGGGAGAUAAGGGUUCCAAUAGCCCAAGGAUUGGAUGUACCAAAUUUUCUUAGGGAUGUACCUAGGGUUCCAAAGUCUAUUUAGAGGUGAGGAAUGGCCUCCAAUUACUUCUCAAUGGUCCCCAAAUGAUGAAAUGACAUAAGGGUCCCAAUAGCCUGAUGAUUGGAUGUACUAAUUUUUAUUAUGGAUGUAAUUAGGGUUCCAAUGUUAGUUUCAAGGUGGGGAAUGGCCUUUAAUUACUUCCUGAUGAUCAGAUAUACCAAAAUUUCUUAAAGAUGUAUCUAGGGUUCAAAAGUCAGUUUUGGGGUGAGAAAUAACCUCCAAUUACUUCCUAAUGGUCCCUAAAUGAGCAAAUAAACCUUGGGAAGAGAGAUAGAGGUCUCAAUAGCCCAAGGAUUGGAUGUACCAAAUUUAUAUAAGGAUAUAUCUAGGGUUCCAAAGUCUAUUUUAAGGUAGGAAACGACAAGGGUCCUCAAAAGAUCAAAUGGACCAUGGGAAUGGAUAUAUGGGUCCUGGUAGCCCAAGGAUCGGAUAUACCAAAUUUUCUAAAGGUUAUACCUAGGAUUCCAAACUCCAUUCCGAGAUGGGAAACAACCUCCAAUCCUUUCCUAAAGGUCUCCAAAAGAAUAUAUGGACCAUGAGAAGAGAUAUAGGGAUUUUGAUUUCCCUAGGAUUGGAUGUAUCUAUUUUUGUUAAGGAUGUACCUAGGGUUUCAACAUUCGUUUUAGGAUGCAGAAGGACCUCCAAUCACUUAUCAAAGGUCCCCAAAGGAAUAUAUAGACCAUGAUAAGGGAGAUAGGGAUCCUUAUUCCCUUAGGAAUGGAUGCACCUAUUUUUCUUAUGGUUGUACCUAUUUUUUAUGAAAUUAAUAUAAAAGGUUAACUACAAUUUUUUUAGUGAAAAAUAUACUUUCUUUUAUAUUUUAUUUUAAUUAAAAAUUAAAUAUUUUAAUGAAAAAAAAAAAAGAUCCAUGAUCAAGGUAAAACCAUAAAAAUAAAAAAUAAGGAUAAAAGAAUCAUCACUUACUAUGAUUUUGAUAUGAUAAAUUUAAAAUAAAAUAAAAAUAAAAAUAAUAUAAAUAAUAAAAUAGUAUUACAAAUAUAUUUUUACUUUUAUGUGUGAUAUGAUUUAUAAAAUAAAUAAAUCUUUUAUUUAGCAUUAAUAUAACAAAUCUUAUAUCAUAAACCUAUAAAUAAUAAAAUAUAAUUUUUAAGUUUAAUCCUUGAUUUAUUAAAUGUAUUACUAUAAUUAAUAUUUAAAAUCAUCAAGUAUAUUAUUUGUGGAAUAAUAUUUUCAUUUUUGUCCAUUAUAUAUUUAUGUUUUUAUUUAACUUGUUAUAUUAACUAUUUAUUAUAUAUUAUUAUUUUAAAGUUAAUAUGUCCAAAAAAUAAUUAAAAUCAAUAAAUUUGGACAUAUUAGAGAGUUAAAAAAAAAUUGAAGAAGUUUUAUGAGAUAAUACAGAGAAAAAAAUAGUUAUUGGUGUACUUGACAACAACAUUUAAUGUGGUAAGUGUACUUGCCCUCAACUUUUGAGGGUGAUUUUGCAACAAAUUCAUAAGCACUAUUGGAGUGCAUGAAUUGGUAAAAAAAAAUUUCAUUUUACAUUAAAAUUGAAAAAGUAAAAGCACAAUUCUAAAAACCAUAUUUUUUUUAAUUUGUGAUGUACAAAGCAUGAUUAUCCCAAUUUUAAAUAAUACAAAAAUCAUAAAUUUUUAAUUUUAAUUUGUAAAUUUUAAUGUUUAAUUUUUUUAAUUUCUAAAUUUUAAAUAAUAUAAAACUAAUGGCAUGAUGAAGUGCAUUAAAUGUGUUGUAGUAGCAUGUUGUAUUUUUGUAGCAGAUAUGACAUAGAUGGAGUUGUGUGGAGUGUUGUUUGGGAAAAAAAGAUGAAAAAAAAAAUUCUCAGACCCUCACCUAGUCAAGCACCAUUGCAAGUUUGAAAAAAAAAAACCCAUUUUUAAAAAGGGAGAAAACCACCAUCGCAAACAAUGGCUCACCAUAUUUGUACCUGAUGCCAUAUCAUCUUCAACCUUUCAUCAUUUUCACCACCAACCCAGCUACCUUCUUGAAAAGUCAUUUUACAAGUGCCAAUCAUACCCACCAUUCUCCAUGACACAUCUGUAUCUGAUAAUAAUUGUGAAAAUGGGCCAUUUGAUUAAGCAAAUCACUAAAGGGGGGGAAGAGAUGAAUUAAGUGUUAUAUUUUUUAUUUUAUUUUUUCAAAAACAACCAAUUAAUAACAAAAAGAAUAAGAGAUGUUAACUAAGGCAAUAAUUAAGUAAAAGAUAAAGAGAAGAUAUAUGCAAACUCUUUUAUAGUGGUUCAAAAAUCCACAUAUAUCCAUUGUUUUUAACCUCCUAAGUAAGUGAGGGUUCCACUAUCAAAGGCCUUCAACCUAAGCCUUCAAGCUUUAUAUUUGGAUUCAUGGGCUUCAAUGGACACUCACAAUCCUUUCAAAUACUUCACCCACUUGAAGUCUCUUCACUCAAAAUGAGUAAAUAAGGAAAGUUCUAAUGCUUUCUAUUAAGACAUUGAGUCUUAUUUAUAUGUUGGAAAUUUUCUUUUUAUUUUAUGUUUCAUCAUAGAAGUCUUUUUAGAUAGUGGCUUGCUCCCCAUUGAAGAUCAAGGGUGGUUGUUCGUCCAACCAAGAAGUCAUAGGUAUAUUUAAAAAGGUUUGACUUGUUGCAUAUAAGGCUUCUUUGAGGUAUAAAAGGUUCAGUAUCAUUUUUGGACAUAGAAUGUUUUAAAAUGAUUUUUCAAAAGAAGUAGGGGCUGCUCAAGUGGAAAGGACCACUCAACCAGUUAGCCUGCUCAAGUGGUAAGGAUCGCUCAAGUAGUCUAAGUCUACUCAAGCGGUCAUAACAGUCCUGCCAAGUUUAGACACAAAUUUUGGAUGAAUUUCACUCAAACUCUAGUUUGAAAACUUAAGAUAUUGAAACCAUUUGGGCUAUAACUACUUUCUUAAUAACCCCUUAAGGGUUAGGGAUCAAAGAUUGAAGAGAUCUUAGAUAUUAAAAUACUUUCAUUCUUAAAAAAAGGGACUCCUUGAGAGAAAGUCUAAAUUGCUAUAUCAUUCAUGAUUUCUCAUUCAAGGAUUUGAAUCUUUAAAUCGUGGGUUGAAGACCAUAAUUCCUUAGAAGUGGCAAAAAGAUCUACUAGGGAGAAAUAGGAAGUUGCUAUGUCACAAACGUGGAUUAAGUUGUAGGUGUUGAAGAGUAAGUCUUUAGGGUAAAGCAACCAAGUAAAUUUGUGUAACUUGAUUUCGAAUAGUGGAUUUAGAUUGGUAGGUCUUAGAUCUUGUGGUUUUUUUUCUCCAUAGUUUGUGAAUCUUAUGCCUCAUUGUCUAUAUUUUUUAUAUUUGAUAUUAUGUUUGUAGGGUUUUCAUAAAAGGUGCAUAUCUAUAUAUUCUUGCUUAGAUUUUAUUUGAUUAAGUUUGACUGAUUUCUUGGGAUUGUUAUUGAGGUUAUUAGGGUUGUUAUCUUGGUGGUUAUGAUUGUUAUCCUUAUAAUUAAUUAUUAUUAUCCCUAACAUCUCUCAGGAUAUCCUUUGGAUAUUAAUAAUUAAUUUAUAUUAUCCCAAAUAAUCUUUGGAUAUCAAUUAACCAUAAAAAUCAAGUUUUACCAUUCUAAAUUUGAGGUGAACUCAUUUUUUAAUAUCCAAGAUAACCUUGAAAAUUUCUUAGAUGUAUAAAAAUUUGAUAUAACAUAUAAAUCUUUAUUUAAAAUUUUAAAUCACCCAUUCAUCCCACCUUUGGAUGUUCGUUAUUGGACAUUCAGUUGUUAUUCAAGUGAUAUUAAAGCAAUACCCACUUUUCAAUUGGUAUUAGAGUGGAAUAAAUAAUCGAUUCUUUAUCCUAUUGAUUAAAAAUCCAAUUUUUAUUGAUCAGAUGGUUUAAAAAUCAAUUUUUUAUUAUUCAAAUAGGAUAAAAAUCAAAAUUUUAUUGAUUCUAUAUGUCUAAUGUGGAACAAUAAAAAAAUGGUGCUCCUUUGAAUAGUCCACCUUAUUUUGAUGGGAAUAAUUACUCCUAUUGGAAAGCACGAAUGAUGUUUUUCCUCAAAAUGCAAGGUGAAAGGGUGUGAAACUUAAUUGAAUAUGGUUGGGGACUACCAUUAAUCCUUGAUACUCAAGGAAGAUCAAUAGGUGAACUUAAACCUAAAAAAGAAUGAGACAAAGCCGAUAAUGAAUGUAGUGAAGCCAAUACUAGGGCUUUAUUUAAUAUUUGUAAUGGAGUUUGUCCAUAUAGGUUUUGCAGGAUAGCUAAUUGCAAACAUGAAAAUGAAGCAUGGGAUAUUCUUCAAGUCACUUGUGAAAGCACGUCCUCUGUAAAGAUUUCUAAAUUACAAAUGCUUGUUACUAGGUUUGAAAAUAUUAGGACGCAUGAAAAUCAAACUUUUUCUUCCUUUUAUUUUGAAUUAAGUGAUAUUGUAAAUUCUUCGUUUAAACUUAGAGAACUUAUUCCUAAUUCUAAGGUAGUUAGGAAAAUAUUAAGAUCUUUUCUAGAGAAAUUUAGACCUAAGGUAACUACCAUAGGGGAGAGUAAGGACAUUGAUUUCGUGAGUUGAUGAACUUGUAGGCUCCAUUCAAAUUAAUUUGCUUUUAGAUUUCAGAUUGAUUGUUUUUUUUUCUAAAAAAAACAUUUAAAAAAUUUUUUGACUAAACAAAAAAAGUCAAAAUAUUUAAUUUUUUUUAAUGAUAAAAGUAACAUAUUGAUUUUUCGUCUGAGUGGUACAACCUAGAUGGAUGGAAUUGGAGAUAUGCUUGAAGUGAGUUUGAAAUGUUGGGUUAUGUCUGUCCAGCCCAUGAGCCCAUAUAUUUGACUAUUUUAUAUUUGGAUAUUCCCUAAGCCCAAAUAUGGAUAUAUGAAUAGCAUUAUGGCUUUGGUAUUAUGAGAAAAGGGCAUUUGAUUGAGAAAAUGAAAGAAGAUCGGGGUUUAUUUUCUAGGCACUAUUCUAGGGCUCAAGGGUGAAGUUAUAGGUUCCUUUCAUCAACCUUUUAGGGAAAUCCUAUGGUAUGUUUUCUCCUUAUUUCUUUUUGUUCAUGUUUCCUAGGAUGAUGGAUUCUCACCUCAAGUAUUUAGUUAUUUAUAUAAGUUCUCAAGGAGAAGAAACCUGAGGACUUAAUUAUUGUAUCCCCAUUUAUUAAAGUGGAAGAAAUUUUCUCUGUGGUUUUUUUACCUCAAUUUGAAGGGUUUUUCCAUGUUAUAUUUGGUGUCCUCUUUUUGGUUUAAUGUUCUUGAUUACCAUUCUUGAUUCUUGUUAGGUUGUUAUUAUUCUUGAGAAUGUUAUUAUUAUUCUUGAGAAGGUGGUUAUUAUUGUUCAGUGAUUGUUAUUAUUGUGGAGGAAUCUUUUAAUCUUGACAAGUUAAUACUCUAGAUAUCUCUCUUUAUCUUCCCAACAAGUGGUAAUAGAGCUUGGUUGUGGGAACUUUUAUUCUUUAAAGGGAUGAAGAUAGAAGGGAAUUCAACCUCCAUGAUAAAACUUAACAAUUCAAAUUGGGUUAUAUGGAAGUCCAUGAUGGAAGAUUUUCUAACCAUCAAAGAUUUGUUAGAUACUCUUGAGGGUGAAGAAUCUAAGCCCAAAGAUAUUUCUUAUUUGGAAUGGAAUAAGAUGAAGAAAAAGAUAAUUGCCUCUAUUAGGCAAUGGAUUGACACAUCCUCACGUCAUCAUGUGGCAAAUGAAAUAAAUGCCUAUAAUCUCUGGAAGAAAUUGGAAUCAGUGUUUGAAUAAAAAACUAUUGGGAAUAAAAUUUUCUUGGUAAAGAGUUAGUGAAUAUGAAGCUAAAGGAAGGAACACUAAUGAUAGAUCACUUGAAUGCUUUUCAGAGCAUUGUUAAUCAAUUGGAUGCUAUGAAAAUGGUAAUAGAUGAUGAGAUGCAAGCAUUUUUAUUAUUGUGUUCAUUACCAGACAAUUAGGAAACUUUUGUUGUGACUAUUAGCAACUCUGUUUCGAAUGGUGCAUUAUGUAUGGAGCUUGUGAAGGGAAAUUUGUUCAAUGAAGAGACAAUAAGAAAGGCUUAUGAGAUAGAAAAUGCAUAGACCCUCAUCAUAGAAAGUAAAGGAGGAAAUAGGAAUAGAUGACAGAAAGGUUAUAUCAAAUUUGAGGGAAGGUCCCAAUCUAGAAAUAAAAUCAAAUUUUUUCUUUGUGGAAAAGAUGGGCAUAUGAAAAGGAAUUGUCGAAUUUGGAAAAGAGAACAAAAUAAGCAGAAUUAGGGAAAAGAAGAUGACAAGAAUACCACAGCCUUUGUAUCCAACAGUGAUGAAGUUUUAGUGCUCUCAGAUGAGUGUUUGCAUGUAGAUGAGUAACGAGUUGAGUGGAUUAUAGAUAUCGCAACCUCCUACCAUGCUACUCCUCACUUGGAGUUGCUUUCUUAUUAAAGAGUUGGAGACUUUGGCAUAGUCAAGAUGGGAAACUCUUGUCACUCCAAGAUUGUAGGGAUGGGUGAUGUUUUCUUUGAAACUAACAUAAGGUGCAAGUUGACAUUGAAAUAUAUAAGGCAUGUUCUAGAUUUACGCCUUAAUGUGGUACUUUGUCACUUUUAUUGAUGAUGCUACCAAGAAGGUAUGGAUUUAUUUUCUUAGAUAAAAAAAAUCAAGUCAUUCAGUAUUUUCUAUAGUUUCAUGUCAUGGUUGAGAGAAAGACUAGAAGGAAACUGAAGUGUCUCAGAUCGAUAAUGGAGGUGAGUACACCUCAAGGGAGUUUGAAACUUACGGCACUAGGAAUGGUAUAAAGCAUGAGAAAAUUGUUCCUAGCACUCCAUAACAUAAUGGUUUGGCUGAAAUGAUGAAUUGCACCAUCAUUGAGAGGGUUAGGUGUAUGCUGAAGACUACAAGCUUGUCUAAGGCAUUUUGGGGUGAAGCUACUCAGACUGCCUGCUAUUUGAUAAAUAGAUCUCCAUCAGGUCCAUUGAACUUUAAGGUUCCAAAUAAGGAAUGGACAAGAAAAGAUGGUUCCUGUUCCCACUUGAGGGUCUUUGGAUGUAAAUGUUUUGUGCAUGUUCCCAAAAAACAGAGAUCCAAACUUGAUGAUAAGGCAAUUCCACAUGUCUUUAUUGGGUAUGGUGAUGAAGAGUUUGGAUUUAGAUUGUGGGAUCUAACCAAGAAGAAAUUGGUGAGAAGUAAAGAUGUGGUGUUCCAAGAUGAUCAAACCUUGGGAGAUUUUAACAAAGCUAAUCAAUCUAAAGGUACAAGUGAUGACUUCAUUGAGUUGAUACCUAUUCUUCUAUCAUUAGAGUUAGAAUUUAUAGGAUCAAUUCAUGCAAAAAUAAAAUUGGGCCUUUGUGGGAGCCCAACAUCCAUGAUAUUUUCCUUCACAAUAACCCAAGUGAAAUGCAGGUUAGGUAUUUAUUGACUUUGAUCCGAUUCAUGAAGUGUGUGAGAUUAUUUUCUAUGGUACACUAAUCUUUUUCCUUUGAGGCACUUUUCUUGUUGCAUAGGUAUGCUCUUAUCUCUACCUUGUCUAUUUAUUUAGUCCUCAUUAUCAUGCAUGAUUUGUUUUAGUCCAUGACUCUUGCUCCUUGGUAUCCAACAAUUAACUAGUCAAUUGGCAUACUUGCUUUAACUUGAUUAGUAGAUACCUGAUUUUAGGGCUUAGAGGUGUGCAAUGACUUAUCAUCAUACCUUCCUGAUAGGUAACUUGACCCCCGAAUCCUAACUCGGUUUUCACAAACUUCUUUUUCCCUUAUAAGAGUCACAAUUAGGGUUUUCUUUCUUAUUUUGUUUUCAUUUCUUAAAAAUAAUAAACAAUAACAAGUGACUCCAAGUUUUUUCCUAAAAAUCAAAAUUUUCACAAAUAAAAAGCAAGUCUUGGUAUCGAGUGGAAAUGCAUGUGAAAAAUACGAGUUCAUAAGAUCCUAUACUGGGGCAUAUUUCCUGACUUUGAGCUUAUAUUCAUAUCAUAUUCAAUUGGGACUUCAUUAGGGACAUGCUUCUAUUCUUGAGACUAUCAAACCUCUUGUCAUUUUGGUCAUACUUUUGAGAUUUAAUUUGGAGUAUUUCCUUUCAGACAUUGACAAAUUUAAAUUUUGAUUUCUUAGUGCAUUAUCAUUAAGUUAGAGACAUCAUGAUUACCAUAGUUUCUUCAGGAGUAUCUUUACCCAAUCAAAUAAAUGAGGAUGUUUAUGCUUUUAGUGUAGUUGAUGAGUUUAGUUUCUUCUCAUAAACAAAUUUUCUUAAGAAAUAUGUUGAUAUCUCAUUAGUGAGUUUAGGUUGAUGUCAUCUUAUUGAAAGCAUUUGAUCAGCAUCUUAUUUUUUCUCAGUUGAGCAUCUCAUAUGUCAUUUUGGCAAUUGUAGUUUAAGUGUUAGACAAAGUUUUGAUAUGACUCUUGUUGUUAUGAUAGAGUUUCAAGUGAUAUAAUGACUUUUCAAUAUAGGAUCAUAUUUUUUUAUUCACUUUCAGGACACUUUUGAGACAAGCAAAGUUUGACCUUGUUGAUGGUUGAUUGUUAUUUGAUAUUAGGACAUACCUUUUUGCAAUUUUACCUUGGUGGAUGAUUUGUCAAUUUUAUCCUUGCACAUUGGGGCAUACCCCUUUCAUUGAGAUUAUACAAUCUUUCGUUGACUUUGUGGCCUCUUGAUUCAUUUGCUAAUUCCUAUGAGUUAUCAUAUUAGGCUUGUCCUCAUUUCUUUUGUUCUCACUUAUGUUAGGUAUUCUCAGUUGCAAUCCUUGUACUCACCCUUCUUUCAAUUUGUUUAGGCACACCCCUUUGAUGAGCAUAUUUAUGGCAUCCUUUCAAUUUGGUUUCCUUUGAGCAUCAUCUAGGGCAUACCCCUUUCAUAGCCUAAAGUUGUUCAUCAUAUCUCAAUUUAGAGUUUAUUAUCAUUUUAGUUUCAUUUGUGGCAUUCCUUUUAUUUCGAUUUCAUUUGUUGCAUUCUUAUCUUUGAGUAUCAUUUAUGGCAUACCCUCUUCUUUUCAAUGAGUUGAUCAUUUAUAUUUUUAGUCAUCCUUUAGUGGUUCAACUUGGAGUCACAAAUCAUGAUUUCCCUUAGGCAUUUAGAAUCCACAACUCCUCUCUUUGAGUAUCAUCUAAGGCAUACCCUCUUCUAUUUAGUGAGUUGAUCAUCCUUAUCUUAGUCACUCUUAGUGGUUUAACUUGGAGUUGCAAAUCAUGAUCUCUCUUAGGCGUUUAAAGCCCAUAGCCUAGAGUUGUUCAUUUUAUCUUAGUCAAGAGUUUAUUAUCUUACAUUUUUCAUUUACAACAUUCCUUCAUUCCAGUUUUGUUUAUGGCAUUCCUCUUUGAGUAUUAUUUAGGGCAUACCCUCUUUUAUUUAGUGAGUUGAUCAUCCUUAUCUUAGUUAACCUUAGUGGUUCAACUUGGAGUCAUGGAUCAUGAUCUCCCUUAAGCGUUCAAAGCCCACAGCUUGGAGCUAUUCAUUAUAUCUUAGUUCAAAGUUUAUUAUUAUUUUUGUUUCGGUUAUGGCAUUCUUUCAUUUUGAUUUUGUUUAUAGCAUCCUUAUCUUUGAGUAUCAUAUGGGGUAUACCCCAUUUUUUUCAGUGAGUUGUUCAUCCUUAUCUUUAGUCACCCUUCAGUGGUUCGACUUGGAGUUGCAGAUUGCAAUCUCCCUUAGGUGUCACUAUAAGAAAUUUUACUUUUCCUGACUAAUAUACAUAGUUGAAAUAAACAUUUACUAACGGAUAAUCUCGACGCAUGGUAGUUAGAGAAAGGUGUGUUGGCAAAAGUUUAUUGAUGGGAAUUUUUCGUUGCCAGUAAAAAAAAAUUAGCAAUAAACUAUCCAAUGGAUUUGGACCAUUGCUAUUACCAACAAAUUAAGUUGGUGGGGAAAUGUAAAUAAUUAAAUAUUUUAGAAUGUCAUUUAAUCUCGAUUUCAUUAUAUUCAACAUAGAGCACCUUGUUACACUCCUUGCUAGUUUUCGAUAUUUACUUGGUUGUUGGCUAACCACAACACUCUUUGCUAGUUUUGGAUAUUGACUUGGAUGCUUUUUUUUUUUUUCCUGGAAUUGAACUCAUGACGCCAAGUUUGAAAGGAAGAAACUAUGCCAUCAAGCCAACUUUGUUAUUUGCAAGAUAAAGAAUAGAUAUAAGAUUCAUAAGUGUAAAUAUCCUAUACUUACACGUUUAUAUUAUAAAUAUUAUCUAUAUAUAAAUACAUAUUAUAAAUUAUAUAUGCAUGAAUUAAUAUUAAUGCAUAUAUGUGUAUAUAUAUAUAUAUAUAUAGAUAGAUAGAUAAUAAAUUAAUUAAAAUAAAAUUAUCAACAUUUUAAAUAAAAAAUACUUACACAUGCAUUAUCGUUUUUUAUUUUAUAUUAUUGAGUACAUUCAAAUUAGAUAAAUCUCUAUAAAAUGUAUUUUAAAAUUCUAAAUAUUAUUAUUGGACGUCACAAAUUAUAUUAUACAUAUACUAAUUUCUUUAAUAAAACAACCUCAAAAUUUCUAUUAUUACUUUUUAUACCAUUUAUUUACAUUUUUUCUCAACAUUUUCAUAAGUUUUGAUCAAUUUUCAUCUCAUCGAUGUUUUGUGUCAGAAUAUCCAUCAAUAUUUCCAGAUAUACACUUCAAAACCAAUAUAUAUAUAUAUAUAUAUAUAUAUGGAUAAUAAUAAUAAUAAUAAUAAUAAUAAUAAUAAUAAUAAAGUAGUUAAAAAUUAUUAAAAUGUUAAAACUAUUAUGAUUAUAAAAUAUAUAUAUAUAUGUUCUCUAUAAAUAUUUUAUGAAACUAAAAAAAAAAAAAAUCAUAAAAUUGUUUUGUCAUUGGCUAGAUCAUAUUUAUCAUAUAACUAUGGUAAAAAGAUUUCAUAUUCAUAAGACAACAAUUAUGUGAGGUAUUAUUAUUGACUAUAAUAACACUAUUUUAGUGACUAGUAAUUUUUAUAGAAAAAUUGUUUAUGAAAUUUCAUUUUUUUUUUACAAGUAAAUUGCUUUUGUGACAAAGUAUAUUAGUUGAGCAUUUACAACGGUUUAAAUCCAUCGCAAUAAUACUUUUCUGGACAAGUAUUUGUUGUUGCAAUUAUUGUUGGUAAAUAGUUGCAUAUAAGUGAUAGACAAUUCAAUUAGCAAUGGAAUAGGUGUGUUAGAAUUUUGUGAUAGCUUAAAUUUGUCGCAAAAGUAAAUAUAAAUGGAUCGACAAUACUUAAUUUUUUGGUAAUGUGUUUAGAGCCUACAACUCGAAGCUAUUCAUUAUAUCUUACUUUAAAGUUUAUUGUCAUUUUUGUUUCAUUUAUGGCAUUCCUUUAUUUCGAUUUUGUUUAUGGCAUCCUUAUCUUUGAGUAUCAUCUAAGGUAUACCACUUUCUUUUCAAUGAGUUGAUCAUCCUUAUCGUAGUCACCCUUAGUGGUUUGACUUGGAGUCAUGGAUCGUGAUCGUUUUUAGGCAUUCAAAGCCCAUAGCUUGGAGUUGUUCAUUAUAUCUUAGUUCAAAGUUUAUUAUCGUUUUCAUUUUGUUUGUGGCAUUCCUUCAUUUCAAAUUUUUUUGUUGCAUCCUUAUCUUUGUAUAUCAUUUGAUGUAUACCUCCUUCAUUGAGAUAAUUAGAUCUUCAUUUUCAUUCAGUUGAUCAUUCUUAUUUUAGUCACCUUUUAGAGGUUUGACUCAAAAUUGUGGAUUGCAAUCUUGAUCCCUUAGGCUAACACUACAGACGGUACUAUUCAUUACAUCCACAACCUUAAGUUGUUCAUUACAUCACAACCUUGAGCUGUUCAUUACAUCAACAACCCUAAGUUGUUUAUUGCAUCACAACUCUAAGUUGUUUAUUCUUGCACAAACUUGAGCCUUACAUUAUUUAGUCACCUUAGAGUGGUUUGUCUUGGAGUUUGCUUAUCGCAUUCUUCUUUUUGACCGAUUUUAGGGUGUUCAAAGCCCCCAUCUUUUAAGUGUUUAGAGCCUACAACCUUGAGUUGUUCAUUGCAUCACAACCUUAAGUUAUUCAUUGCAUCAUAACCUGAAGUUGUUCAUCAUUUUCAAUUAUCUUUGAGUUAUUUAACCUAGAUUUUGUGCACCACACUCCCCCUUUCAGCUAAAUUUUAGGCAUUCAAAGCCCACAUUUUUUAGUUAUUCAUUGCAUCACAACCCUAAGCUAUUCAUUAUAUCCACAACCCUUAGUUGUUCAUUGCAUAUACAUUCUCAAUACCUUGUCAUCUUUUGUAUGCAAAGUUAUUCUUUUACCUAGUUUAGUGAUCUUGAGUUCUGAGCUUACUGAAUCAUGUGAUAGGACAAAAUUUCUAGUCCCUUUUAGUUCUUCAGCAUAGUUCACUUCAUUCCACUCGUUACUCUUACUUCUAAUCCUAUUCCUUUCACUAGUGAUCUAUAUUAAAGAGGGGCAUAUUUGUAGAUCCCUCAUUUUGUCCUCCUAACACAUGUGAUACUUUAUGUUUUCCUAAGCUUCUCUCUUACCCUAUGGUUAUCCCUUAAUGACCCAUUAACACCCAUAUAGAUUUUUUUUUUCCUAAGCUACCUUUGGGGACACUUUGGUGAGGGGCUCAUUUGGACCCGCAAUGUGACUUUGACAGCUUCUCAAGUUAGUUUUUAGGUUAGACUUCACUUAGGCUUUGUUUCCAAGAUAACGUCACUUAGAUCUUUUUUAUACUAGGAUCACUUAGACACUUCACUAAGCUUAGUUCACUUAGGUUGGUUUGCUUGAGUUUGAUUGCUAGGUUUUAGGUUUAGGUGAGUUCUUGACUUGGGUUAAGUAUCAAUCUUUAGUUAUGUGAGUUCGACACAUUGAUUUUCUUAUUAUCUAUUACAUUAAGAUUAAUAUUUAGAUUUUGAUUGCAUGCGUUAAAUUUCUUUUCUUUUUGUUUUAUUUAUUUAUUUAUUUUAGAAAAUUUAUAUGAGACUAAUGUUAUGACUUUUAAUUGCUUGAAUUGAUGUUUGAUCUUAAAUAUGAAUACGAUUGACCUUUAAUUUUUAAUUGCAUAAUUUUGAUUUGCUUUAAUUUUCAAUUUCAUGACUUUUACUAAUUUUAAACUUUAUUUUAAUUUUACAUGAGAUUUGAAUGUAUACAUUGGAGAAGAUCCCUUAGCGUACACAAUUGCCCUUAUAAUAGGAUGAAGAUCAAGACACUUUGGAGAUCCUUUUUUAGUUGAAGUGAUACAACCUACAACCUACAUGUGAACAACAUGCACCCAUUAACCUUCUACAAGGUGCAUAGUCUACACAAAAGAAGACAUUUAUGCAACAUAGAUACAGGUUUCUUUCCUCAAAAAAGUGUAGGUUGUAUGACCCAAUCUAUAAGGAUAUAUGACCACUUUAGGGUCUCACCCAAAUGUUGAACCCUCCUAUUUAUUUUGGCAUAGACUCAAUAUCCUCUUAAGGUUAAGAGUCAAUGUAGUAUGGUAACUUGGUGAAUCAUGAUAAUCGAUAGCCUUGUGUCAUGAUUCACCAUAGACCUUGUCUAAUAUGCAUCAAAUACACUAGUGCACUCACCAUGGGAAACCCAUCCCGAUGGCCAAGACAAGCCACCCCUCCAAUUAGGAGGUGAUGCACUAGAGUCUUUACUGGAUUGCCCAAAUCCAUGAACCAACGGUGGACAACUUAUCUACUUACAAGGAACCCAUGACUUGUAUCUUUUGUGCAACUCAUAAUGCACCCAAGUCAUGUACAAUGUAAGAGACAUGGACUAAAUGCUCAAAUCAAUGUCAAUACACUAAAAGGAUAGCAAGGGGAUGGUUAAGUCUAACUUUGUUACAUCAUGUCUUGCUUUUAAAGGCUCAAUCCUAAAAAACUCCCACUAGCCCUAAAAUCAAACUGGGCAUCAUAGAAAAAAUUGUUUCAUGUCUCAUAACCUCUCUAUACUAUCUCACAAUAAGGUAACACUUCUUAUUUAUGUGUUUCCUCUUCUGGUGGUACUUCAAUUCUUUAGACCAUGUCAUUGUCCUACUGUUAUCACAUAACAGGAUCUUAGAUGAUAUAGCCAAGGGAACUACCAAUAAGUCAAAAGGCUUUCUUUGUUGCUAUAAAAACAACAAAAACCCACUUAGAGUGUACACAUACCCAGAGAUAGACUUAUAAGAGUCCUUAUCAAACUAAAGUCCAAUUUCCUAGUAUGAAAGGAGUACCACCUCAUCACAAAGGCUCACAAACAUAUAAUUCCUUGUUUUCCAAAGAUACUAGAGUAUAUGUUUGAAAUCUGGCCAAAGCUCUAAUAAGGAAAUGGACUAAUAUCCACUCAUUAUUCCUACAAAAAAGCAAAUAUAUAGUCUAGCACAUAGUAUCGCAUAUUUAAGGCAAUCCAUUAUAGAGACAUUGGAUAUCGCCUUAAUGCAAUCUCUCUCCAUAGAUGUCUAAGGACAUUGAUCCUAAGAAAGAAAAGUCUAAAACCAAAAAGUAACAAACCUUCUUGGCGUUUUGCAUCAUGUACUUGACCAAGUGCUCAUCUAUGUAGGUGACAUGGUGAAAUUUUCCUAUUCUUGCAAUCCUGAAGGAUCAUAACCCGAAGAAUAUAUUGCAUCUUCCUCUAGAUUUUCAUCCAGAAUUGAGUAGACUAUCAGAUCUUGACUUAUGACAAUAUCCCCACAUCAUAUCCAAUGAGUAGAUUGCAUAUACCUACAAGAUCUUAGAGCAUCACGACGCUUUCUUAUGUCUUUUUGUACACACAAGGCUAUUUGCUAUGAAAAUGUUUGGUUGUCAUAUCUUACAAAUAUGACACACUGCAAUAGAUAGUAGUAAUAUGAUGGAUUUGAGUAUGAUCACUAUUGAGAAGGUUUUCCAUAGUUGAAACAAAUUUCAAAAGGAUCACAAUUCGGAGUUGAAACAAGGGAGUUAUAGUCGACUAAAGCUAGGUUGAGCAAAGAGCAUGGUAACACAAUGAUGCUGACUUUAACUCAAAAUCGGGGCUACCUCCCGUGAGCUUUUUAAGGCAAACCACAUAUGGUUUUGAAGCUUAAGAAGUAAAAAAUCCAGUACUUCAAAAGGAUUUCAAUUUGGCAUUGAAGAAACGAGGGAGAUAUGGUUGAUUGAAGCUAAAUUGCACAAAGGGCAUGCAAUUACAAGAUGGAGUUCAAGCCAAAUUAUUUUUGGUUGUUUGGGCUCAUUUUUUGGGCAUCUUUUCGGGCUUUUUUAGUGGCAAUUAGGCUCGUUGGGUUUUUCUUUUUUCACUAACCCUAUCUUUGGUUGCAGAGCUAUUUUGGUAAUUUGGAUUCUAUCCAAGUUUUAGUUACCAAAUUUGCAACAAGAUCCCUAAGGAUUAAUUUCCUUUCGUGUCUUUUAUACUUUUUUAUUUUUGGCAUAGAAUACAUUUUAUUAUUCUUAAGUUAAUGAAUUUUCAUUUUUUUUUUCCUUUUUUUUAGAUAAUUUAUUAAAUUAGAAUGUGUUAGGACUUUAGGAAAUUUUUAUUUUCGGUAAAGACAAGUUGGAAAGAAAUAAGGAACCUACUUCCUUUUCAAAAUUAAACUCUUAGAUUUUUUUUUUUAAAUAAAUCUUUUUAGAUUUUAGAUCUCUAUGAAUCUUUUUAUUUUAAGGAAGAAGUUUUAUUUUUUCAGGUCUUUGUGAAAUAAAAUAUUUUCUAUUUAGCACAAGAUUCUAAAAUAAAGAAAUAAUUAUUUUUUGAAAAAUAUCUUAUAGAUAAUUCAUGAUUAAGAUAGCUUACCAAUAUAUUGUUUCAAAUAAAAUAAAUUAAAAUGGUAAUUUUGGAUUUUCUUAAAAGAAUAAAUUUUCAUGAGUUUUAUUUCCAUUAUUAUUUAUUUAAAAAAUUGGUUGUUGUCAUUUGGAAUUUCAAAUUCCUUUUGGGAAUUUCUUUUUUCUUUUCUUUUUUGGGCUAGGUAGUUCUCUAAGCUCUCUCUCUCCCCCAUCCCCCACCCCCAGAAAAAAAGAGAAUUAAACCUACAUUGGUCCUCUAGGAUUUCCCUCCCUAAGAGAGAGAAAACCGUUUAGUUUGAAAAGGAAAGUUCAAGGAUAAGGAAUAUGAAAGAUAUCCUUAUUUGGCAUAGGAGUCCCAAUUCAAGUAAUAAAUAAAAGUUUUUGAAAUUUUCAUGACAAAUAAUUUAUUUUAAGAUAGUUACCAAAAUUAUCUUAAAGGCUCUCUUCCAAAAUAUUAAGUGGAAGCGGGCCAUAGGCAAGCCCAUAGCCUCUAAGAUCGAGCCUAUUUUCAUUUCCAUCCUAAAGAUGGGGUGGCCUAAUAAAUCAAGGGAUAUGGACUAUCCUUUAUGAACAAGACUAUAUAUGUUUAUAGUGGGAGUGGCCAAUCCUAAAGAUAGAACUCUUCACUUGGUAACAUGGAUAUCAAGGAUCUUGAUUACACACUUAACUUAGACAUGAAAUGGUAGAAUCACCUAAAGUGGUCCCACUUGCAUGGGCUAAGGGCUCAACAUAAAGGUAUGUUGAUCCAUGCCUUAGGAAAACCUUCGGAAGUUUAAGGCAGGUUGAUUAAUUAGAGAGGGUCUCUACCUAGUAAUAAGAGUCAUAACCUGUCUAAAGUAAGCUUGAUUCUUAUGAUACUAGGUUACCUUGUAUGGAUACAUGUAGUUUGAGAGCACUACAGUUUUGCUAAAUUAAUUACCAACUUGCCUUGAAUGCUCAAUUCCUUUUGUUAAUGCAUCGAAUUAUUAUUUUUAUUAUGGAUAUCAUGUCUUUAACCUAUCACCUUUUAUUUUUUGUUUAAAUUGGACCUAAUUUUAGAUUAGAAAUAAUCUAGAUAUAGUAUUAAUUGCAUAGAAGCUGUUUUUGGUAGAGUUUGUUAUUUCCUUUGAACAAACCUAACAUCAAGUAAGAGAAGCAUAUCAAAGGUGGCAUAAGACGGAUCAAAAGACUAAGUCUCUCAUACUUGGGUCUUUAGAUAAUGUGUUGCAAAAGCAACACAUGUCUAUUGUCGUAGUCUAUGAUAUUCUCUUCAAAGUUGCAAGGGUUAUUUGGUGAUAAGGGCAAGUCAACUAAACAAGUUGCCCUUAAGACCAUUAUGAACACCAGGAUUCAUGUUAUCUUACAAAUCUUACCAGAUUCUUUUGGGAUGGGUAAGAAGAUUCUCAAAGAGUGGAAAGGUGUUCAUAUGGAAGUCAAGGUUCUUCAAGCUCUUCUAACACUAUCUCAAGCUACCUACAUAGAUAAGAUUUUGGUUAAGUAUGUGAUGCAGGAUUCCAAGAAAGGUUUUUUACCUUUUAAGCAUAGAAUUCCCCUUUCUCUAAAUCAGUGUGCUAAAACACUUGAGGAGAAAGAGUGCAUGGAGUUAAUACCUUAUGCCUCUGCAGUGGGUAGUCUUACAUAUUUGAUGCUAUGUACUAAGCCAUAUAUUUUCUUUGUAGUGGGUAUGGUGAGUAGAUAUCAGUCUAAUCCAGGUCCAAAACAUUGGACAACAAUCAAGCAUAUACUCAAGUACCUAAGGAGAAUGAGAGAUUAUGUGUUUGUGCUCCAAAGUGUUGAGAUAGUUUAAAGGGUGACAUGAUGGUUGACAAGAUACCUUCUGUGAAGAACCUAGGGGAUCUUUUCACCAAGACAUUGUCAGGGAGAGUCUUUAAUGGUCACAAGGAUAACAUAAGUUUCAAAUGAAUAUCUGACAUGCUUUAUAGGCAUGAUGCUUUUAGGGCUAGUGGGAAAAUGUUAGGAUAGAGCCCUUAAAAGUAUGACAUGAUGUAAUAAAUUUGGAAUUCAUUAUUUAUUUAACGAUGUUCCAGUUUCACUUUUAUCGAUCCUUAUUCCAUGUAUUAUACUUUACAAGCAUUCUUGCCUACAUCAUUUGCAUUGUACGUGACUUAGGUUCAUUAGGAGUUGCACAAAAGAUUUAAGUCAUGGGUUCCUUACAAAUAAAUGGCUUGUUCACAACUAGUUCAUGUGUCUAGGCAACCCAUUAGAGGUAAUAGAGCACCACCUCCUAAUUGAAGGGAUGACUAGUCUUGGCUAUCGGGAUGGUUUUCCCAUGGUGAGUGCAUUAGUGUGUAUGGUUACAUAUUGGAUAAGACCUAUGGUGAGUCAUGACUUAAGGCUAUCAAGUAGUCAUGACCUCACCAAGAUGCUUCAUUAUGUUGUCUCUCAACCUUGAGAGAAUAUUGAGCUCGUAGUAAAGUUAGCAAUGACUUUGAUCUAUGGGUGAGAUAGUAAGCUGAUCAUAUAUUCCCUAUGUAUUAGGUCAUUGUUGAUGGAAGCCGGUAGCAAUAGGUAUUCUCAAUAGAGGCACCAUGAUAUCUUUUAGGAUUGAGACAGUGUGUCCCCUUGGGUGAUCAUAAGGAGGUGUGUUCAUGGAAACUAUGGCCAUAGUAGUUCCUUAAGUAAAACUUGACAUAAACUCUUUGAGAGUUAAGAUAUGUAAAUUGAACACACAAUAGGAGGAUCCGUAACUCAAGGAUGGUAGAGGUAAUCUUGAAAGGCCGAUAGCUUUCCCCUAGUUAGACUAUGGACACCAGCUCAUGGGAAGAGUGAACACAAUGGAUAGCAAGUCAUAGACCCGAGCACUUGGUGUCUCGUUGUUAUAUACAUAGGAUACUGGAGUUCAAUUGAUUCUCUGUAGUGGGAUGUUGAAUCCACUUUAGAAUUGGAUUAUGAGGGAGCUAGUAUUCCUAUGGGUCCUAGUGGUCCCCGCUCUAAGCUUAUUUACCUUGUUAGCAUGGGUUAUGAGGGUUAGAUUGGCUCUAGGUUCACUUUUGUGCAUAAGAACGUUUUGGUAGUUAAGUAAGGUUGCACAGGGGUAAGUGAACAAGGUCUUUGGAUUAGGCUAAUUGUUUAAUUAGUAGGCCUUAUUGGGUUAAUUAAUCAAAUAAGACCCAUUUUGGGCUCGAUUUAGUUACCCAAUCACAUGUGGGCUCAAGUCACUUAAGCCCACUUAGGAACCCUAUAAAUACACUCUAGGGGUUAAGGUUUCCAUAACUUUUUAUCUUCCACCAUCCAGAGAGAUAGAGAGCCAUAACCUUCACCCUCUUUUCCUCCCCACUGGAAGUGUGUGAAGAUCAAGGUUCAAGUCAUCGGGAGAAAGAUCGUAGGUUUAUGAGACUUAUGUGAUUUCAUUCUUCAUCUUCACCAUGUAGAUUUGAUUCAGUAACUAUUUUUAAAACAUCUUGCCAAACAUUCUUAUUUUUAAAAAAGGUAAAAACUGUUUUUUGUUCUCUAUUUUGAACAAAAAAAAAAUUAAAAAAACAAAUUUUUAACAACACUACAAAAUAGGCCCUAAGUUAUCCAAAGAUCGUUUUUUUUUUAAUGAAAUAGGUUCAAUAUAACAUUUCCAUUAAAUAAGAAAAAGGGACCCAAAAAUUUCUUUUAAUAAAAAUAGGUUUUAGACAUUUUUUUUAGAUAUAAUAGUCCAAAAAUUUUGUUUUGAUAAAAGAAAUAGUUUAGAAUUUUAAAAUAAAUAAAUAAAUAAAAGGUUAAGAAAUAUUUUUUAAAUAAAAUAAAAUACUCCAACAAUCUUAUUUUAAUGAAAUAACAAUUCAAAAAAUAUUAUUUUUAAUAAAAGAAAGUUUUCUUAAUAGAAAGUUCAAACAAAUGUUUUUAGAAGAAUCUAGAAAAAAUAAUAAUAAUAAUUCAAAAUUUUGUUUUUAAUAAAAAGUAGUCUAGAAAUUCAUUUGUUUAACAAAAUUUUCUAGAAAAAUUGAUUUUUAAAUAAAAUUGUCCAAAAAGUUAAUUUUAAUACAGUCGUCUAAAAUUGAUUUUUAAAUAUAACUCUCUUUCCUUGAUAAGAAAGGGAUUAAAAGUAAUUUUUAUAAAUAGAUGUCUUAAAGAAUUUUUUUAAAUAAGAAUAGCAUGAGUAAACUUUGAAAUAGAACUGAAAAACCUUCUUUUUUUAAUAAAUUGGUAAACAAAUCUCCUACUAAAUGAAAUCCAGAAUUCUUUCUUAAUAAAAUUGGAAUCCUUGGGAACAAAUUUGUGAAAUUCUUUCUCUAAAUAAAUUAGUAAUAAAGAAUCUUUUUCUAGGUAAAAUAAAAAGUAUAUAUAUUUUUAAUAAAAUUGGGUUGAAAUUCCUUCUUAUAAACUUGUAAAUAUAUUUCUUUAAGUUUGUAGAUUUUUUUUUUAAAAAAAAAUAAAGAUUGAAUCAAAACACUUUUUAAAAUAAAUUAGUAAAAUUCACCCCUCUUAUUAAUAAGGUAAACAAAAAUCAUUUCUUGUAAAUCAAAUCAAAUCUUUUUUAAUAAAUUGAAGCCUUGUGAAUAAAUAAAUUCAAAUCACUAAUUUGAAAUUGUUGUUAAACUAAAAGAAUUCUUUGAAAAUUUAUGGAAUUUGUAUUAUGAUAUUUGAAAUAAUAAAAUCUUUCUAAUAAAUUAUUCUGUGCAUUUCUCAUGUAUCAUUUCUACAUAUCCUUAUAAUUUGCUUUUGCAUUAUUCCAUGUACUUGUAUUAUUCUUUUUUUUUCAGUAUUCAUGAUUAACUAAUUAAUUAUCAUAAUUCUCUUUUACGUGCUUACUAGAAACCUUUUUAAGGCUUAAAAGGGUGCUACCCUAUGGUACCUUCACAAUAGGUAACCUGACUUCGAGAUUCGAAUUCGAUUUUUACCGACAUGUUUUUUCUUUAAAAACGAGUAACGAUAGGGCUUUACUUAUUUAUUUUUUUCUAAAAAAUAAAAAGAGUGACAACUCCAACUUUAAAAAAAAAAAAAUCAGUUUUUUUAUAACAAAAACAAAUUUCACCAUCAAGUGGGGACGCACAUGAAAAAUGAGAGUUCACAAUUGUAUUUCUUAGACUUAAAAUAUAAUACAAUUACUAAAUCAACGAAUGUUGUGAGUUUUUACAUCUUUGAUCAUAAAAGAUUCAAAGUACAAUGGAACAAAUAGUUUUCAAAAGGAAAAUAAAAAUGUUUAAAAUGGAAAAUCUAACAAUAAAGACAAUGAAACAAGGUGAUAUGGUAGGAGUUAAAUAGAGAAAUCUUUUAUCCAUGAAUUUAUAGUUUAUUUAGUAGAAAAAAGUUCAAAAGAAAUAUUGCAUACAUUAAUGAAUUAAGUAGAUAAAAGGGAUUUAGGUAAUUUGAUAUUUAUGCUUUAGUUUGAUAACAUCAAAUAGAAAUUUGAUAUUAUUAGUUUCCAUAUUGAGUUUGGAAAUCUAUCAAAUGGAUGUUAAGAUUAUCUUUCUUUGAAUGGUUACAUAAAUUAAGAGUAUAUGGGGUAACCUAAAGGAUUUAUGACAAGAACACAAAGUUAGGGAUAGAUACAUUUAGCUAGGUUGGAUUAUAACCAAUCCAAGAAUCAAAUAGAAGUUGAUUGGUUUUAACUAAAGUAUAACAAAUUUAUUUAUUGACUCAAACUAAUCCAACUUAAUAUUAGUUUGAUUCAGUUUAGUUAACUCAAUUUAGACCAAAAUAUUGAGUCUAUAUGUUUUUUUCUCCACAUUGACCACAUAACCAAAAUGAUCAAAUUGUUUUAGAUAAAUAUAUAUAUAUAUAUAUAUAUACACACAAAUAAUACAACUAAAAAUUUUAAAAAUAAUGUGUAGGAGCAAACCAAUGGAUUAUUUUCUUAUUGGGAGUAAGUCAAUGAGUAGUAUUAUUGACAUAUUGGGUGCUUGUGACUUGAAAUUAUAUUAUCAUCAUUAUUAAGUCCCACAGUACUAGGAUUUUAAAUUUUAGAUCAUGCUUAUGCCAUAAGCAACUUUUAAUUUGUAAUAAAGCCAUGGGAGUUAGGUUCUAGGCCUCCAACAUCAAACUGUAGCCUAACUAAGUUAGCUUUGGAUGAGCAUGGUUUGACUCACAAAGUCUCAAGAUUCUCCAUAACACUCCAAAAUCCAAGCAAUUAUAUUUGUCCCACUCCUCUACUACUUGGGUUUGUUUGCCAAUCCACUAUGAUCUAGGUUGAACCUUUCAUAAGCCAAAUACUUAAACUAGUUUGAUCUCUAGUUUCACUGCACUACCAAAAUAAAGUAGAAACGCUAAAAUUUGCAAGAGGAAAACCUUCAUGAUCAGCCACAUCUUCUUUGGAAUAAAAGCCUCUUCUCUUGUCCUAAACACAACUGCUUCAAUUUUCUUACUAUUUCUAAUAAGCACGACUUAUCUUCUCUCUGACAUGAAUAGAUGAAUUCUUAAACGUAUUUAUAGAGGCUGGAGGUGAAAGCUGAACAGCUGGUUUCCUGGGGUACAACCAUUCCUCGCCGCGUAUCAAUAUAAGAGAAGUAAUUUGAAUGUGUAUUGGUUUUGAAAGUUCUUCCAGGACCACUUCAAAGAGCAGGUUGUGUAUGAUAUCUGACCACUUACCAAAAUUUAAAUAAACCAAAUUCCUGAAGACGAGUUUCUUAGAAUCUCUUGAAUUUUCUAAUUCAAAAUACAUGAAAGAUGAUUUUCCUGGGGUACAACAAUUCCUCGCCGCGUAUCAAUAUAAGAGAAGUAAUUUGAAUGUUCUUCAGAAAGCAGGUUGUGUAUGAUCAGCUUCAAUCAGGUUGUGUAUCGUACAAGUUUGACUUUGAGAAUUGACCAAGAAAUUAAUCAAACAUAUUAUUUUAGAAUAAAUUUCAAAUACAUGUAGAAUACUUUUAAAACUUUGACCUCGCAUAUAUACAGUACCUUUAUCAAGAUUAGUCAAGAUUUUCUCUUUGUAUUUGGUAGGAAGGGAAAAGUCAGCGCUGCUUUCAGAAGGAAUAUAGGAUUCCAUUAUAGGAAAGAAACAAUCAUUCAAUUAUAGGAACCGGAUCGAAAAUUCCUUGUCCGGUUGGAGGGUCAAUCCAGACAUUCAAAUCAUUAGGUCAGCGAUGAAAUCAUUCAACAUGCUCACCAUCAAAUAAAUAUUGGUUUCCUUUGCAUAUUUCCUCCAAACCGGCUUUAAUCUUGAUAAGAUAUAUUGCACAGAUAAAUUGCAUGCACCAACAUAUAAAUUAGUUUAAACGGAUAAGAGAACAUUCAGACAUUUUCAAACAUCAAAUCUCCACUUUUUUUAAAUUGUUUAUAAACAGAAAAAAUGAUGAAUAAAAUUUAAGACGUGAAAAUAUGACCAAGUUAAUUUAAACUUUUUUUUAUUUUUUUUCACUUUUUUUCUUCUAUUUUUUUUUUCUCACAUUUCCUUUUGAACUUUUGGAAUAAAUUCCCUACUAUUUGUGGCGCUUUAAUAUAAUUUUUUUUCUCCAUAUUAUACAUAUUUAUGCAAUAUUUGGUUAAACUAUUUUGAAUUUCUAUUUUUACCUUAACAAGAAACAUUUCUUGAAAAUGAAGAUUAUUUUCUCCUUAUUUUCAAAUUUGUGUUUCUCCACUUUUUUAAAAAUAAUAAUAAUAAUAAUUAUAAGUAAUUAUAGAUUUAAAAAUAACUUUUUUCAUAACAAAUACAAUAUAUAGCGGGCUUAUAAAAACUAUUAUCUAAAAAAAGGAAAAGUAAAAUAAGAAAUAAUUCAAACUUCCUUAUUUGGUUUAUUGUACCAUAUUCAAAGAGUUUUAAAUAAUAAAUUCGAAGAUCAUCCCAAACACUUUAAAGAGUUUUAGAAAUCAAUACUAAAUUCAAUCUUAAUUUAAAACUCCUAAAUAAUUAAUUGUAAAGUUGUUUUCAAAGGAAACCCUUCCUAUCUCGAUUUCCUCUCACUAAGAUACUUAAAAAGUGGAAUAAUAUAUAAGAGUGAACUUAAAACUCAAUUAAGAAAAUAGGUCAAUAAGGAAGAUCAAGUAUAGUACAAAGUUAAAUCUUAGGAGUUAUCACAUCUUAAAAAAAAAAAAAAAAAUCAAUUAGUAGGAGUUCAUUUAAUUCAAUAAUUAAAUUCAUUUUGUUCAAAAAAUUAUGCACUUUCAAUUUAAAGAUAGAAUUAAAUAAUAUACUUUACAUACUUAAAUUAUAUUAAAAAAAUAUAAACAAACAUUUUACUUUGACUCAUUGAUAAUAACAUUGUGCCCAAAUAGUAAAACUUGCAUUAGGUGGCUAGUCUCACUUUGUGCCUUUUAGCAAUGGACAAAAUGAUUUAUAAUCAAUGAUAUACCAAAGGCUAAUAACACCCUUAUUAGCUAGAGUUACAUUAUAUCACUAUCCUCACAAAAGGUAACACAGGUCAACAACUUCUCUCUUAAACCAAUGUAAUAAAUUAAAUGAUAAAAUUCAUUUGCAUAACAAUAAACAAAUCAUAUGAUAUUCCCAAUUUAUUUUAUAAACUAAGGAACAAAUCAUAACAUUUUUAGUAAAAUAUUAUUUGAUCCACUUUAAGGAACUUAAACAUUUUGAUAGUUUAAAAAUAGAUGAAAAAAAAUAAGAAAUUAUAAAAUGUUUUACUAUACUAUUGACCCUUACCUUGAAGAAAUCAUUCAAAAUCCUGAAAGACUUAAUCUACACCUAAUAUAAAUAUAAAUAAAAAAUAAUUAUUAAAGAUUAAUUAUCUAAAUUAACAACUUCCUAAUUUUUAUGUAAAACUUACCUUAAUUAUCUAAAUAAUGAGUAGUAUUAUUGACAUAUUGGGUGCUUGUGACUUGAAAUUAUAUUAUCAUCAUUAUUAAGUCCCACAGUACAAGGAUUUUAAAUUUUAGAUCAUGCUUAUGCCAUAAGCAACUUUUAAUUUGUAAUAAAGCCAUGGGAGUUAGGCUCUAGGCCUCCAACAUCAAACUGUAGCCUAGCUAAGUUAGCUUUGGAUGAGCAUGGUUUGACUCACAAAGUCUCAAGAUUCUCCAUAACACUCCAAAAUCCAAGCAAUUAUAUUUGUCCCACUCCUCUACUACUUGGGUUUGUUUGCCAAUCCACUUUUAGUAAGUGAUCUAGGUCGAACCUUUCAUAAGCCAAAUACUUAAACUAGUUUGAUCUCCAGUUUCACUGCACUACCAAAAUAAAGUAAUUCAAGUAGAAUUAACCAAAGGCACAUGCAUGACAAGUUUUGCUAUUGGGGACGUUUACAAAUAAUAUAUGGAGACAUUUUUCCAGUAUAAUUUGAGACAAAUGCUAAUGGGGUUGCCUAUGAACUAUUCUCCAAGGCUUUUUAGGCUUAUCUAUUAAACAAUGGAAAUUGAAGAUUUGGGGGUCAAAUGAAAGUAAUCAAGUUUGAAGUUGAUGGAAUUGUUUAUUAGCUCAAUAUAGAGGCUUAUCUCAAGCACUUUCUUAGUACAAUGCUUCAAGUCGAUUAACUGCAUGCAUGCACUAAAGACUUCCACAACAAAGGAAAUUUUGCAAGAAUAAUCUAAAGAGCUACUACAAGAGAGAAUGAUCUUUUGAACAUAUGUAAUUGAUUGUGUAUUAAUUAAGAAGGCUUCUAAAGUUGGAUAAGUUGUUUAGAACUUUUAAGAGGGAAUUUGUAAACUUCACAAAAUUGAUCUAAGAGACAUUUACCAAGUUCUAUCAUGAUAAUAAAGUAUUGAGGAGAAAAUGUACCACCAAACCAAGUUGUAUUUGCUAAGAAUACUCACUACAUUUCUAUUAAGAAAGAAACUAUCUAGUGGUAAAGGACAAGAUAGUUUUAGUUCGUGAAGUUUUCACUGCCCAAGCUAACAUCAAAAGCUAUAACAAGACAAAUCCUAAUAAGGUAAGAUAAAAGGUUGCACAAAAGGGACAUCUUGCUCCUUGUUGAAAAUCUCAUUCAAUUGCAAAUCUACCACAUCAAGAAUGCUCUCUCUUCUAUAAUUUUCUCAUACCCAAUCCACAAUACUAUUAUUAUACUUGUUUUGCAUGUUUUUUUCUUUUCUUUUCUUUUUGGCUUUCUAAGUUAUGUUUUCUUUGGUUAUAGCAAUAGCAUCAUUAGUGUGUUAAAUUCCCUUAUAGAUAAUUCCUCAAGCAUUUAAUGUCCUCAUUGUUGCUAUUAAGUCUUAUAGUAUGAAACGAAAAAUAAAAAUUCUUGUAUUCAAAAUCAAAUGGAAGCACAUGAAUUAAAAAAUGCAAACACAAGAGAAACAUUGAAAUCCAAUUACAAAGAGUAGUAUCAAAAUUUCCAUAUCUACAAAAUUCAAGUGUUAAGAUUUCUAAAAAUGAAAUAUAUAUAUAUAUAGGGUUCAUUGGGAGAAGACCUACAUCUAUAAAACAUCAAGGUCUGACAUUAAGAGAGGAAUUCAAUCCAUACCUAAUAUGAAGGCAUGGAUUCGAACACAUUGACUAGAUUUGAAGAAUGCAAUUCAUCCAUGGGAAUUUGUGUACCUAAAGAGGGUUGGUUUUUGGAGGUACUGGAAGAUGGUUGGAGUAUGGUAGUGGCUAUUGAAAGGGUCGAUGGCGGUGGGAAGCCAUAACUACUAGUGAAGAGGAAGUUAGGUGAAUUGGAGACUUGAUGAAGAAGAUAAUGUGAGCUCGAUAAAAUUUCCUCCAACUUUUCCUUUCUUUUUCUCUCUUAUUUUCCUCACUAAUUUUUAAGGAAAGUAGAAGAGAAAAUAUUACAAUAUUUUCUUUAGUAUUUUCUUUUAUAUUUUUUCCAUCAUAUUUUUCAUGUCACCAAUAUUUUCUUUAGUAUUUUCUUUUAUAUUUUUUCCAUCAUAUUUUUCAUGUCACCCAAACUAAGGAAAAUAACUUUCCAUAGUAUUUUUUUUCCUUUCCCUUGCAUUUUCUAAAAACCAAACACAAUCUUAAUAAAUAAAAAUUAAGAACUACAACAAGAUUGUAUAUUUCCUCUUUAUUCUUGCAUUUCUACAUCUACUACUCUAUUUGACAUCAUAUUUUUACUCCCUUCUUCAAUCAACAUUCCUCCCUUAUUAUAGAGUUAUCUUCACACCAAUUCAUAAGAUAAGAAAGGUGAAUGAACCUUGGGGCAAAUUUGGACAACUAGUGGCAACUAGUCAAGAUUUGAAGUCAACUUUUGCUUGAUUUUUUUUGGCAUGGGCAGCAACUUGUGGACCCUCUUUAGCAUGAAAAUGACUAGAAUAUGUUAAGCUCUCUUAUUAGAUGGUUAAUGAUGUAUGAACCUGUAGACCCCUUAAAAGACUAAGGGUUUUUCCAGUUGGUUUGAGGGACCACUCGGGUGAUUUUUUUUGAAGUGAGGGGGACCCCUUUUCUGCCAUGAAGGAGCUGCAUUGGACGCGUGGACACGGCAAGAGGCAGGGGCGACCAUGCUGGUUGUUGAGGAGCCCAUGCUUGCUGAUGGGUGAACAGCAGAGCCGGUAAUGGCUUGCCAAAGAGAUUUUUUUUUUUAGAGAGGGAGAGGUAUAGAAAAGGCGAGGAGGGCUCUUUUCAUGGUGGCCGUGAUAGAGACUCGGAGCUGGGGGGGAAAAAGUUUUUUUACUGAUCUGGGAGGAAGAGAAAAUACAGGAAGCUGAGUAAGCACUGCCUGAGAAGCUCAGGUAUGGCCAACAUGGAUUUCUUUGUUUUGGAUCUUCUUCAUCUUCCUUCUCUAUUAUUGCUGUGAUUUUGAUAUAGUUGAUUCUGGUCACAUUCCCUGGAGUUUUGUUUGAGCAUGAACUGUCUCUGUUGCAGCUUUCUUAUAAAAUGUCUAAAUCAUGCCUGGGUCCUAGUCUAAAAUAUAUUGAUCUCACUCGCCUGCGUUUAAGUACAUUGAUUGUAAUAUGAAACGUGGCUUUUCGCUGGUUCAUUUUAUUUCAUUCUUUUAUGCUCUGUUUUUUUGUUAUCUUCCCCUGUUCCGGGCACCCAUCCAUGGCAUACACCAAAUUUCCUAUCCUUAGAUGGAAAGGUAAGGCACCGUGUGAAACGCGCUCUCAGUUUGUGGGGUAUGUAGAUCUGCGUUCAUGAGUCGGUCAUGCCGUGGUAUCGAGUUCUCCUUUAUUGAGGGUAAACAGAGUUGGUGUCGCCAAGUGGGGAUGGGAAGGAUAUGUUGCUAACAGAGCAGCCCAAGAAAUGUUUCUUCAUCUAAGAACGAAAUCAUUCGCUGGAAAGUGUAUCAAUGAUCUCCACUGCUGUCUGUUUAGACACAAUAUGGAACGACUGGUGGUGUAGAUAUUGACAAGGUGACCGAGCACCUAUGUGCAAACUACGGACGUACCAGAUUUGAAAAAUCCAGCAUGGAUUUCUCUAGAGAAUGCAUGAUGCGCCUGUAGACAUUUCUGGGAAUUUCUGGCAGGUCCAGAGUCGAUAUUAGCAACCCUCUGGCACUCUUAAUUGGAGAACACUAAGGUCCAAUUCGACUCUCCAUGCAAUGAGUAGCCUCUCUGAUGCUUAUGAAGAUCAUCUUCUGGGUACCGAACUCGCUGAAACCUGUUUUGGAGCUGGACGAUGGUCCUUGCACAGGAGAAUCUAAGUUCAGAGAGCCAUUCUUCAAGGUCAGCAGCAGUGAUAACGGCGCUGCAUGGGUACCAUGAUCAUCAACAGAAAUUAUUCCAUUGUUUGAAUGUGGGAAUAUUUUUAGCGAGAUGACCAUUUGCAAUUUACACGACCACCUCCCUCUCAUACCUAUUUUCCUCAUACUCCCAUCACCCAACAAGCCAAACCAUUCCAUCAUUCCCCUCAGUACCUCCUGCAUGCAAAUCCAUUGUUCCCAAACCCAUUGCCCAUAGCCGAUACCUAUCUCACCAUAUUCUUCUCAUUUUUUUUUCUUCAAACCCACUGCUUAUACUUCAUGCAACCAUACCCACUGCUAUCCACCCGCGUACACAUCCACCUUUCAUAAUACCCAUCUUCUCACCACCUUUUCUCUCUCAUACCCAUAUUUCUAACAUACCCGUCACCACCCGUUUCUCUCUCUAAACUUAUUCACACCCAUCUCCUGCACCCAGCAGCCGCAAACCACCCAUUUUCCAUCUCAACCCGUUCGGCUGUUCUGUGAUUGAUGGACCUCAUGGUGACAUGGGUCUCACGACUCUUAAAAAAUAGGUUUUCGUUGAAGAAGCUUCAUGUCGUUCUAUAUUUGCUGAAGCCUUUUUGUUUCCCACUGAUGGCAUUGUUUAAACAAAUUGGUGGAUAAAAGUCAAAGACAUGAGUUUUUUAUAUUAUUUUUUAUUCUUCAUUGGUGGCAUGGUUCCCGUAGGCUUCAAGGUGGUUUAUUAUUAUUUUUUCUCUUUUCUCCCACGUGCCAUCUUCUUAAUUCCACUUUACAUAUUAAAAUUUUCAUUUUUUUGAAAGUCCUAAUUCUUUUAAAAAUCCCAACGUUUCAAAUUCAUUCAUUUAUUCAUUUAUUUUAUCUAUUUUAUUCAUUUAUUUUUUAUUUUUCUAUUUAUUUAUUUAUUAUUUUAUUUAAGAAUAUAUAUAUACGCGUAUCCUUUCCAAAAUAAUCUCGUAAAAUAUGAUUUUUAAAUUUAUUUUACGAAACUUCAAAUCUAACAUUCAAUUUUCCAAAACUCCAAUAUUUUAAGUUUAAUUUUUCAAAAUUCAAUUCUCGAACUAAUUUUCUAGAACUCUAACUUUAAAUUUAAUUUUCCCAAAAUUCAAAUUUUCAGUUCCAAUAUUUCAAAAAUUCCAUUAUUCACGUUCAUUCGUUUAAACAUUAUUUUUGUUAGUAUUAUUAUUAUUCCAUAUUUAUUUAUUUAUUUCUUUUAAAAAUUUCGAUCAUUCAAGUUUAAUUAUUCAAAAAAAUCUGACUUUCGAAUUUCAUUUUCAAUCUAAAAAAUUUCACUAUUCACAUUCAUUCGUUUAAACAUUAUUUUUGUUAUUAUUAUCAUUCCAUAUUUAUUUAUUUAUUUCUUUUAAAAAUUUAAAUUAUUAAAGUUCAAUUCUUGAAAAAUCUGACUGUCGAAUUUCAUUUUCAAUCUCAAAUAUUCCACUAUUCACAUUCAUUCAUUUAAAUAUUAUUCUCAUUAUUAUUAUUAUUAUUAUUAUUCCAUUCAUUUAUUUUACAAAUUCCAAUAAUUAAAGUUCAAUUUUUCAAAAUUCCGUUUUCCGAAUUUAAUUUUCAAUCUAAAAAAUUCCACUAUUCACAUUCAGUUGUUUAAUGAUUAUUUUCGUUAUUAUUAUUAUCCCGUUCAUUUAUUUAUUCACUUAUUCAUAUAUUUAAAAAUCUCAUCUCCAAAUAAUUUCUCAAAAUCUCAAUCUUUAAAUUCAAUCUCCCAUCUCUAAAAUUCUAUUUUUCGCAAUUAUUUACCAAAUCUUUAUUAUUUCAUCAUUAUUAUUAUUUACUCAUUUAUUUAUUCACUUAUUUGUUUAUUAAAAUUCCGUAUUUAAAUAAUUCUUCAAAAUUCCGAUUCCCAAAUUUAGUUCUCUGAAACUCCAAUUCCUUUCAAAUUCAAUUACUAAAAUUCUCAUUCUUAUAUUUAAUUUCUAAAAAUCCAAUUUUCAAAUAAUCUUUAAAACUCCAAUUUUCAAAUAAAUUUCAAAAAUCCAGUUUUCCCUCAAACAGUUUUAAUUUCUAUUUGAUGACGCAUGUGAUAUGUUUUGUGCUCUUUAUUAUACAUUGACCCCAUUUUUAUGAUAGCGCAUUACUCGUUCGUGGCCCAGGUAUGCAUCCCUUCCCAUUUUGGUCAUUCUCUAUGCAUGUUUUGAUUCUCAUGUGUGCAUGGUCGAUUUGAGUAUCCGUUGGUUUUCUUAUUGAUCGUCACGUCGGCUUCAUUUUAUUAGUAGAUAUCCGACUUUAGGGACUUAGAGUGGUGCUACGGUCUUUACCGUACCUUCCUGAUAAGUAACCUGACCCCCGAACCCGAUUCGGUUUUUCAUAGACCACCUUUUCCAAAAUAAGGAGUCACACUUAGGGUUUUCUUUCUUAUUUUGUUUACCCUUUUAAAAAUAAAACAAAAAUAAGUGGCGACUCCAAGUCAUAUUUUUUUAAUAAAUAAAAAUCAUUUUCGAAUAAAGAUCGAGCUUACCAUCGAGUGGAAAAUGCAUGAACUGAAAUGCGAGGUCCAUAGAACCAUACGACAAUCAUAGGGUGGGGAAUAUAUGGUAAUUGUGCAAUAAAUAAAUAAAUAAAAAAUGGUAUCCAAUUAUAUAAAAAGGCAUCUUCCAACAUUUGAUAUACAUAUGUAAAAAUUAAGAGGAAAAUACUAAAAAAAAACAUAUUAAACCUAAAAAUAGGGACUUAAUAUAAAAUAAAGCAAAAAGGUAAAAUUAAAACCAAAUAUUAAUAAUGAAUAUAGUUUAAGUAUUAAAAAUAUUAUUAUUUAGGUUUUAAUCAUUAGGCUUGCUAGAGGAGUUUAUAUAUAUAUAUAUAUAUAUAUAUAUAUAUAUAUAUAUAUAUAUAUAUAUAUAUAUAUAUAUAUAUAUAUAUAUAUAUAUAUCCUAUCUCUGCAUAAAAUUUGUAAAUUAAAUAUUUAUUUCUGUUAUUUAAAGGAAUCAUUGAAAUGUUUGCAUGAAAGAUUUAUUCCAUAGCCUAAAAUGAUGAUAUUGGCAUUAUAUAUAUGUGUAUGUAUGUAUGUAUGUAUAUAUAUAUAUAUAUGUAUACAUGUGUUUGCUCAAAUGAUAGGCUGAUUUUAAGCUAUAAUAAUAAUAACUGUAUUAUUGUAUUAUUGAAAUGAAAAGGUUGUUGUUCUUUAAUUUUGAUUUGAAAUACAGGGGAUAUUUCUAACACUAAGAUGAUGUUUAUUUUUUUAAUUGAAUAGAAAAAAUUAAAAUAUUUGAUUUUUUUUUAUUCAACUAAAAGUAACAUGUUGAUAUCAACCAACAUAACUAAAGUGAACUUAUUCUUAAUAGGCUUAGUUUAGUUAUGUUGGUUGAUAUCAAUAGGUUAUUUUUAACUAAAUAGAAAAAAAUAUAUAUUUUAGCUUUUUUUAUUCAAUAAAAAAGCAAACACAUCUAAAAUUUUAUAUAAAAAUGCUUUAACUAGAAAUGAAUUUCAUAUGGACCAUUGUAAAAUACCAUGCAUAGGGAGAAAUCUGGAUCCUCACUUGCUCUUUGAUUUUAAUGCAUUGAAUUUGAUGUUGGCUAAAACAAAUUAUAUUUCAUGUCCCGUAUUAUGAGUAGACAUUCCUUAUGUUAGAUUUUAGAUAAAUAAUGGAUAUUGGAGAUUGGAGUUGUAAGAAAUUAGGAGAUCCUAAUUUUAAAUAUGUAACAAAGUUCUAUAAUCGCUUCAAUCCAUGUUUUAAAAUUUGUAUUUCUUUCUAAUAUUAGAGCAAACUUUUUCUUUGUUUCUUAUAAAUUUCAUUUGGGAAUGAUUUAAAAAUAAAUAAAUAAAAACCCUUCUAAAUAUUAAAAAGUAACACUUUCUUAUAAAAAUUAAUUAGGUAGAUGGUAAGGUCAAAUUCAGGAUAGCUUCAUAUUUUUUGCUUUAAUUGAAAAUUAAAAUCAAAAUUAAAGUAAUAAUUUUUAAGGUUUCUUACAUUCAUAUUCGUAUUAUUUAUUAUAUCAAAUUAAUUUUAAUUUACAAAAUAUUAAAACUUUAUAAUUAUCAUUAUUAUUUAUAUUUUAGUUUUUUUUAAAUAAAUUUAUAUUUUUAAUAUUUUAAAAUAAAAAUAUUCAAAAUUAAAAGGAUAAAUAUAAAAAAAAUUAAAAAUAAAAGUGAUAGUAAUUUUUUAGAAUAGGAUUAAUGAGAAUUAUGAUACAUUUUAUCUCUACUAAAUCUAAAACUCAAAAGGGCCACCCACUUCUGUCACUCGAGGCACCGAGAAGCCCUUGUUUGAAGUUGCCGUCCAGACGAGAGAAUCCCUAAAAAUGCCUUAUUUCCUCUGCCACUCUCAAUCCUCACAGGUACUAAUCUAAUCAUGUUAUUUUGUUUUAAUUUUUUUUUUCAACCCCCGUUUGAUUCCCAAAGAAAAUCUCUCCCCCAUUUGAUUUUCGGGAAAAUUCAUCCUCGUUUGAUUUCCGAGAAAAUCCAUGCAAAACCCCCAAGCAAAACAAAAAAAAUUGCUUUUUUUUUUUUUUUGCUCCCUGUGUUUUCUGGAUCUGUUCUAGGGGUCUCUUUGCUUUUAUGCCACUGGAUUUAAAUUUCACGAACCCUAGAUCCACGAUUUUUGAGCCAGGCGGAAAAACACAACCUUCGCCUGCAAAUCAUGAUCAGAUUACCAAAUAGCAUCUUAUUUUUGCUACUGGAUUUAAAUUUCACGAACCCUAAAUCCAUGAUUUUUGAGCCAGGUUGAAAAACACAACCUUUGUCUGCAAAUCAGAUUACCAAAUAGCAUCUUAUUUUUGCCACUGGAUUUAAAUUUCACGAACCCUAAAUCCAAGGCUGAAAAACGCAACCUUUGCCGGCAAAUCAUGAUCAGAUUACCAAAUAGCAUCUUAUUUGAUUUAAAAAAAAUAAAAAAUAAAAAUUGGACAGAUUUUGUAUCCUGUGCGUGGGCUGGACUGGUAGGAAAUGUCGGGAAAUUUCCCGAAAAAUGGGUAAAAAUACCGAUAUUCCCGAAAAUUACCAAAAUUUCCAUCUACAGAUAAUCGGUGACGAGCCGGCCGAUAAGCAAAAUUUCGGAGAAAUAUCGCCGAAAUUUUUCGAUAUUUCAAACACUGCAUGCUUGUUGGGUUUCAAAUCAAAUGGGUUCUUUUUCCCUAGGCACUUAAUUUUGUGGCUUUGAAUGGGUCUUUGCCUCUUGCAAUCGAUCAAAUGAAGGUGCGGAAAUGGUAAUAUUUCAUGUUUUUAUUUGUUCUUGUUUGUUAAAUUCUAAUAAUCUAUUUUCCUCUUUUGGUCAUGUGGGACAUCAUUGAUUUUGGUUUCGCCUACAUUAAACUUGGAAGUUUGCUUUGAGAUUUAUUGAGGAAAAAGUAUGGAUUGUGUGAUGGUUGAAAAUAUUUAGUUACUAGGAAAAGCCACGACCUUUCACUUAAAUCCAUAGAUUUCAUACCAACUCGUGUCUUGCAACUUGUAAGCUUUCUUCCUUUUAUGUUUCAUUUUUUAAUAUAUUAUUAAUUUCUCUUAGUAAUUAAUUAUUUGAUAUAUAUAUAUAUAUAUAGGUAAAAUUUUAAGUCACUAUAAUAAUGUUACUUCUUUUUAUAUUCAAAUAUAUUAAUAAAAAGACACUAUUUUUUUUUAUUAAAUUGUGCACUUUGGCGUGUCCUUCAUGUCAAAUAAGUUUGGUUUUAAUUAAUCUAAAUUGAUAUUUAAAAUAAUACAAUAAGACACUUUCAAUUUUAUCAUAUAAAGUUUAAUAGUGUUUGAGAGUUUAACAUAUAAUGGGAAAAAUACUGAAAGGGUGAGCAUAGUCUUUCAGUAUUUGUUAAAAAAAUUAUUUUUUAUUUUUUCAAUUCACUUAUUUUUUAGUUAAUUUUAAGAAUAGUACAAUUCCAUUGAAAAUGAUGCAAUGAGUUGUUUUAAUAUUUAAUAACAACACGUUGGCUUUGCAUGUAGAGGGUAGAAAAUAUGUUGUCCACCAUGAUAUGUAAUUAUAAUUAUAUUUAAAAACUAUAAUUACAUUUAAAAACAUUUUUCUUAGUUUUAACUGAUUACUUAAUUUUUAGUGGUUAGUAUUAUAUUAAUAUAGGAUGGAGAGAGAGAAUUUAGAGUUAUUAUGUCAUAGUCUCUAUCCAACUCAUGUGGGAGUGUUCUUACUAGGAAGGCCAUUACAACUGCUAUAAAGUUCCAUUGCUUAUUAUGCAUAUGUCAAUAGUUUAAUAUUUGAGAGUUGGUUUGUUUACCUGUGUUAUUAAGAAAUAAUCUAUUAUUGUCUAAUAAAGGUGUAGUGGCUAGCUUGUUAUUAAAAUUCUUCAUAAAGCUUGAUAUUUGAUUGCUCCGCAUUAUACAUUUUUCUUUUUAAUUUGUUAAUAUGCUUUACAUUUUCUGCUACAGAUUCGGAGUUUGGGUGUUGGAAAUUUAAGGCUUUCCUAUAAAGUAAUGCUUCAAGACGGAGGCAAGAGGCUUGGUUGUAGAUAUAUACAUGAACAACUUAAUUUAAGUUUAUGUAUAUUGUCUUAUAGUGUGUUUUUAAUUUCGUUGUAUAUUAUAUGAGUUUCUUCUAUAUAGAGAAAUUGGGGACAACUUUAAACAAGUUAAUUGAUUUGUGCUUUAAUUAAUAAUCAAAUGUAUAUUAAAUAUGUUUUUAUUAUAUAUAAAAUCAUGAUAAUUUGAUUGUCAUUAUCGUUCUUAAAUAAUAUCAAAUUGAUUAUACAUGGCAACAGGUUCAAUUUUUCAUAUUAAAAAAUAAUUUUAAAAUUUUUCUAGGGGAACCUUGACAAUUGUACUUAUUCCCAACCUUGACAUACAUGAUACUCAAAUUUGAGAUAUAUGGAAGCAAUCAUGACAUAUGUGGUACCUAUCCUUAACAUAUAUGGUGCCCACCAAGACAUAUGUGGUUCAUAACUUAACAUAUGUUAGAGAUAUCAUGACAUAUGAUAAGUAAUGAAAUAUACAUAUGUCAAGAUUGCUUAUACCUCAAUCUUGACACUCGGAUAGAUGACAUAUAGAAUCAGAAUGCUAUAAUGACAUAUAACCCUUACCAUAAUGGUCAAACACCAUCAAGGAAAGCCUUUUUUUUAGUAGUGUUUUAAGGGGAAAUAUUGAUAUUGUAAGAGUUUUAUUAAACAUGAAAGAAUUUCUUUUAUAAACAAAAAUAGAAUUAUAAAAUUCUUAUAAGAAAUAACAUUUUUAUGACUUUUACAUGAAACCUUUUUUUUUUAAAGUUAUAAGUUUUUUAAAAAAUAAUUAAAUUGGUAUAAAAACUUUUAUUUAACUCUUAAAAGUCAAUCCAAAUAAAAUUUAUAUAUAUAUAUUUGAAAGUCACUUUUAAAAAUCCAAAAAAUCACUUAAAAAUAAUUUCUAAAUAUUUUUUUUAACUUACAUUUAAAAAACAAAAAAAAAAUAAAAUGAUUUGUUUUUACUAGUUAUUUAAAUUAAGGAAGCAGGAAAGAGGAAAGAGUUUGCUCUAAUGUUAAAAAAAAAAGGGGUUGAAAAGUAAUUAAAUCACUAAAAAUAGACUUGGAGUUCUUUUAGUGUGUGGUUAGACUCAAUUUGUCCCCAUGCAAUGGAAAUGGAAGAUUUUUUGUUUUUUGUUUUCCUUUUCCUUUAUCUUGGUGUAGUCUUGUGAUAUUGUUACUAAAAUAGGAGGUAAAAAUAUAAAUUAUAUAUCAAUUAUUUUAAAUUUAGGAAAAAAAAAGUGCUUAUUUUAAUUUGAAAUAAAUAAGUAGAAAAAAAAUUGAUUUUAUCUCAAUUGUGAGACUUCAUUAAAAUUUUCUUAUUUACAAAAUAUUUUGGGUUGUAAAAGUAAAAAUUAAACAAAUCAUUUCAUGACCUUUUUCACAACAUGAUAUUUUAUCAUGUUGAAUAAAAUUGGAAUGGUCAAAAGUUGUCAAAUCAAGACUUCCAUGGCAAAUUACACCAUUGCAUAUCUCAAAGAUUAUUCUACAACAUUAUCUUUGUAGACUUUUAACAAUCCAAGAAAUUGACAAAUUAUAUAAUAAUCCCAUACACAAUAUUCUAGAACUUUACAUUAUUCUUUUUAUUUUAAUACAAGAGGAAUCCUAAGUCAACAAUUUUUUUGAACAAAAAAUAAAUAAUGAAAUCUACAACUUUACAAUAUUCUACAAUUUUUUUGAACAAAAAAAUAAAUAAUGAAAUCUGAAUAAUGGAAACAAUCAAUGAAAUCUGAAUAAUGGAAACAAUCAGUGAAAUCUUUGGCAUGUUAAUUCUUUGUAGCUUCAACAUGGUGGCAUGUCGGAUGGUGGAGGCAACAUUUGAGCUUUUGGGUGUUUACCAUUUUUCACUAUGAACGCAGUUUCCAUGCCCCAAGUCAGAUGGCGUUCUACAUGGCAGUGCAUGAACCACACCCCUGCAACAGAGAAAAUAUACCAACAUUAAACCUAAUUUAUUGCAAUAUUAAGAAAAAUUAUUCCCUUGGUAUGCAGGUUGGCAAUUUCAAGGGUUUUUUUUUAAUAGAGGACAUGAGUGCUUGAAACAUACCAGGGUUGGAUGCCUCGAAUCUGAUUGCAGCCCAACCAUUCGUAGGAACAGAGAUGGUACUCUGAAGGGGAGGAUCCACUAGAUUAUAGCGCAAAGGGUCCUUAUUUUUAUCGAAAUUCCCAAAUCCCCAUCCAACAAGGUAGAAACUGUAUCCAUGGAGAUGCAUGGGGUGGUGUGUCCCUGCAACCAAGUUUGUCCCUUGAAAAACAAUCUCCACUGUGGAGUUAUACUCAAGCACCCUUACUUCUGUUCCGUUUUCCGGCGUUUGAUACUCUAAUGGAAGAUAAUCAGCUGUAAAAUCGAACACCAGUGGUGGAACGCUAGGAAAUUUAUCUCCAUAUACACCACUGAUGUUAUAAUAGUAAGCUUGUAGUAUGUCAAUUGUAGGGGAUUGGAAGCUUAUGUUGUUUAUACUCGCGGAGAAUCGCGUCCCAUUGGGCCCUGCACAUGAAUUAUUGGGGCAUAGGAACGAGUUUACAGAAACAGUGUAAAUCAGUUUAGUGCUCGGGCUCAACGGGACAUUGGAAGGAUGUUCUGCAUUUGCUAAGCUUCGGAGGCCAGCCAUGACCUGAACCGAUGCAUUUGUGUCAUUGUAUGCAGGAAAAUGAGGCAAGGAGGGAGGUGAAGAUGGAGUGUAGUAUCCCUUGUACUGUACAAUAGCUGUGGUGGUUGUGUUAUCAUAAAAAUUUUGAGCUGCUGGGGCAAUGGAAUAAGUUUUAGCCGCCAUGUAAUAGUGAUCCGGGUGUUGGUUAGCUUCUAGUAAGACAUCGAAGGUUUGGCCAGGAUAUAUUGUGAUAUAAUCUUGUGUCAAUGGUUUCAUGUAGCUACCAUCUGUUCCAACCACUGUCAUUUUAUGCUUGGCAAUUGAGAAGAAGAGAGCCUCGUGCAGGGCAGCAUUGAUUAUGCGAAGUAGAUAUGUCUUUCCAUGAUCCACCGUUAGCUUGAAUGUGUCUGCAAUUAGAAAAGGAAAGUUGUAUACUUACGACUAGAGAAAAGAAAAGGAAAAACUUUCCAUGAGGAUCCACCAAUUAUGAAGUGAUUGAUUUAUUAGGGGUGUAAAUUUGGCUCCAUAGUUCAAAAUUAUAUUUGGAUUGGCUUUUGCUCAUGUGUUAAAUCAUGGCUCUACCAUCCUCAUAGCUAUAUUCCUCUUUCUUAGCAUUAAGUUUUAAAUAUGUUGAUGUUAAUAAGAAAAAGUAAUAUGGUUAACAUACAAGAAAAUGAGAUCAGUGUACAAUUUUAAAAUGGGAAGUUAAACUUUAUACCUGAUUUUGAGCAUGGAUAUAGAUCACCGGGUUGUCCAUUUAUCAAUAAAGAAUCAGAGGCAUUGGGGUCAGCUCCAGUUGCAAGCCCUUCAUCUCGAACCGCAUUCACAUCACUCUUCCACCAUUGUCCUGCAUUUCAACAACUCCAAUAAUUUAGAUUUUGCUUUGUUGGUUAAUUCAUGAUAUGUAAAUUAACCUUUAAAAGCAACUACACUUAUACCUAAUAUGAUGGGAAUUUCUGCGUUAGGUUUGGGAAAAGGAUACUUGGUUCCAUUCUUGGGAUAGACGAUUAUAGCUCCAUGAACGGUGGCUCGAGUCCAGUCACUAUGAGCAUGCCACCAUAGAGUGCCUUCCUCAGAGGAAAGGAUGAUCUUCUGGCUAAACUUUGACCCUGGUUGAAUUGGGCAUUGUGUGAUAUACUCGGGACCAUCUGUCCAUGGAUAUCUAGGCAUGUUCACCCCAUGCCUGCAAAACGAUAACUAUACAUUAAAACUAGUACUAAUUUUUAGACUAACAAAAGAUGGCAUGUAGCAACAUAUUAUCAUAGUAACAAGAGGCAUCAACUAUAUUUCAAUGGAACUGAUGCAAAUAACCCUAAAAUAUUAUUUUAGAUUUAACUUUAUUUGCAAAGCAAUACAUUGCAGCCCCCUCUUAGAAAUAAAAGAAUGUAUGUCAUGCAAGCAUGUUGCCCACUGCUAUCUUUCUCCGAGACAUGCAUAGGACUUACCAGUGAAUGGUGAUAUUUUCUUUUCCCCUGUUAUAAACGUUGACGAUGAUCGUCUCUCCUUUCUUAGCAUAUAUAGUUGGUCCUGGAAAUUGUCCAUUUACUGUUAAGAUGUUCUUGGUGCUACAAAGCCUUGUAUAUGAAGCCUCCUUCACCUGCAACCAAUUAAAAGUUAACCAUGCAACCUCAUCCCAAAAGAAAUAUUACAUGCAUGAAUAGUUGCAUCGAUCCAUUCAUGCAAGUGUAUAACCAAUUAGAAAUUGAUAGCAUGCAUGAAGGACUCAAUGACACCAGGGUACCCGAAGACCCCAUGAGGGUCAUAACGGUGGAAAAUGAGAGCCACACUGCUCCCUAAAUAUUAUGAUCAAAAGGUGGCGUUAAGGCCAUAAUCAUAUAUAGUAUUUACCACAAAAGUAAGCCGACGAGUUGAAGCUUGGCAAUGGAUGCCACCACCAAAAAGUAGAAACACUAAAAUUUGCAAGAGGAAAACCUUCAUGAUCAGCCACAUCUUCUUUGGAAUAAAAGCCUCUUCUCUUGUCCUAAACACAACUGCUUCAAUUUUCUUACUAUUUCUAAUAAGCACGACUUAUCUUCUCUCUGACAUGAAUAGAUGAAUUCUUAAAGGUAUUUAUAGAGGCUGGAGGUGAAAGCUGAACAGCUGGUUUCCUGGGGUACAACCAUUCCUCGCCGCGUAUCAAUAUAAGAGAAGUAAUUUGAAUGUGUAUUGGUUUUGAAAGUUCUUCCAGGACCACUUCAAAGAGCAGGUUGUGUAUGAUAUCUGACCACUUACCAAAAUUUAAAUAAACCAAAUUCCUGAAGACGAGUUUCUUAGAAUCUCUUGAAUUUUCUAAUUCAAAAUACAUGAAAGAUGAUUUUCCUGGGGUACAACAAUUCCUCGCCGCGUAUCAAUAUAAGAGAAGUAAUUUGAAUGUUCUUCAGAAAGCAGGUUGUGUAUGAUCAGCUUCAAUCAGGUUGUGUAUCGUACAAGUUUGACUUUGAGAAUUGACCAAGAAAUUAAUCAAACAUAUUAUUUUAGAAUAAAUUUCAAAUACAUGUAGAAUACUUUUAAAACUUUGACCUCGCAUAUAUACAGUACCUUUAUCAAGAUUAGUCAAGAUUUUCUCUUUGUAUUUGGUAGGAAGGGAAAAGUCAACGCUGCUUUCAGAAGGAAUAUAGGAUUCCAUUAUAGGAAAGAAACAAUCAUUCAAUUAUAGGAACCGGAUCGAAAAUUCCUUGUCCGGUUGGAGGGUCAAUCCAGACAUUCAAAUCAUUCAACAUAUAAAUUAGUUUAAACGGAUAAGAGAACAUUCAGACAUUUUCAAACAUCAAAUCUCCACUUUUUAAAAAAUAAUAAUAAUAAUAAUAAAUAAUUAUAGAUUUAAAAAUAACUUUUUUCAGAACAAAUAAGAAAUAAUUCAAACUUCCUUGUUUGGUUUAUUGUACCAUAUAUAAUGAAAAAUCAUUAUAUAAAUAAAUUAUGCAAAGAUGUAUAUAUUUUAAAAUUAUUUAUAAACAGAAAAAAUGAUGAAUAAAAUUUGAGACGUGAAAAUUUGAUCAAGUUAAUUUAAAAACUUCUUUUAAUUUUUUUCACUUUUUUACUCCUAUUUUUUCACACUAUUUUUUUUCUCACAUUUCCUUUUAAACCUUUGAAAUAAAUUCCCUACUAUUUGUGGAGCUUUAAUAUAAUUUUUUUCUCCAUAUUAUACAUAUUUAUGCAAUGUUUGGUUAAACUAUUUUGAAUUUCUAUUUUUACCUUAACAAGAAACAUUUCUUGAAAAUGAAGAUUAUUUUCUCCUUAUUUUCAAAUUUGUGUUUCUCCACUUUUUUUUUUUUAAAUAAUAAUAAAUAAUUAUAGAUUUAAAAAUAACUUUUUUCAUAACAAAUACAAUAUAUAGCCGGCUUAUAAAAACUAUUAUCUAAAAAAAGGAAAAAAAGAAAAGAAAAGAAAAGUAAAAUAAGAAAUAAUUCAAACUUCCUUAUUUGGUUUAUUGUACCAUAUACAAAGAGUUUUAAAUAAUAAAUUGGAAGAUCAUCCCAAACACUUUAAAGAGUUUUAGAAAUCAAUACUAAAAUCAAUCUUGAUUUAAAACUCCUAAAUAAUUAAUUGUAAAGUUGUUUUCAAAGGAAACCCUUCUUAUCUCGAUUUCCCCUCACUAAGAUACUUCAAAAGUGGAAUAAUAGAUAAGAGUGAACUUAAAACUCAAUUAAGAAAAUUGGUCAAUAAGGAAGAUCAAGUAUAGUACAAAGUUAAAUCUUAGGAGAUAUCACAUCUUUAUAAAUAAAAAAUAAAAAAUCAAUUAGUAGGAGUUCAUUUAAUUCAAUAAUUAAAUUCAUUUUGUUCAAAAAAUUAUGCACUUUCAAUUUAAAGAUAGAAUUAAAUAAUAUACUUUACAUACUUAAAUUAUAUUAAAAAAAUUAUAAACAAACAUUUUACUCCGACUCAUUGAUAAUAACAUUGUGCCCAAAUAGUAGAACUUGCAUUAGGUGGCUAGUCUCACUUUGUGCCUUUUAGCAAUGGACAAAAUGAUUUAUAAUCAAUGAUAUACCAAAGGCUAAUAACACCCUUAUUAGCUAGAGUUACAUUAUAUCACUAUCCUCACCAAAGGUAACGCAGGUCAACAACUUCUCUCUUAAACCAAUGUAAUAAAUUAAAUGAUAAAAUUCAUUUGCAUAACAAUAAACAAAUCAUAUGAUAUUCCCAAUUUAUUUUAUAAACUAAGGAACAAAUCAUAACAUUUUUAGUAAAAUAUUAUUUGAUCCACUUUAAGGAACUUAAACAUUUUGAUAGUUUAAAAAUAGAUGAAAAAAAUUAAGAAAUUAUAAAAUGGUUUACUAUACUAUUAACCAUUACCUUGAAGAAAUCAUUCAAAAUCCUGAAAGACUUAAUCUACACCUAAUAUAAACAUAAAUAAAAAAUAAUCAUUAAAGAUUAAUUAUCUAAAUUAAUGACUUCCUAAUUUUUUUGUAAAACUUACUUUAAUUCCAAACCCUUUUCUAAAGUUCUAUUUUUUGAAUUAAAUUUUUUAUUAACCAUAUUAUUAUUAUCAUUUUCACUUCUCAUAAUUACAUUAAUGGGUUUUGUUGAAUUAUUAAUGUUAAUAUUCCUUCUUCUUUUUUUCAUGGUAGGAAGUAGGUAAUUAUUUAUUAAUUUACUACUAUUUUUACUUAUCUCCUACCCACAACCCAAAUCUUAUUAUAACUUUAUUAUUUCUUUGCCACAACCACUUUCCUCAUUUCCUCAAUUCUUCUUCCUAUUAAUCUCGUGGUUAAAGAAAGGUAAAAGAAUCUAAAAAGAAAAUCAUACAUGAAGAACUUACCUUAAAUUUCAUAAUGAAGCAAAUAAAAAAAGUUUCUUCUUUCUAACCCUUCAAACCAAACUUCUCUAUAUACCUUUCUCUUGUUUCUUUUUCCUCUCUAUUUUAUCUUUUCAAAUUUUAAUAAUGUGGAGAAAUCAAUGGAAUUUAGGGGUGAAUUAUACUUUUAUCGCUAAAAGUAACUUUUAUUGAUGGAAUUUUAGAUGUUGUCAGUGGUGCAAAUUUUUUUUAAAAAAUUUCUAACGAAUUUAAAAAUUUCAUCACUAAAAGACAUGAUGGGAAAAUUUUGGCAUCGUCAUUUUUUUGGCACAAACACUUUUCUGAUAGAAAAAACCUAUUUUCUCAGAAAAGUAUUUGUCACUAAUUAUAAUUUUUGGUGACUAAAAGUUACAACUUUUUAUAUAUAUAUAUAUUUGCUUGUAAAAUGGUUUCAUUAAGUGGUUGUAUUAUUUCUUGACAAAUUGAGUAAUUUUAUCAUUAUUAAAUUGUGAUAUUAAUAAGUAAUAUUGAUAAAUAACUAGAUGAUUUAUAUUGUGAAAUAACAUAUGUAUUUUUUGAGACUUAAUAUUUAUACUGUAAUAUUUUAUUUCUAUUAAUAAUAAUAAAAUAAUUACAGAUUCAUAAAAUGAAAUACUACAAUACAGAUUUAUUUAAAUUUAAACGUUUUGUAACGUAAUAAUAGUAUUGUUAUGAAAUAAUAAAAAGGUAAAUUAUUUAAGCAAUUAAUAUUUAUAUCGUAAUAUGUUAUAUUUUUUUUAUAUAAAUAAUAACAACAAAUAAUUCAAGACAUGUAAGAUUUGUUACUUUGAAACAAACUUUCGAAUCCUAGGUACAUCCUUAAGAAAAUUUGUUACAUUCAAUCCUUGAGCUAACGGGACACCUAUCUCUUUUCCCAUGGUCCAUUUAUUCAUUUGGAGACCUCGAAAAGUGAUUAGAGGUCAUUCCCCACCUUAAAACGAACUUUGACUCCCAUAGUACAUCCUUUACAAAAUUUGGUACAUCAUUCACAAAAAUUCGUACAUCCUUAAAAAAAUUUGGUACAUCUAAUCCUUGACCUAUUAGGACCCCUAUCUUAUUACUCAUGGUUCGUUUAUUCCUUUAGAGAUCUUUGGAAGUGAUUAGAGGUCGUUCCCUACUCCGAAACAAACUUUGGAAAUCCUUGGGAUAACGGGACACUUAUCUCCCUUCUCAGGGUCCAUUUAUUCCUUUGGAGAUCCUUAAGAAGUGAUUGAAGGUCGUUCCCCACCUCGGAAUAGACUUUGGCACCCUUGGUACAUCAUAUACAAAAUUUGGUACAUUCUUCACAAAAUUUGGUACAUCUUCAUAAAAUUUGGUACAUUCUUAAAAAAAUUUGGUACAUCUAAUUCUUGAGCAACUAAGACCUCUAUCUUAUUGCCCAUGGUCUGUUUAUUCCUUUAAGAAUCUUUGGGAAGUGAUUGGAGGUCAUUCUCCACUCUGGAACGAACUUUGGAACCCUAGGGACAUCCUUAAGAAAAUUUGGUACAUCCAAUCCUCGAGUUAUUGGGACACCUAUCUCCAUUCUCAUGGUCCAUUUAUUCAUUUGGGAACACUUAGAAAGUAAUUGGAGGUUGUUCCCUACUCUGGAAUGAAUUGUGGAACCUUGGGUACACCUUUAGAAACUUUUUGUAUUUUUAUGGUUAUGUAAUGGUUUGAUGUUGUUGAUUGAAAUGAGGUGGUUGAGUCACAAUUUAUAAUCAUCAAGGGAAAACAAAUUGUGUUUAUUCAUGACCAGAUGAAAAUGAAUAACAAAUGGAAUUAUUGUCACUUUUAAUGGUAUUAUAUUAUGAAUCAUUUGAAUAGUUUUCUUAAAACAAUUUGUCAAUUCCAAAUGGAUUAUAGCUGAAUUGAAAAAUGAAGGAAUAUAGUUGUAGAAAAGAAGGGUUGAAUUUUUGUGGGCAUUAUGGAAGAAAGAGGUCGAGCCUUAUAUGAAAAACAGAUUGUUAACACUAGGCAUAAUAGUGGACGACCUUUUCAUGUAGGGGCUGACCCUUUUUAGCUUAUAACCCUUAGUCAUGAUAUUAGUUUUAUUUGAAGUGAUUAGUAACAAAAAUAAAGGUGUUGUUCAUAGGCAAUCCCAUCGUGUUUUUAAUAUUGGUUUUGUUUUAUGUGGGUGGUAGGCAGAACAAAGGUUGACCCAUUGUUUAAUAGGUAGGCCUUUGAAUAUGGACGUUAUAACCUUAGAAUAUGGACAGUGAGGAAAAUAGUGGUCAACCCAUGUAUUCAGAGGUAGAGCCUGAACUUAUAUUACAUAUCAAAUAAGUUCCUAACAAAUAAAUAAAUAAAAGUAAAUGCAUUGUGUGAUGUUUGGUAUAGACAAUACAUUUCAAUAUUUAGCACAUUAAUGUCACACCAUAAAAUGUUAAUGAAACAAACUUGGAUUGUUCAUAAUCUGAAUGAGACGUUAAUAUAUGAUGACUAUAUAUGUGACCAUGACAAUUGUUAUAAGUAAUUAGUUUUGACAGGGUUAUUUAAAAAUAUAUAUUUAAAAAACUAAAUACCUAAUGAGGUCUAACUGUGAGAAUAAAAUAAUUUAUGCUUAUUCUAUAAAUGUUGAAAGUAUUUUUGUGAUGAAUAUAUGUAUUAUUGGAAAUAUUUACAAACAUGCCUAGUUUAUUGAUGUGUGUGUGUGUGUGUAUUAAAAAAAAAAAAGUAAAAUCAAGGAUGUUCAUCCUUUCCUCAUAAGAAUGUACAUUGGGUUCUGAAGUCCAUUUUAGGGUAGAGAACAACCUCCAAUCACUUCUCAAUGGUCUUUAAAUGAACAAACCAACCAUGGGUAAUAAGAUAGGGGUCCUGAUAGCUCAAGGAUUGGAUGUACCAAAUUUUGUGAAGAAUGUUACAAAGUUUGUAAAUGAAAUACCAAAUUUUAUAAAGAAUAUACCAAGGAUGCCAAAGUCCGUUCCGAGGUGAGGAACGACCUCCAAUCACUUCUCGAGGGUCUCCAAAGGAAUAAAUGGACCAUGUGAAGGGAGAUAGGUGUCUCAUUAGCCCAAGGAUUGGAUGUAUCAAAUUUUCUUAAGGAUGUACCUAGGAUUCCAAAGUCCGUUUUGGAAUAGGGAAGAACCUCCAAUCACUUCCCAAAGAUCUCUAAAGGAAGAAAUGGACCAUGGGUAAUCAAAUAAGGGUCCUAAUAGCUUAAGGAUUGGAUGUACCAAAUUUUUUAAAGCAUGUUCCAAGGGUGCCAAAAUCCAUUCCAAGGUUGAGAACGACCUCCAAUCACUUUCUAAGAGUCUCCAAAUGAAUCAAUGGACCAUAGGAAAGGAGAUAGGUGUCCCGUUAGCUCAAGGAUUAGAUGUAACAAAUUUUUUUAAGGAUGUACCUAAGGUUCCAAAGUUCAUUUCGAAGUAAGGAGCAACCUCCAAUUACUUCCCAAAGAUCCUUAAAGGAAUAAACGAACCAUGGCUAAUAAGAUAGGGGUCUCGAUAAUUCAAGAAUUGGAUGUACCAAAAUUUUUUUAAGGAUGUACCAAAUUCUGUGAAGGAUGUACCAAAUUUUGUAAAGGAUGUACCAAAGGUGUCAAAGUCUAUUCUGGUAAGGGGAACAACCACCAUUCACUUUUCGAGGGUCGGUCUCUAAAGGAUAAAUAGACCAUGGGAAGUGAUAUAGGUGUCCCUUUAGCUUAAAGAUUGGAUGUACCAAAUUUUCUUAAAGAUGUACCUGGGGUUUAAAAGUCCAUUUCAGAGUAGGGAUCAACCUCCAAUCACUUCCCAAAGAUCCCUAAAGGAAUAAAUAGAUCAUGGGUAAUAAGAUAGCGAUCCUUAUAGCUCAAGGCUUGGAUGUACCAAAUUUUUUUAAGGAUGUACCAAAUUUUGUAAAGGAUGUAUCAAGGGUGCCAAAGUCCAUUCUGAGGUCAGGAACAACCUCCAAUCACUUCCCGAGGUCUCCAAAUGAAUAAAUGACCUCCAUUUGUUCUAAGGUAGGAAAUGACAUAUAAUGACUUCCUAAGAGUUCCUAAGGGAACAAAUGGACCAUGGGAAGGGAGAUAAGGGUCCCAAUAGCCCAAGGAUUGGAUGUACCGAAUUUUCUUAAGGAUGUACCUAGGGUUCCAAAGUCUAUUUACAGGUGGGGAAUGGCCUCCAAUAACUUCUCAAUGGUCCUCAAAUGAUGAAAUGGCAUAAGGGUCCUAAUAGCCUGAUGAUUGGAUAUACUAAUUUUUCUUAUGGAUGUAAUUAGGGUUCCAAUGUUAGUUUCAAGGUGGGGAAUGACCUUUAAUCACUUCCUGAUGAUUAGAUAUACCAAAAUUUAUUAAAGAUGUAUCUAAGGUUCAAAAGUCUGUUUUGGGGUGAGAAAUAACCUCCAAUUACUUCCUAUUGGUCCCUCAAUGAGCAAAAUGACCUUGGGAAGAGAGAUAGGGGUAUAAUUAGCCGGAGGAUUGGAUGUACUAAAUUUAUAUAAGGAUAUAUCUAGGGUUCCAAAGUCUAUUCUAAGGUAGGGAACGACUUGCAAUCACUUUCUAAGGGUCCUCAAAAGAUCAAAUGGACCAUGGGAAUGGAUAUAUGGGUCCUGGUAGCCCAAGGAUUGGAUGUACCAAAUUUUCUUAUGGUUAUACGUAGGAUUCCAAACUCCAUUCCGAGAUGGGAAACAACCUCCAAUCCUUUCCUAAAGGUCUCCAAAAGAAUAUAUGGACCAUGAGAAGAGAGAUAGGGGUUUUGAUUUCCCUAGGAUUGGAUGUACCUAUUUUUGUUAAGGAUGUACCUAGGGUUUCAACAUUCGUUUUGGGAUAAGGAAGGACCUCCAAUCACUUAUCGAAGGUUCCCAAAGGAAUAUAUAGACCGUGAUAAAGGAGAUAGGGAUCCUUGUUCCCUUAGGAAUGGAUGCACCUAUUUUUCUUAUGGAUGUAUCUAUUUUUUUAUGAAAUUAAUAUAAAAGGUUAACUACAAUUUUUUUUUAAUGAAAAAUUAUAUUUUCUUUUAAUUAAAAAUUAAAGAUUUUAAUGAAACAAAAAAUUAGAUCCAUGAUCAAGUUAAAACCAUAAGAAAAAAAGAUAAAAGAAUCAUCACUUACUAUGAUUUUGAUAUGAUAAAUUUAAAAUAAAAAAUAUAUAUAUAUAUAAUAUAAACAAUAAAAUAGUAUUACAAAUAUAUUUUUACUUUGAUGUGUGAUAUGGUUUAUAAAAUAUAUAAAUCUUUUAUUUAGCAUUAAUAUAACAAAUCUUAUAUCAUAAACCUAUAAAUAAUAAAAUAUAUUUUUUAAAUUUAAUCCUUGAUUUAUUAAAAGUAUUACUAUAAUUAAUAUUUAAAAUCAUCAAGUAUAUUAUUUGUGGAAUAAUAUUUUCAUUUUUGGCCAUUAUAUAUUUAUGUUUUUAUAUAACUUGUUAUAUUAACUAUUUAUUAUAUAUUAUUAUUUUAAAGUUAAUAUGUCCAAAAAAUAAUUAAAAUCAAUAAAUAUGGAGAUAUUAGAGAGUUAAAAAAAUAUAAAAUUGAAGAAGUUUUAUGCGAUAAUACAAAGAAAAAAAUAGUUAUUGGUGUACUUGACAACAACAUUUAAUGUGGUAAGUGUACUUGCCCUCAACUUUUGAGGGUAAUUUUGGAACAAAUUCAAAAGCACUAUUGGAGUGCAUGAAUUGGUAUAAAAAAAAUUCCAUUUUACAUUAAAAUUGAAAUAGUAAAACCACAGUUUUAAAAACCAUAUUUUUUAAUUGGUGAUGUACCAAAGCAUGAUUAUCCCAAUUUUAAAUAAUACAAAAAUCAUAAAUUUUAAAUUUUAAUUUUAAUCUUCUUUUAAAAAUUUGUAAAUUUUAAUGUUUAAUUUUUUAAUUUUUUAAUUUAUAAAUUUUAAAUAAUAUAAAACUCAUGGCAUGUUGAAGUGCAUUAAAUGCAUUGUAGUAGCAUAUUGUAUUUUUGUAGCAUAUAUGACAUAGAUGGAAUUGUGUGGAGUGUUUUUUGGGAAAAAAAGAUGAAAAAAAAAAAAUUCUCAAACCCUCACCUAGUUAAGCACCAUUGCAAGUUUGAAAAAAAAAAACCCAAUUUUUAAAAAGAGAGAAAACCACCAUCGCAAACAAUGGCUCACCACAUUUGUACCUGAUGCCAUAUCCUCUUCAACCUUUCAUCAUUUUCACCACCAACCCAUCUACCUUCUUGAAAAGUCAUUUUCCAACUACCAAUCAUACCCACCAUUCUCCAUAACACAUUUGUAUCUAAUAAUAAUUGUGAAAAUGACCAAUUUGAUUAAGCAAAUCACUAAAGGGGGGGAGGGGGGAAUGUGGGAAGAGAUGAAUUAGGUGUUAUAUUUUUUAUUUUAUUUUUUCAAAAGCAACCAAUUAAUAACAAAAAGAAUAAGAGAUAUUAAUUAAGGCAAUAAUUAAGUAAAAGAUAAAGAGAAGAUAUAUGCAAACUCUUUUAUUGUGGUUCAAAACUCCACCUAUAUCCAUUCUUUUUAACCUCCUAAGUAAGUGAGGAUUCCACUAUCAAAGACCUUCAACCUAAGCCUUCAAGCUUUAUAUUUGGAUUCAUGGUCUUCAAUGGGCACUCACAAUCCUUUCAAAUACUUCACCCACUUGAAGUCUCUUCACUCAAAAUGAGUAAAUAAGGAAAGUUCUAAUGCUUUCUAUUAGGACAUUGAGUCUUAUUUAUAUGUUGGCAAUUUUGUUUACUUUAUGUUUCAUCAUAGAAGUCUUUUUAGAUAAUGGCUUGCUCCCCAUUGAAGAUCAAGGGUGGUUGUUCGUCCAACCAAGAAGUCAUACGUAUAUUUAAAAAGGUUUGACUUGUUGCAUAUAAGGCUUCUUUAAGGUAUAAAAGGUUUAGUAUCAUUUUUGGACUUAAAAUGUUUUAAAAUGAUUUUUUAAAAGAAGUAGGGGCUGCUCAAGUGGAAAGGACCGAUCAACCAGUUAGACUACUCAAGUGGUAAGGAUGACUCAAGUAGUCUAAGUCUACUCAAGCAAUCAUAACAGUCCUUUCGAGUUUAGACACAAAUUUUGGAUGAAUUUCACUUGAACUCUAGUUUGAAAACUUAAGUUACUGAAACUCUUUGGAUUAUAAAUACUUUCUUAAUAACCCCUUAAGGGUUAGGGAUCGAAGAUUGAAGAGAUCUUAGAGAUUAAAAACCUUUCAUUCUUAAAAAGAGGGACUCCUUGAUAGAAAGCUUAAAUUGCUAUAUAAUUCAUGAUUUCUCAUUCAAGGAUUUGAAUCUUUAAAUUGUGGGUUGAAGACCAUAAUCCCUUCGAAGUGGCAAAAAGAUCUACUAGGGAGCAACAGGAAGUUGCUACGUCACAAACGUGGAUUAAGUUGUAGGUGUUGAAGAGUAAGUCUUUAGGAUAAAGCAGCCAAGUAAAUUUGUGUAACUUGAUUUUGAAUAGUGGAUUUAGAUUGGUAGGUCUUAGACCUUGUGGGUUUUUUUCUCCAAAGUUUGUGGGGGUUUUUCACAUACAAAUCUUAUGCCUCAUUAUCUAUAUCUUUUAUAUUUGAUAUUAUGUUUGUAGGGUUUUCAUAAAAGGUGCAUAUUUGUAGACCCCUCAUUUUGUCCUCCUAACACAUCUGAUACUUUAUGUUUUCCUAAGCUUCUCUCUUACCCUAUGGUUGUCCCUUAGAGACCCAUUAAAACUCAUAUGAAUUUUUUUCCCUAAGCUACCUUUUGGGACACUUUGUUGAGGGGCUCAUUUGGACUCACAAUGUGACUUUGACAACUUCUCAAGUUAGUUUUUAGGUUAGACUUCACUUAGAUUUUUUUUCCAAGAUAGGGUCACUUAGAUCUUUUUUAUACUAGGAUCACUUGGACACUUCACUUAGGUUGGUUUUCUUGAGUUUGAUUUCUAGGUUUUAGGUUUAGGUGAGUUCUUGACUUGAUUUCAAUAUUUGAAUGCAUGGGGUGAGUAUCAAUCUUUAGUUAUGUGAGUUCAAUGCAUUGAUUUUCUUAUUAUCUAUUACAUUAAGAUUAAUAUUUGGAUUUUGAUUGCAUGCGUUAAAUUUCUUUUAUUUAUUUUUUAUUUAUUUAUUUAUUUUAGAAAAUUUAUGUGAGACUAAUGUUAUGACUUUUAAUUGCUUGAAUUGAUGCUUGAUCUUAAAUAUGCAUACAAUUGACCUUUAAUUUUUAAUUGCAUAAUUUUAAUUUGCUUUAAUUUUCAAUUUCAUAACUUUUACUAAUUUUAAACUUUAUUUUAAUUUUGCAUGAGAUUUGAAUGUAUACUUUGGAGAAGAUCCCUUAGCGUACACGACUGCCCCAAUAAUAGGAUGGAGAUCAAGAAACUUAGGAGAUUCUUUUUUAGUUCAAGUGAUACAACCUACAACCUACAUGUGAACAACAUGCACCCAUUGACCUUCUACAAAAUGCACAGUCUACACAAAAGGAGACAUUUAUGCAACAUAGAUACAGGUUUCUUUUCUAAAAAAAAGUGUAGGCUGCCAUAUGAUAGGGCUUUAAACUAUUAAAGGAAAGUUAUUCAUGAUUAUUUAUUUUUUAUUUUAAAAAAGAAACUUAUAGCACACAUAGGAUGCAAGGGGCCACUUUCUAAAAAGAAAAGGGAUUCUUUCUUUUGGAUGAGGAUGUAGCAUAAAAAGUGAGGACCACUUUGAGAAUGGAGUCCGGUUUGGAGAAGAAAAAAAAAAAAAGACCACACGGUUCCAUGGAGAGGGGAGGGCAUAGUCUACCAUUGAAGGAGAGUUGACAGCCAUGUGUUCCUUGAGAAGGGGGUUCGCUCCCCACAACACACAUUUCAUCCUAAGGAGAGGAGGAUCUUCACACGUUGUCGAUUAGGGAGAAUACAAAUGCACAUGGAGGAUCACUUAUAGCCAUGAAUAAUAGCAGCUCAUCCAUAGCCCCACACACAACCAUGCAUAUUGGAGAAGAACUAGAAAGUUGUCACUUCAAGAUUUACCAUAGGUGCACACAUCAUUUGGAGAAGGUAAGUUAGGUUUUUUUUUUUUUUUCAAUUCUUAAUUUUCAGUUUGCAAGUUAGUUUUCUUUGUAUUUGUUUUGAUUCCACUAGAUUGAAAGUGGGAAUUAUUAAUCUUAGUUAGUUUUAUUAAUCUUAGUUUUGAGUCAUCCUAUAUAGUUUAGACACUUUCAUAAGUUUAGGUUCAUUAAUAAAAUUAAUUUUAUGCUUGAAAGUUCAUGUUUUUAGUUUGCUUUGACUUAGUCUAGCUCAUUUUAAUUAGUUUAAGUACUUUUAUAAUUUUAGUUAUUCUAUGUUUGAAAGUUCAUGUUUUUAGUUUACUUUAAUUUAGUCAAACUCAUUUUAAUUAAUUUAGGUACUUCUAUAAUUUUAGUUUCUUAGCUGAAUUUAUCCCAUUUUUUUUUAGUUUUUAUUUUAAAAUCAUUAAUGUUAGUUCCUAAUCAUCCUUAUCUUAAUUUAUAUGUUUUUAAGAUCCUAGUAGUUAGUUCAUGAAUCGAUAUCUUGUUAGUUUGUCUAAUAUAAAAUGCUUUGCUUGUUGCUUUACUGAUCCUUCAUUUAAUUUGAUUGUUUUUUAGGCCCUUGGAAACUCAUGAUGAUUGGCCUCUACUCUCACCUAGUUUAGGUUGCUAUAAAUUAUCACUUUCUAAUGUUAUUUUCUCUUUUAAAAAGAAAGUCUUUUCCCAAAAUUUUAUUUAUUAAAAUGGAUUUAAAAAACUUCUUCUAUAAUCCUUAGGGUUAAAAAAAAAAAAUCAUUUUCUUAAAAACUAUACAACCAUGUUUUAAUAUAUUUACACCUUUCUUUUAUUUUCAAUAAAAAUUGUGAUUUUUAGUGAAAUAUGAAUCCAAGCUUGUGGUCCCAAACGAAUGGGACAAUUCUUGGCUUUGAUGAGUUUGUCAAUUCUCAUGCAAGGUUGGGAAUCCAUAACCUAAAUUUGUGUAUAACAAAUGAGGAUUUGGUGACUAACCCCUUCAUAAAAUUAUUUUUCAAAAACCUUUUAUUGUUAACUUGUUGGAUUUGUUGCAUCUUUGGAAUAAAAUUUUGAUUUGGAUAAUUUAUGAUAUUCCUAAAAAUUUUCUUGUGGUUGAUGAUAUUAUGAACUUCAUUAACCUCAUUUUAGAAGUUUGAUUGAAUCAAAAAUCAUAUUUUUAAUGGAAAUUAUGAAUUAAUCUUUUGGUAGGUUCAGUUUUUUCCCAAUUCUGGAUACCCAAAUUGUUUUUUGUAUUUUCAAAUUGCUAAAUGACUUUGAAAAAUUAUUUUGACUUUUCUUCCUUCAUUCUAGACUUCUUGAAAUUUAUUUUAUACACAUAAAUAUUUAAAAAAUGUUUUGAUAAUUAGGAAAAAUAUAUUUUCUUUGUUCUACCCACUGUUGGCAUCUUAGAUCUAAGCAACAGAAGCAAUACCAUUUUUUUAAAAAUUAAUAUUUUAGGGUUAAAGAACUAACCUUUAGGUUUUGAGGUUCCCAAACCUUAAAUUCCAAGUGUUGAAGACGAUCCUGAAGUUGUUAGAAGUCUUGUAAACCUAUGAUCUUUCGCCCAAUGACUUAACCUUGUUCUUGGAAAACAAUGAGAAGGAAAGGCGGGUGGAGGCUAUGACUCUCUUUCUCUUUGAAUGGUGAGAGGCAAAAGCUAUAGAAACCUUAAUCCAUAUAGGGUAUUUAUAGGGAACCUAACUAGGCUUAAGUGACUUGAGCCUAUAUGGUCGGGCUUAGGUCACUUAAUCUAUCCCAAAAUGGGUCCUAAUUGAUUAAUUAACCUAAUAGGGCUUACUAAUUAAUAAAUUAGCCCAAUCCAAAGACCUUAUUCACUUACCCUUAUGCAACCUUGAAAAAUUACCAAAACACCCUUAUGCACAAAAGUGAACCUAGAGCUAAUCUGACCCUCAUAAUGCAUUCUAACAAGGUAUAUGAGCUCAGAGUGAGGAUCACUAGGAUCCAUAUAAGUAUUGGCUCCCUCAUAAUCAAAUUUUGAAUUUGAUUCAACAUCCCACUAUAAAAAAUCAACUAAACUCCAGUAUCCUAUGUAAAUAAUAACAAGACACUAAGUGCUCAGGUUCAUGACCUAUUAUCCACUACAUGCAGACUCUCCAUGAACUGGUGUCUGUAAUUUAACAAGGUAGUAUUAUUACCUUUCAAGAUUACCUCUUAAAUCCUUGAGUUAUAGAUCCCACUUAUUAUGUGAUCAAUUGACAUACUCUUACUCUAAAGAUAAUAUGUCAAAUUCCACUAAAGGAAUUAUUAUGGCCACAUAUUUCAUGAUCAUAUUUCUUUCGAUCACCCAAAGGAACACAUUGUCUCAAUCCCAUGAGAUAUCAUGGUGCCUAUAUUGUGAAUUCCUAUUACCAUCAACCUUUAUCAAUAAUGACCCAAUCCAUAUGGAUAUAUAACCACUUUAGGGUCUCACCCAAAUGUUAAACCCUCCUAUUUAUUUUGGAAUAUACUGAAUAUCCUUUUAAGGUUAAAAGUCCAUGCAGUAUGGUAACUUGGUAAAUCAUGAUAAUCGAUAACCUUGUGUCAUGAUUGACUGUAGGCCUUGUCUAAUAUUCAUCACAUACACUAGUGCACUCACCAUAGGAAAUCCAUCCAGAUGGCCAAGACAAGUCACCCCUCCAAUUAGGAGGUGAUGCACUAGAGUCUCUACUAGAUUGCCCAAAUCCAUGAACCAGCGGUGGACAACUUAUCUACUUGCAAGGAACCCAUGACUUGUAUCUUUUGUGCAACUGCUAAUGCACCCAAGUCAUGUACAAUGUAAGAGACAUGGACUAAAUGCUCAAAUCAUUGUUAGUACACUAAAAGGAUAGCAAAGGGAUGGUUAAGUCUAACUUUGUUACAUCAUAUCUUGCUUUCAAAGGCUCAAUCCUAACAAACUCCCACUAGCCCUAAAAGCAAACUAGGCAUCAUAGAAAAAUUUUUGUUCCAUGUCUCAUCACAUCUUUAUACUAUCUCAUUAUAAAGUAACACUUCUUAUUUAUGUGUUUCCUCUUCUGGUGAUACUUCAAUUCUUUAGACCAUGCCAUUGUCCCGUUGUUAUCACAUAACAGGAUCUUAGAUGAUAUAGCCAAGGGAAAUACCAAUAAGCCAAAAGGCUUUCUUUGUUGCUAUAAAAACAACAAAAAAGAAAAACCCCACUUCGAGUGUACACAUACCUAGAGGUAGACUUAUAAGAGUCCUUAUCAGACCGAAGUCCAAUUUCCUAGUAUGAAAUGAGUACUAACUCAUCGCAAAGGAUCACAACAUAUAAUUCCUUAUUUUCCAAAGAUACUAGAGUAUAUGUUUGACAUCUGGCCAAAGCUCUAAUAAGGAAAUGGACUAAUAUCCACUCAUUAUUCAUACAACAAAGCAAAUAUCUGGUCUAUCACAUAACAUCGCAUAUUUAAGGCAAUUCAUUAUAGAGGCAUUGGAUAUCGCCUUAAUGUGAUCUCUCUCCAUAGAUGUCUAAGGUCAUUGAUCAUAAGAAAGACAAGUCUAAAACUAAAUAGUAACAAACCUUCUUAGAGUUUUGCAUCAUAUACUUGACCAAAUGCUCAUCCAUGUAGGUGACAUGGUGCAAUUCUCCUAUUCUUGUAAUCCUGAAGGAUCAUAACCCGAAGAAUAUAUUGCAUCUUCCUCUAGAUUUUCAUCCAGAAUUGAGUAGACUAUUAGUUCUUGACUGAUGACAAUAUCCCUACAUCAUAUCUAAUGAGUAGAUUUUCAUCUACCUGUAAGAUCUUUGAGCAUCACUAUGCUUUCUUGUGUCUUUUUAUACACACAAGGCUAUUUGCUAUGAAAAUGUUUGGUUGUUAUGUCUUACAAAUGAGACACACUGCAAUAGAUAGUAGUAAUAUGAUGGAUUUGAGUAUGAUCACUAUUGAAAAGGUUUUCCAUAGUUGAAACAAAUUUCAAAAUGAAUCGCAAUUCGGAGUUGAAAUGAGGGAGUUGUAGUCGAUUGAAACUAGGUUGCACAAUGAGCAUGGAAGCACAAUGAUGUUGACUUCAACUCAAAAUUGGGGCUACCUCCCAUGAGCUUUUUGAGGCAAACCACAUAUGGUUUUGAAGCUUAAGAAGUCAGAAAUCCAAUACUUCAAACGGAUUUCAAUUUGGAGUUGAAGAAACAAGGGAGAUUUGGUUGAUUGAAGCUAAGUUGCACAAAGGGCAUGUAAUUACGAGAUGGAGUUCAAGCCAAAUUAUUUUUGGUUGUUUGGGCUCAUUUUUUGGGCCUCUUUUUGGGCUCUUUUAGUGGCAAUUAGGCCCGUUGGGUUUUUCUUUUUUUACUAACCCUAUUUUUGGUUGCAGGGCUAUUUUGAUAAUUUGGAUUCUAUCCAAGUUUUAGAUACCAAUUUUGCAACAAGAUCCCUAAGGCCAUGAGAAUUAUUUAUUUAAUUUUCUUUCAUGUCUUUUAUACUUUUUUUUUUAGAUAAUUUAUUAAAUUGGAAUGUGCUAGGACUUAGGAAAUUUUUAUUUUAGGUAAAGACAAGUUGGAAAUAAAUAAGGAACCUACUUCAUUUUCAAAAUUAAACUUUUAGAGAUUUUUUUUUAAAUAAAUCUUUUUAGAUUUUAGAUCUCUAAGAAUCUUUUUAUUUUAAGGAAGAAGUUUUUUUUUUUUUUUUCAGGUUUUUUUGAAAUAAAAUUAUUUCUAUUUAGCACAAGAUUCUAAAAUAAAGAAAUAAAUUAUUUUUGGAAAAAUAUAUGAUAGAUAAUUCAUGAUUAAGAUAGCUUACCAAGAUAUUGUUUCAAAUAAAAUAAAUUAAAAUGGUAAUUUUGGAUUUUCUUAAAAGAAUAAAUUUUCAUGAGUUUUAUUUCCAUUAUUAUUUAGUUAACAAAUUGGUUGUUGUCAUUUGGAAUUUCAAAUUCCUUUUGGGACUUUUUUUUUUGGGUUAGAUAGUUUUCUAAGCUCUCUCUCUCUCUCUCUCUCUCUCUCUCUCUCCUCCCCCCCCUUCCCCCUCUCCCCUAGAGAGAAGGAGAAUGACACGUACAUUGGUCCUCCAGGCUUUUCCUCCUUGAGAGAAAGAGAAAAUCGUUUAGUUUGAAAAUGAAAGUUCAAGGAUAAGGAAUAUGAAAGAUAUCCUUAAUUGGCAUAGGAGUCCCAAUUCAAGUAAUAAAUAAAAGUUUUGGAAAUUUUCAUGAUAGAUAAUUUAUUUUAAGAUGGAUUAUUUUAAAAUUAUCUUAAAGUCUCUCUUCCAAAAUAUUAAGUGGGAGCGGGCCAUAGGCAAGAGCCCAUCUUGAUUUCCAUCCUAAAGAUGGGGUGGCCCAAGGAAUCAAGGGAUAUGGACUAUCCUUUAUGGACAAGACUAUAUAUGUUUAUAGUAAGAGUGGCCAAUCCUAAAGAUAGAACUCUUCACUUCGUAACAUUGAUGUUAAGGAUCUUGAUUACUCAUUUAACUUAGAAAUGAAGUGGUAGAAUCACCUAAAGUGGUCCCACUUGCAUGGGCUAAGGGCUCAACAUAAAGGUAUGUUGAUCAAUGCCUUAGGAUAACCUUUGGAAGUUUAAGGCAGGUUGAUUAAUUAGAGAGGGUCUCUACCUAGUAAUAAGAGUCAUAACCUGCCUAAAGUAAGCUUGAUUCUUAUGAUACUAGGUUACCUUGCAUAGAUACAUAUAGUUUGAGAGCACUACAGUUUUGCUAAAUUAAUUACCAAUUUGCCUUAAAUGCUCAAUUCCUUUUAUUAAUGCAUGGAAUUAUUAUUUUUAUUAUGGAUAUCAUGUCUUUAAUCUAUCACAUUUUAUCUUUUGUUUAAAUUGGACCUAAUUUUAAAUUAGAAAUAAUCUGGAUAUAGUAUUAGUUGCAUAGAAGCUGUUUUUGGUAGAGUUUGUUAUUUCCUUUGAACAAACCUAUCAUCAAGUAAGAGAAACAUAUCAAAGGUGGCAUAAGACGGAUCAAAAGACUAAGUCUCUCAUACUUGGGUCUUUAGAUAAUGUGUUGCAAAAGAAACACAUGUCUAUUGUCGUAGUCUAUGAUAUUCUCUUCAAAGUUGCAAAGGUUAUUUGGUGAUAAGGGCAAGUCAACUAAACAACUUGCCCUUAAGACUAUUAUGAACACUAGGAUUCAUGUUAUCUUAGAGAUCUUACUAGAUUCUUUUGGGAUGGGUAAGAAGAUUCUCAAAGAGUGGAAGGGUGUUCAUAUGGAAGUCAAGGUUCUUCAAGCUCUUCUAACACUAUCUCAAGCUACCUACAUAGAUAAGAUUUUGGUCAAGUGUGUGAUGUGGGAUUCCAAGAAAGGUUUGUUACCUUUUAAGCAUAGAAUUCCCCUUUCUCUAAAUCAGUGUGUGCUAAAACACUUGAGAAGAAUGAGUGCAUGUAGUUAAUACUUUAUGCCUCUGUAGUGGGUAGUCUUAUGUAUUUGAUGCUAUGUACUAGGCCAAAUAUUUUUUUUGCAGUGGGUAUGGUGAGUAGAUAUCAGUCUAAUCUAGUUGCAAAACAUUGGACAACAGUCAAGCAUUUACUCAAGUACCUUAGGAGAAUGAGAGAUUGUGUUUGUGCUCCAAAGUGUUGAGAUAGUUUAAAGGGUGACAUGAUGGUUGACAAGAUACCUUUUGUGAAGAACCUAGUGGAUCUCUUCACCAAGACAUUGUCAGGGAGAGUCUUUGAUGGUCACAAGGAUAACACAGGUUUCAAAUGAGUGUCUAACAUGCUUUAUAGGCAUGAUGUUUUGAGGGCUAGUGGGAGAAUGUUAGGAUAUAGCCCUUAAAAGCAUGGCAUGAUGUAAUAAAUUUGGAAUUCAUUAUUUAUUUAACGAUGUUCCAGUUUCACUUUUAUCGAUCCUUAUUCCAUGUAUUAUACUUUAUGAGCAUUCUUGCCUACAUCUUUUGCAUUGUAUGUGACUUAGGUACAUUAGGAGCUUCAUAGAAGAUCUAAGUCAUGGGUUCCUUACAAGUAGAUGACUUGUUCACAACUGGUUCAUGGGUCUAAGCAACCCAUUAGAAGGGCACCACCUCCUAAUUGGAGGGAUUAGACUAGUCUUGGCUAUCGGGAUGGUUUUUCCAUGGUGAGUGCAUUAGUGUGUAUGGUUACAUAUUGGACAAGACCUAUAGUGAGUCACGACUUAAGGCUAUCAANNNNNNNNNNNNNNNNNNNNNNNNNNNNNNNNNNNNNNNNNNNNNNNNNNNNNNNNNNNNNNNNNNNNNNNNNNNNNNNNNNNNNNNNNNNNNNNNNNNNAUAUUGGACAAGACCUAUAGUGAGUCACGACUUAAGGCUAUCAAGUAGUCAUGACCUCACCAAGCUGCUUCAUUAUGUUGUCUCUCAACCUUGAGAGAAUAUUAAGCUUGUGCUAAAGUUAGUAAUGACUUUGAUCUACGGGUAAGAACAUAAGCUGAUCAUAUAUUCCCUAUGGAUUAGGUCACUACUGAUGGAAGCCGGUAGCAAUAGGUAUUCUCAAUAGAGGCACCAUGAUAUCUUUUAGGAUCGAGACAGUGUGUCCCCUUUGGUUAUCAUAAGGAGGUGUGUUCAUGGAAACUAUGGUCAUAGUAGUUCCUUAAGUAAAACUUGACAUAAACUCUUUGAGAGUUAAGAUAUGUAAAUUGAACAUACAAUGGGAGGAUCCGUAACUUAAGGAUGGUAAAGGUCUUGAAAGGCUAAUAGAUUUCACCUAGUUAGACUAUGGACACCAGCUCAUAGGAAGACUGAACACAAUGGAUAGCAAAUCAUAGACCCAAGCACUUGGUGUCUCAUUGUUAUUUACAUAGGAUACUGGAGUUCAGUUGAUUCUCUAUAGUAGGAUGUUGAAUCAACUUUAGAAUUAGAUUCUAAGGGAGCUAGUAUUCCUAUGGGUCCCAAUGGUCCCCGCUCUGAGCUCAUUUACCUUGUUGGCAUGGGUUAUGAGGGUCAGAUUGGCUCUAGGUUCACUUUUGUGCAUAAGGACGUUUUGGUAAUUAAGUAAAGUUGUAUAGGGAUAAGUGAACAAGGUCUCUAGAUUGGGUUAAUUGUUUAAUUAGUAGGCCCUAUUGGGUUAAUUAAUCAAUUAGGACCCAUUUUGGGCUAGAUUUAGUUACCCAAGUGCAUGUGGGCUCAAGUAAGUUAAGCCCACUUAGGAACCCUAUAAAUACCCUCUAGGGGCUAGGGUUUCCAUAACUUUUUGUCUUCCAUCAUCUAGAGAGAUAGAGAGUCAUAACCUUCACCCUCUUUUCCUCUCCAUCGAAAGUGUGUGAAGAUCAAGGUUCGAGUCAUCGGGCAAAAUAUCGUAGGUUUAGAGCAGGUUGUGUAUGAUAUUUGAUUACUCACCAAAAUUUAAAUAAACCAAAUGCCUGAAGAAUUCUAAUAAUUGUGAAAAUUUCUCACAGCUCAGCUUCAAUCAGGCUGUGUACCAUAGAAGAUGAGUUUCUUAGAAUCUCUUGAAUUUUCUAAUUCAAAAUACAAGUUUGACUUUGAGAAUUGACCAAGAAAUUAAUCAAACACAGUAUUUUAGAACAAAUUUAAAAUAUAUGUAGAAUAUUUUUAAAAUUUUGACCUCGCAUAUAUACAGUACCUUUAUCAAGAUUAGUCAAUAUAUGUAGAAAAGUCAGCGCUAUAUAAUCAUAAUCCAUCAAAGAUACACUAUUUGCUACUGUGGGCGUACCGGCCAUUAGUAAUGGGCCAAAAUGUUCUCCAUGAUUAAAAAUAAAAUACAAUCAUGGCAUAAAAAUCUUGACCCUCAUUUUCAAGAGGUGACUUUCUCCAAGAAAGAAUUAUUUUCCUUUUUAUUUUCUCAUGGGGAGAAAGUUGGAGAUUCACAUUGUUUAUAUUUUUAUAAUAGUUUUAGAGUAGUUUUAAAGCUUCCAAAAAUUUCUCCCUUAUUUUUAUUUAGUAGGUUGGCUCAGUCCACUUGGUACCCAAAAACAAACCCAAUAAAUAAUUAUUUAUUGAAUUUGGUCAAUCCCAAUGUUUUCAAAACCGAAUUAGACAUUGAAUUAGAAAAAUUAUCGAUUCAUAGUUCACUGGUCAGACUAGUGACCGAACUGGUGACAUCAUAAAUACAUAAUUUAUAUUUUAUUAAAAUUAAAAAUAAUUUUAAAAUAUAUAUAUAAUUAAAAAUUAAUAAUAUUUGUAAUAUUAUUUAUUCAUUUUAUAUAAAUUUAUUAAUAUUUUAAAUUUAUUAAUAUAUGUAUAUAUAUAUAUAUAUAUAUAGAAUAUUUAAAUAUGAAAAUAUAUUGAAAAUGGGUAUAUAUAUAUAUAGGUAGUCUUUGAGUCAACAUGCAUAACAAGAUUGGACAUCAAUUAAUUCAUUUAAUAAUUAUGUUGAUUAGUUUAAUUAUACUUUUUAAAAUAUUUAACUCAUAUUUAACACAUUUUUAAUUUGAUUUUAAAUAAAUAGGUUAAUUGAGUUAUAAAUAUAUUAAUCAUAUAAAUUAACACAAGACCUAACUCAACCUAAUUAUUAAAUGGGACAAAUGAGUUAUACGAUAUGUUACUUGUUUAGUAAUUAUGUAGUAUUUUAGGUUUACGUUUUUAAUCAAAUUAUUAUUCGUGUCAAGUUUGACAUAACACACAUAUGACCCACCAACACAAAUUGUAACCCCUAAGCUUGUUCACUCAAAAAGUAAAUUUAUACUAAUAUUUAAUUACCUAGUUUAAACUAGUAGGAAUAUUUUUAAAUUAUUGCUUAGUUUUUUUAAAAUUUUUAAUAUUGACAUAUGUAUAUAGUUUCUCUAAAGACAUUUCAUUGAUGUAGAAUUCCAAAUAUAAUUUGUCUAUAUAAAGAUAUCAUAUAUUUUUAAUAAAUAUAUAUUGUAAGUUAAAUAUUAUAUUGUAUAAUAUGUUGUACUAUAUGCAUAAGUAAUACAUUACUAUUUUACAAAAUAAAAAAUACACUAUAUAAUAGUAAUAUAUUAUAUACAUAAAAAGUUUUUGUGUGUAAAGUAUCCAACCACAUUUUAAUUAAUAAUUGAUUAUUUUAUUUUUAAAUAAUCUAAUUAUGUAUUUAUUAUUUUUAAUUAUUAAUAACUAAUUUUUCAAAAGUGAUUUGUUAUUAAGAAUAAAAUCAUAAAUUAUGCCAUAAAAGUAGUAAUUGUUGUACAUACUAAUUUGUUAAGGAUUAUUAUUAUUAUUAUUAUUAUUUUACUUGCAUACAUUGUUUAAUAAAAUAUUUAUUUUAAGUUUUAAAUUCCUUACUUUAAAUUUUCAAUUUUAUUUUUAGUCUAAUUUUUAAUCUAUAAAUUCUAAUUUUUAAUUUUUAAAAUUUUAAUUCCUAAAUUUUAAAGGGGAAAUCAUGUAACCAUACAUCACCAAUAAAAUAAAUAAAUGAGAUUUUUAGAACUUUGCUUUUACCUUUUUAAUUUUAAUGUAAGAUGAGAAAAAAUAUUGCCUAUUCAUGUAUUUCAAUAGUGCUUUCAGAUUUGUUUCAUAAUUACUCUUGAAAGUAAAUGACAAAACACACAUCACUUUAAUACCACCUAUUGACAAGUACAUGAAUAAUUUAUUUUUCUUAUUUCUCUCACAUCAACUCUCUCACAUGUCUCACUUACCACUUGCCACAUUUCCACUUUUUUCUUUUUUCUUUCUUUCUUUUUUUCCCCCUCUUUUACCACCAUAAUCCUUAGUCACCUAUUAUAUUUUUCACUACUAUUUUUUUUCCUUUGAUAUUCUUUUUAAUAAGCUCAUAUAUUUUGUCAUAAAACUUCUUUAAUUUUAAUUUUUUUCACUCUCUAAUUUCUCUAUAUUUAUUUAUUACAAUUAUAAUUUUUUGGACAUAUUAUACUUAAAAUGAUAAUGUAUAAUAAAUAGUUAAUAUAACAAAUAAAAUAAAAUAUAUGUAUAAUGGAAAAAAAUGAAAAUAUUAUCCCACAAAUAAUGUACUUGAUGAUUUUAAAUAUUAAUUAUAUGAAUAUAUUUAAUAAAUUAAGGUUUAAAUUUAAAUAUUUUAUUUUAUUAUUUAGAGGUUUAUGAUAUAAGAUUUUUUUAUAUUAAUGCUAAACAAAAGAUUUAUUUAUUUUGUAAAUUCUAUCACAUGUAAAAGUAAAAAUAUCUUUAUAAUACUAUUUUAUUAUUUAUAUUAUUUUUAAAAUUUUUAUUUUAAAUUUAUCACAUCAAAAUCAGAAUAAGUUAUUGUGCUUUUAUCUCUUUUCUUAUGAUUUUAAUUUGAUUUUGGAUCUAACAUUUUGUUUGUUUAAAAUCUUUAAUUUUUAAUUAAAAUAAAAUAUAAAAGAAAAUAUAUUUUCAUAAAAAAAAUUGUGUUUAACCUUUCAUAUUAAUUUUAUAAAAAAUAAGUACAUCCAUAAGAAAAAUAGGUAAAUCCAUACCUAGGGGAAUCGAGACCCCUAUCAUCCUUGUCAUGGUCUAUAUAUUCCUUUGGGACCCUUGAUAAGUGAUUAGAGGUCCUUGCCUACCCCAGAAUGAACUUUGGAAUCCUAGGUACAUCCAUUCUUAAGAGAACCAAGACCCUUAUCUCAAUUCUCAUGGUUCAUAUAUUCCUUUAGGGAUCCUCGAGAAUGAAUUAUAGGUUGUUCUUCACCUUGGAUCAGACAUUAGAACCCAAGGUAUAUCCUAAAGAAAAUUUGGUACAUUUGAUCCUUGGGCUACCGAAACCCUUAUAUCCCUUCCCAUAGUCUAUUUGAUACUUUGGGGACUCUUGAGAAGUGAAUGGAGGUCGUUUCUAAUCUCGGAAUGGACUUUGAAACCUUAAGUACAUCCUUAAAAAAAUUUGUUACAUCAAAUUCUCAAGCUAUCGGGACCCUAUCUCCUUUCCCAAGGUCCAUUUGUUCAUUUAGGGAUCCUCGGGAAGUGAUUGGAGGCUAUUCCUCACCCCAAAAUGGACUUUUAAACCCUAAAUACAUCUUUAAGAAAAUUUGGUAUAUCUUAUCCUCUGGCUACCCCAUAUCGCUUCUUAUGGUCCAUUUGAUCAUUUAGAGACCAUUUAGAACUUCUUAUAUAAACAAAAAUAGAAUUAUAAAAUUCUUAUAAGAAAUAAAAUUUUUAUGACUUCUACAUGAAACCUUUUUUUUUUAAGUUAUAAGUUUUUUUAAAAAUAAUUAAAUAGGUAUAAAAACUUUUAUUUAACUCUUAAAAGUCAAUCCAAAUAAAAUUUAUAUAUAUAUAUAUAUAUAUAUAUAUAUAUAUUUGAAAAUCACUUUUAAAAAUCCAAAAAAUCACUUGAAAAUACUUUCCAAAACUUUUUUUAACUUACAUUUAAAAAAUAAAAAAUAAAAAAUGAUUAGUUUUUACUAGUUAUUUAAAUUUCAGGAAGCGAGAAAGAAUUUACUCUGAUGUAAAAAAAAUGAGAGAAAAGUAAUUAAAUCACUAAAAAAUAGACUUGGAGUUCCUUUGGUGUGCGGUUAGACUCAAUUUGUCCCCAUGCAAUGGAAAUGGACAAUAUUUUAUUUUUUUAUUUUUUUCCUUUUCCUUUAUGUUGGUGUAGUCUUGUGAUAUUGUUACUAAAAUAGGAGGUAAAAAUAUAAAUUAUACAUCCAUUAUUUUAAAUUUAGAAAAAAGUGCUUAUUUUAAUUUGAAAUAAAUAAAUAGAAAAAAAAACUGAUUUUAUCUCAAUUGUGUAAGACUUCAAAAAAAAUUUCUUAUUUGCAAAAUAUUUUGAGUUGUAAAAGUAAAAAUUAAACAAACCAUUUCAUGACCUUUUUCACAAGUAUCCAUUUAGAUCAUAGUCUAGUUUUAAAAUAUUUGAAUAAUCCAAUUACUCUAAACUAUAUCAUUUAUAAUUUUUUAAAUUAUUACUAUCAUACCUAACCUUGUAUGGAAUUGGAAUAAAAUAUGGAUAAGUAAAAGAUGUCAAAUGAAAGAUAAUUUCAAACUUUUCUAAUACAGCAUGAUAUUUUAUCAUGUUGAAUAAAAUUGGAAUGGACAAAAGUUGUCAAAUCAAGACUUCCAUGGCAAAUUCCACCAUUGCAUAUCUCAAAUAUUAUUCUACAACAUUAUCUUUGUAGACUUUUAACAAUCCAAGAAAUUGACAAAUUAUAUAAUAAUCCCAAACACAAUAUUCUACAACUUUACAAUAUUCUACAAUUUUUUGGAAUAAAAAAUAAAUAAUGAAAUCUACAACUUUAAAAUAUUCUACACUUUUUUUGAACAAAAAAAAAUAAAUAAUGAAAUCUUUGGCAUGUUAAUUCUUUGCAGCUUCAACAUGGUGGCAUGUCGGAUGGCGGAGGCAGCAUUUGAGCUUCUGGGUGUUUACAAUAUCUAUUGUUGUUAUUUAAAGGAAUCAUUGAAAUGAUUGCAUGAAAGAUUUAUUCCAUAGCCUAAAAUAAAUAUUGGCUUUAUAUAUAUAUAUGUGUGUGUGUGUGUGUGUGUGUGUGUGUGUGUUUGCUCAAAUGAUAGGCCGGUUUUAAGCCAUAAUAAUAAUAAUUGUAUUAUUGUAUUAUUGAAAUAAAAAGGUUAUUGUAUUAUUAUUUAUUUUUUUGAUUGAAUAGAAAAAAUCAAAAUAUUUGAUUUCUUUUUAUUCAACUAAAAGUAACUUGUUGAUAUACAAACACCCCAUCUCAGUGACUAUCAAACACGUACUCUUGUUAACANNNNNNNNNNNNNNNNNNNNNNNNNNNNNNNNNNNNNNNNNNNNNNNNNNNNNNNNNNNNNNNNNNNNNNNNNNNNNNNNNNNNNNNNNNNNNNNNNNNNUAAGCCAUAAUAAUAAUCAUUAUUUUACUUAUUAUUGAAAAAUAUAAGGUUGUUGAUAUCAACAAGUUACUUUUAGUUGAAUAGAAAAAAAAAUAUUUUAGCUUUUUUUAUUCAAUAAAAAAGCAAACAUAUCUAAAUUUAUAUAAUAAAAAUGCUUUAACUAGAAAUGAAUUUCAUAUGGACCACUAUCAAAUACCAUGCAUAGGGAGAAAUCCAGAUCCUCACUUGCUCUUUGAUUUUAAUGCAUUGAAUUUGAUGUUGCCUAAAACAAAUUAUAUUUCAUGUCCUGUAUUAUGAGUAGACAACCAUUCCUUAUGUUGGAUUUUAGAUAAAGAAUGGAUAUUGGAGAUUGGAGUUGUAAGAAAUUAGGAGAUCCUAAUUUUAAAUAUGUAACAAAGUUCUAUAAUCGCCUCAAUCCAUGUUUUAAAAAUUGUAUUUCUUUCUAAUAUUGGAGCAAACUUUUUCUUUGUUUCUUAUAAAUUUCAUUUGGGAAUGAUUUAAAAAUAAAUAAAUAAAAUCCCUUCUAAAUAUUAAAAAGUAACACUUUCUUAUAAAAAUUAAUUAGGUGGAUGGUAAGGUAAAAUUCAGGAUAACUUCAUAUUUUUUGCUUUAAUUGAAAAUUAAAAUCAAAAUUAAAGUAAUAAUUUUUAAGGGGAAAUAUUGAUAUUGUAAAACUUUUAUUAAACAUGAAAUAAUUUCUUAUAUAAACAAAAAUAGAAUUAUAAAAUUCUUAUAAGAAAUAACAUUUUUAUGACUUCUACAUGAAACCUUUUUUUUUAACUUAUAAGUUUUAAAAAAAUAAUAAUUAAAUAGGUAUAAAAACUUUGAUCUAACUCUUAAAAGUCAAUCCAAAUAAAAUUUAUAUAUAUAUACAUUUGAAAAUCACUUUUAAAAAUCCAAAAAAACACUUAAAAAUAAUUUCUAAAUAGUUUUUUUAACUUACAUUUAAAAAACAAAAAAAUUUAAAAUGAUUUGUUUUUACUAGUUAUUUAAAUUAAGGAAGCAGGAAAGGGUUUGCUCUAAUGUAAAAUAAAAAAAAAAAAAAAUGAGGGCUGAAAAGUAAUUAAAUCACUAAAAAUAGACUUGGUGUUCCUUCAGUGUGCAGUUAAACUCAAUUUGUCCCCAUGCAAUGGAAAUGGAAGAUUUUUUAUUUUUUAUUUUUUAUUUUUUUCCUUUUCCUUUAUCUUGGUGUGGUCUUGUGAUAUUGUUACUAAAAUAGGAGGUAAAAAUAUAAAUUAUAUAUCAAUUAUUUUAAAUUUAGGAAAAAAAAGUGCUUAUUUUAAUUUGAAAUAAAUAAGUAGAAAAAAACUGAUUUUAUCUCAAUUGUGAAAGACUUCAUUAAAAUUUUCUUAUUUGCAAAAUAUUUUGAGUUGUAAAAGUAAAAAUUAAACAAAUCAUUUCAUGACCUUUUUCACAACAUGAUAUUUUAUCAUGAUGAAUAAAAUUGGAAUGGUCAAAAGUUGUCAAAUCAAGACUUCCAUGGCAAAUUCCACCAUUGCAUAUUCAAAGACUAUUCUACAACAUUAUCUUUGUAGACUUUUAACAAUCCAAGAAAUUGACAAAUUAUAUAAUAAUCCCAAACACAAUAUUCUACAACUUUACAUUAUUUUUUUUAUUUUAAUACAAGAGAAAUCCUUAGUCAACAAUUUUUUUGAACAAAAAAUAAAUAAUGAAAUCUACAACUUUACAAUAUUCUACAAUUUUUUUGAACAAAAAAAUAAAUAAUGAAAUCUGAAUAAUGCAAACAAUCACUGAAAUCUUUGGCAUGUUAAUUCUUUGCAGCUUCAACAUGGUGGCAUGUCAGAUGGCGGAGGCAACAUUUGAGCUUCUGGGUGUUUACCAUUUUUCACUAUGAACGCAGUUUCCAUGCCCCAAGUCAGAUGGCGUUCUACAUGGCAGUGCAUGAACCACACCCCUGCAAUAGAGAAAACAUACCAACAUUACACCUAAUUUAUUGCAAUAUUAAGAAAAAUUAUUCCCUUGGUAUGCAGGUUGGCAGUUUCAAGGGUUUUUUUUAAUAGAGGACAUGAGUGCUUGCAACAUACCAGGGUUGGAUGCCUCGAAUCUGAUUGCAACCCAACCAUUCGUAGGAACAGAGAUGGUACUCUGAAGGGGAGGAUCCACUAGAUUAUAGCGCAAAGGGUCCCUAUUUUUAUCAAAAUUCCCAAAUCCCCAUCCAACAAGGUAGAAUCUAUAUCCAUGGAGAUGCAUGGGGUGGUGUGUCCCUGAAACCAAGUUUGUCCCUUGAAAAACAAUCUCCACUGUGGAGUUAUACUCGACCACCCUUACUUCUGUUCCAAUUUCCGGCGUUUGAUACUCCAAUGGAAGAUAAUCAGCUGUAAAAUCGAACACCAAUGGUGGAACGCUAGGAAAUUUAUCUCCAUAUACACCACUGAUGUUAUAAUAGUAAGCUUGUAGUAUGUCAAUCGUAGGGGAUUGGAAGCUUAUGUUGUUUAUACUUGCAGAGAGCCGCGUCCCAUUGGGCCCUGCACAUGAAUUAUUGGGGCAUAGGAACGAGUUUACAGAAAUAGUGUAAAUUAGUUUAGUGCUCGGGCUCAAUGGGACAUUGGAAGGAUGUUCCGCAUCUGCUAAGCUUCGAAGGCUAGCCAUGACCUGAACCGAUGCAUUUGUGUCAUUGUAUGCAGGAAAAUGAGGCAAAGAGGGAGGUGAAGAUGGAGUGUAGUAUCCUCUGUAUUGUACAAUAGCUGUGGUGGUUGUGUUAUCAUAAAAAUUUUGAGCUACCGGGGCAAUGGAAUAAGUUUUAGCCGCCAUGUAAUAGUGAUCCAGGCGUUGGUUAGCUUCUAGUAAGACAUCGAAGGUUUGGCCAGGAUAUAUUGUGAUAUAAUCUUGUGUCAAUGGUUUCGUGUAGCUACCAUCUAUUCCAACCACUGUCAUUUUAUGCUUGGCAAUUGAGAAGAAGAGAGCCUCUUGCAAAGCAGCAUUGAUUAUGCGAAGUAGAUAGGUCUUUCCAUGAUCCACCGUUAGCUUGAAUGUGCCUACAAUUAGAAAAGGAAAGUUGUAUACUUACGACUAGCGAAAAGAAAAGGAAAAACUUUCCAUGAGUAUCCACUAAUUAUGAAGUGAUUGAUUGAUUAGGGGUGUAAAUUUGGCUCCACAGUUCAAAAUUAUAUUUAGACUAGCCUUUUCAUAUGUGUUAAAUCAUGGCUCUACCAUCCUCAUAACUAUAUUCAUCUUUCUUAGCAUUAAGUUUUAAAUAUGUUGAUGUUAAUAAGAAAAAGUAAUAUGGUUAACAUACAAGAAAAUGAGAUCAGUGUACAAUUUUAAAAUGGGAAGUUAAACUUUAUACUUGAUUUUGAGCAUGGAUAUAGAUCACCGGGUUGUCCAUUUAUCAAUAAAGAAUCAGAGGCAUUGGGGUCAGCUCCGGUUGCAAGCCCUUCAUCUCGAACCGCAUUCACAUCACUCUUCCACCAUUGUCCUGCAUUUCAACAACUCCAAUAAUUUAGAUUUUGCUUUGUUGGUUAAUUCAUGAUAUGUAAAUUAACCUUUAAAAGCAACUACACUUAUACCUAAUAUGAUGGGAACUUCUGCGCUAGGUUUGGGAAAAGGAUACUUGGUUCCAUUCUUGGGAUAGACGAUUAUAGCUCCAUGAACGGUGGCUCGGGUCCAGUCACUGUGAGCAUGCCACCAUAGAGUGCCUUCCUCAGAGGAAAGGAUGAUCUUUUGGCUAAACUUUGACCCUGGUUGAAUUGGGCAUUGU
rnacentral:lncRNA from 1 species